AAAGCUUCUUGUUGAUUCAAUCAACACAUUCUGAAAGUCUAAAAUGUACAGAAUGUAGUAACAUCGAGUAAAUAUUACGAAUACUUAGUAAGAUCAUACAAUAUAAAUAAUUAACUUACCUUAAUCAUUUAACAUAAACAAAUCAUUAGGUAAAACAAUUUCACCUAUCAUGGCAUAACACAACAACAUCAACAAGGUGAGAUUUGGUUUAUGAUCAUUGUAAUGCCCCAAAAUUUAAUAAAUUGUUUUUGUAAAUAAUUCACACAAAUCUGUAUUUGCUUUAGUGGUUAAGUGUUCUGGGUGUGUGUAAGAGGUCCCAAGUUUAAGCCACAACUUAGGUAAAUUUUUGGUAUUUUUAUGAAUAAAGCCCCACUCUUGUUUAAUAGGCUUAUAUUUGAUUGUGUGUAAAAUUCUGGCAGAAUGGACCUGCUGGUUUGGUGGUUAAGUGGAGUGUUAAUAUAUUGUAGGUCCUGUGUUUGAAUCAAGCUGUAAGCAAGGGUUUUAUUUUUGCUACAAAUUUAGGCUAGAGUUUGAGUUUUAGUGAAAAUCUGAGCAGUGGGUUAAUGGUGAGAGUUUUGAGGAGAAUUUAGUGGAAGUGAUAAUUUUUUUCCAAAACCGAUUUCUUUCUCAAGCUUUGCUGCCAUUUUUGCUCUCCCCAAACCCCCCUUGCUGCCGAAUCUGUUCUUCCUUUUCCUACGUAAAAUCGUCCCCUUCUUAAUGCUAAGGUUUUACAAUCCAUUACGUCUAUUUUCUCUUUGCGUUGGGUAAGUGCAAUUAACAUUUUAUUGCUAACUUUGGGUUAAUAAAUCGUUAUCUCUGAUUGACGUUCGAAGUGGGUGAAACCCCGAUUGUGUGAUUGAAGGUAACAUUUUGUGAGUUAGCGUUUGGUUUUUCUCGUACGUUUUCAUUUGAGCAUAGCUUCAAGUGACUAAUUUGGCGUUAUAUUGGUUUAAUGAAGGUUCUGGAGUGCUCGUGGUCAUUUUAGUUUUGAAUCAACACCAGGUGUGUACUCGAGAACACAGGAAACGAGAAUCAACGAAAGUCAAAAAAUGAAUCUGUCGACGUCACAUGGACUUGUAGUCACUCGUGUGACUGAACACGAGCGUGUAAACGACGAGCCAGGUCGUGCAAUCAUGACACGGGCGCAUGACACGACCGUGUGAUGGCCGAAGAGGACAUGUGUGUGACACAGGCUCGACCAAUUAGGCCGUAUGGGCCACACGGGCGUGUGGACCUAGACGAGUGAACUACACGGGUGUGUGGGAUUUUUGGGCCAGGCCAUGUGAUCCCUACGGCCAAGGCCAAUUUAGGCAAUGUGGGCCCACACAGGUAGGCUACAUGGGCGUGUGAGCCAAUUUUUUUUAAAUGAUCUGUAAGGUUGCACGGGUCGCCCAAGUCAAUUGUGGACCUAAUGUAGGGUUUGGUAAGUGUUACUUAGAUCCCUAAACGAGUAUCCUAAUUGUUUGAUUUCUAUACUGAGCAUGAACUGUGAUAUUUGAAUUAAUUGUAUGAUCUGAUAGAAAGCAUAUUAGCAUGUCAUAUUUGUAUAUUGCAUUGUAUCGGGGUUGGGUUGAUAUUUUGAAGGAAGUACUCUGAAAGGCUCUUAAGCCUGAUAUCUGGCAGCUCAGCUGUAAUUAUCUGAUAAUGUGCCAUAUUUCGGUACAACAUGGUGUGUAGGGAUGGGUGGGUCGAUUUUAUCCCCACAUGGUGUGUAGGGUUGGACGGAGAUGGUGUGUAGAGGUUGGUGGGUAGCACUCUGUGUAACACCCCGAACCCGAAACCGACACCGGAGUCGAACACGAGGUGUUAACUGACUUUAACCCCUUAUAAAGUUUAUUUUCCAGACACUGCCCAAUCUGUGUACUAGUCGUUCUAAAAAUCAUAUCUUGAGUUUCGUAACUCGAAAAUAAGUUUAGUGAUUUUUCCCAGAAACUAGACUCAUGUGCCCAUCUAUGUAUUUUUUUCUAGAAUUUUUGGUUGGGCCAAUUAGUACAGUUUAUUAGUCAAAGUCUCCCAUGUUGCAGGGGUCGACUACACUGACCUUUUCCCAUUACGACUUGGAUAUCUCACUGCACAGGGCUCCAAUACUGAUGUCGUUUGUUUCUAUGAAAACUAGACUCGGAGAGGAAUCUGUACAUAUAUGGUAAAACCCCUAAUUAUCUCUGGUUAAUUUAUAAUGAAUUUCCAAAGUCGGAGCAGGGAAUCCAGAAACCGUUCUGGCCCUGUCCCACAAAAAUCUGAUUAUCUCUUAAUAUACUGCCCAUAUGAUCUUUUCGUUACUUCCUCAUGAAAACAGACUCAUCGAGCUUCGAUUACAUAAUUUAUUCGUCAAUUAAUUCCACUCCUACUAUUUUUAGUGAUUUUUCAAUCUCAUGACACUGCUGCUGCCAGCAUCUGUUACGAAAGUAACUAGGCCCAUUUCAUGCCUACCCUUGAUCCAACUCAAUCGAACAUUCGUGCCAUUUUCGCAUGGCUUAAAGUUUACAUGCCAAAGUUCAAACACAACAUAAUAGCUUAUACAUGCCAAAAUGUUCUUCUAAUCCAACUAAGAAGAAAGUACCAAAACUUGCUAUCCGGUGUGAUGACUUCGAUGACGGCCCGACCCCGCAAAAAUAGAUGAGUCCAAACAACCUAUAAUGGGUGACAAGGAAACACCGAGUGAGUUUAUAACUCAGUAAGUCAUAAGCAAUGCACUACCAUCCAUCAAUAACAUUAUCACAAGAGGAAACAAAAUGGAACAAGACAAUUUACUCCAUCCAUACCGAACCAUACCAUAGUUCCUCCAACCUAUCGAUUCAGUUUCAUGUCACUUCAUGCAUUCACAUUCCAUAUACUCAUCAAUAGGACAUUGAGGCAUUUUCAUAAUUCAAUUUAUUUUCGUUACAAUCAAACGACUAAACGGCCUUUCACCCAUCCUACUAUAAAUUUUAUGUACGUGACUUCAAGUAUAUUUGUCACAUAGGUUCAAACUUACCGAGCUCAACACCAAGUAUAAGCAUAGCACCCAUUAGCCAUGUACUCAAGACACUUACCCGAUCCGCUGUCCGCGAUCGACUCGAUAGUGUCGCACACAUAGUGUCCAUAAUGAUUCACGAAUGUAUAUUGAGUCCGCUCACUCAAUGCUAUAUAAUCAACUCGCACACUUAGUGCUACGUAAUCAAAUCGCACACUUAGUGCUACAUAGUCAAACUCGCACACUUAGUGCCGCAUGGUCAAUUCGCACACUUAGUGCAUCAUAUUCAUUUCGCACACUUAGUGCAACAUAGUCAAAUCGCACACUUAGUGCUACAUAGUCAAAUCGCACACUUAGUGCUGUACAAUUUACUCCCGCGCACUUAGCGCCAAUCUCAUGGUCAUAAAUGGUUAUACCCGCACGUUUAGUGCCGAGAUCAACAACUCAGUACAUCUUACCUCUUUUCUUUUCAUUCAACAAUUUCAUCAUCACAUACGUACAUGCAUAUAUAUAUGUAUAUUUAUUCAUUCCAUUCAGCAUCAAUACAUAACAUUAUGACCAUUUAAAACAAUACCAACUACAUGCUUAAUGACUUACUUUAUGUUGGGUAAAAUAAUUCCGAGUCGGCUACUCGAUGACCUUCGAUUUCCCCUUGUUGGAUGCCUCUCCUUUAGGUUCUUGAGCUUAAAUAAUACAAGUAAGAGUAUUCAAUAUUUAACCCAAUAACAUGAAUUUAUUUAUCACAUUCGGCAAUCACAUAUCAUUAAUUUUUCAAACCAAAAUGUCAUUAUAUGACCACACAUACACAUAUCUAUAUACUUAAGCUCAAUAAUUAUAAUGUAAUAUCAUGUGCCCACUUUAAGUAUAUUGCCGAAUAUACUUAAUCAUACAUACACCUAACCAAAACAAUUUCCUAAAAUCUUUAUAUCAUUUAUACACUAAGCCGAAUACUCUCACCAAGUUCACCUAUAUUCUUCAACAAUUCCUUCAUUGAUCAUACACAUAUUUGGCUAAAGAAAUUGAAAUUUUAGCAACCUUCGAUUUAGUACUUAACUUUUACCACAUAUCAAAUAACUCAUUUCCUUACUCAUGUGACCACAUAUAUUCGGUCAUGCAUACACACAUAAAAUCAAUUUGGAGACUCUAUCAAUCCAACAUACAUUCGGCACCUUCAUCCACCAUUCUACCAAGCAUGUAAUAUUCAAACACAACCAAACUCACAUUCGGCCCUAGCUCAUAACAAGGUAGCCGAUUCUUUUUAUUGUUCAAUCACUCCUCUAUCAUCAUUCACCUAACUUUAACAUGAAACAACAAAACUCACCAUUCCUCAUCCAAAUAACAUGAACAACAACCAUUUCUUGAACACUUUCUCAUGACCGAUUGCUCAUGUUACCAACAAGAUUUGAACAUGGGCUAUUUAGAACUCAAGUCAAUUACUAAAACAUGCAUGCAUCUCAAGGACAACAUCAAACAUACCUUAGUCUAGCAAAUCACCAUAGCCGAUUUUCUCAAGCUUUUCCCCUUCCUUUCUUUCCUCUAUUCGGCCAAGGAUGAACCAAAGGAUGAGUAAAUUUUUUUUUCUUUGUUUUUCUUUCUAAUUUAGGCUAAAUGAAGGUGAGAAAGGAUGAACACAAAAUUUUCUCCUUUCUUCUCUUUAUCUCACGGCAAUGGGGGGGAGGCAACCACACAUUUUUUUUUUCUUUUGUUUUCCAUUUCUUUAUUACCCAUACUCCUUAUUUUAUUCUUCCAUUAACAAAACAUGUUUCAUGACAUGUUUUGCCCAUCUUUCCUUGUCAUGGCCGGCCACUACUCAUUAGGGAGGGGGAAUUUGACAUGCAAGUCCCCUUUUUCUUCCACAUGCACUAAUAGGUCCUCAUGCAUUGACCUAUCACAUUUUAAAAUUUUCUCAUAUAAGUCCUAUUGACUAAAUUCACAUGCAAUCAACUAAAUCGAAGCUUGAAAUUUUCACACAUUCAUGGUUACAUAUUCUAGACAAUAAACAUCACAUUCAAACCUUUCGGUGACUCGGUUUAGCGGUCCCGAAACCACUUCCCGACUAGGGUCAAUUUUGGGCUGUCACAACUCUCCCCCACUUAAGAAAUUUUCGUCCCCGAAAAUCUUACCGGUAAAUAGGUUUGGAUAUCGUUCUUUCAUCGAGCUCUCGGGUUCCCAGGUUGCUUCCUCGAUCCCGUGUUUGAGCCACAACACCUUAACCAACGGAACCCUUUUAUUUCUCAACUCUUUCACUUCACGAGCUAGGAUACGAAUCGGUUCUUCUUCAUAGCUCAAGUCAGAUUGAAUUUCAACUUCUGAGGGAUUAAUCACAUGUGACGGAUCGGAUCUAUAACGUCGAAGCAUUGAAACAUGGAAGACAUCGUGCAUCCUUUCAAGUUGAGGGGGCAAAAUCAAUCUAUAUGCAACCGGCCCCACUCGUUCGGAAAUUUCGUACGGCCCAAUGAAUCUCGGGCUCAACUUGCCCUUACGGCCAAACCUGAGUACCUUUUUCCAAGGCGAAACUUUAAGGAACACUUUAUCUCCUACCUGAUAUUCAAUGUCCUUUCGUUUCAAAUCCGCAUACGAUUUUUGACGAUCUGUGGCUGCUUUCAGACUUUCACGGAUUACCUUUACUUUCUGUUCAGCAUCCUUAAUCAAAUCAACUCCGAAAAUUUUACUUUCACCGAGCUCGGUCCAAAACAAUGGUGUACGGCAUUUACGACCGUACAAAGCCUCAUACGGUGCCAUCUUAAUACUUGAUUGAAAACUAUUGUUGUAAGCGAAUUCAAUCAAAGGUAAAUACCGUUCCCAUGAACUACUAAACUCGAGGAUGCAACAUCUCAACAUAUCCUCAAGUAUCUGAAUUAUCCACUCGGAUUGACCAUCGGUUUGGGGGUGAUAAGCGGUGCUAAAAUGCAGCUUGGUACCCAAAGCUUCUUGCAAUUUCUUCCAAAAUCGUGAGGUGAAUCUCGGAUCUCUAUCCGACACGAUAGAAAUAGGCACUCCAUGUAAUCUCACAAUCUGAGAGACAUACAAUUCGGCUAGUUUAUCCAAUGAAAGAUUCGUACGCACGGGGAUAAAGUGAGCCGACUUAGUCAGCCUAUCAACAACAACCCAAAUCGCAUCCUUCUUACUUGCGGACAAUGGCAGUCCGGACACAAAGUCCAUUGUGACUCGGUCCCAUUUCCACUCGGGUAUCAUGAUCGGCUGAAGUAACCCUGAAGGCACUUGAUGUUCCGCUUUCACUUGUUGACAUAUUAAACAUCUCGAAACAAAGUCAGAGAUGUCCCGUUUCAUACCGUGCCACCAAAACCGACGUUUCAAGUCGUUGUACAUUUUCGUGCUCCCCGGGUGAAUUGACAUUUGGCUACAAUGGGCUUCGUUCAGAAUCAUCGGAAUGAGUUCCAAAUUCCUUGGAACACACAAACGACUUCUAAACCUCAAACAGCCAUCAUCAUCAAUCUGAAACUCCGAUUCCUUGUUCGGAACACACUCAGCUCGUUUUGCAACCAAUUCAUCAUCGACUUUCUGAGCUUCAAGAAUUUGAUGAGUCAAUAAUGGUUUGGAUUUUAAUUCAGCUACUAACACAUUGUCAGAUAGAACAGACAAGUGUACAUUCAUCGCUCGCAAAGCAAACAGUGAUUUCCGGCUUAAGGCGUCCGCAACCACAUUAGCCUUUCCCGGGUGGUAAUCAAUGACGAGCUCGUAAUCUUUCAACAACUCAAGCCAACGUCUUUGUCGCAGAUUCAAGUCUCGUUGAGUCAUCAAAUAUUUGAGACUUUUGUGAUCCGAAAACACAUGGCACUUCUCACCAAACAAAUAAUGUCGCCAUAUUUUCAAUGCGAACACAAUGGCGGCUAGUUCGAGAUCAUGGGUCGGAUAGUUUCUCUCGUGUGGCUUCAAUUGUCUCGACGCAUAGGCCACAACUCGACCUUCUUGCAUCAAUACGCAACCCAACCCAAGUAGGGAUGCGUCACUAUAAAUGACAAACUCUUUACCCGAUUCGGGUUGCACCAAAAUUGGAGCUUCAGUCAAAUGAGUUUUCAGCUGAUCGAAGCUUUUCUGACAUUUCUCCGUCCAUUCGAACUUAACAUCCUUUUGAAGUAGCUUCGUCAUUGGUGUGGCUAUCAUCGAGAAACCUUUGACAAAUCGUCGGUAAUAACCGGCGAGCCCUAGAAAGCUCUGGACUUCGGUAACAUUUCUCGGAGGCUUCCAGUUAAGUAUGGCUGAAAUUUUGCUCGGGUCAACUCGAAUACCCGAUGCGGAUACCACAUGACCCAAGAAGCUAACCUCUCUUAACCAGAACUCACACUUACUGAACUUAGCAUAUAACUGCUUAUCCCGCAAAAUUUGCAACACUAGCCUCAGAUGCUCAGCAUGUUCGGUCUCAUCUCUUGAAUAGACCAAGAUGUCAUCAAUAAACACAACUACGAACCAAUCCAAAUACGGCCUGAAGAUCCGAUUUAUCAAAUCCAUAAACACCGCAGGGGCAUUAGUGAGCCCAAACGGCAUCACUAAGAACUCGUAGUGACCGUACCUCGUUCUGAAAGCAGUUUUGGGUACGUCCGAAUCUCGAAUCCGCAACUGAUAAUAACCCGAUCUCAAAUCUAUCUUUGAAAACACCGAUGCUCCCUUUAAUUGAUCGAACAGAUCAUCAAUACGCGGUAACGAAUACUUAUUCUUUAUCGUCACUUUAUUCAGUUGACGAUAGUCAAUGCACAACCUCAUGGUUCCGUCCUUCUUUUUCACGAACAAUACUGGUGCACCCCAGGGUGAGAAACUCGGUCGAGCGAAACCUCUAUCCGUCAAUUCUUGCAACUGAGCUUUCAACUCUUUUAACUCGGUUAGUGCCAUACGAUACGGAGCUAUCGAAAUUGGCGCGGUUCCAGGUACAAGCUCAAUACCAAACUCUAUCUCCCGAACAGGUGGCAAACCCGGUAACUCUUCAGGAAAAACAUCCGGGUAUUCACAAACCACCGGCACCGAUUCGGGUUUCUUUUCUAACUCCUUGUCAUCAAGUACAUACGCGAGGUACGCUUCGCACCCUUUCCUUACAUAUUUCUGUGCCAACAUUGCUGAUAUUACAGCUGGCAACCCCCUUAAGUCCGCAGACUCAACUCGGAUUAUUUCGUUAUUUGCGCACCUCAAAUCGAUAGUCUUGCUUUUGCAAUUCACAACCGCAUCAUGCGCGGUUAACCAAUCCAAACCAAGAAUAACAUCAAACUCGUCGAACGGCAAAAGCAUCAAAUCGGACGGAAAACAGGAUUCUCGGAUUAUUAGAGGGCAUCUCUUACACACUUUAUCAACAAGUACGCAUUGACCCAACGGGUUUGAUACUCGAAUUACGAGCUCAGUAGACUCAACAGGUAGAGUCUUACUGGUUGCUAAGGUUUCACAUACAUAUGAAUGAGUAGAACCAGGGUCAAUCAAUGCAAUCACAUUAGUAUCAAAGAGAGUGAAGGUACCAGUGAUGACGUCGGGGGAGGAUGCCUCCUCUCGUGCGCGAAUGGCAUAUGCUCUAGCAGGAGUACGGUUCUCGGCUCGAUCGGCCGUAUCAGAGGCCCCCCUCUGACUACCGCCUCUGCCUCCUAAGAUUCUCGGUGGUCUACCUCUAGAUGUCAUUCCACUAGGUCUUGCACAUUGAAUCUUAUUCUUCUCAUCCAGCUCCGUGCAAUCUCUAAUGAAGUGGUCCUUCGAACCGCAUCCGUAACAGGCCCUGUUAGUAGACUUGCCCCAACAUUCACCUAGGUGUCGUCUUCCACAUUGGGGACAUUCAGGUUUCUCGUGACGAUUAUUGCCCACACUAGCUACCGAAGUAGCUCGGGAGCCCAUCGAUGGUCUUGCCCUGAUGGAAAUUCCCGCAGUCGCCCUCGACUUAUUAAUGUCCUCCCUGAACUUCUUUACAGCUGAGAACGGAGCUUUACCCGUCGAUCUUUUACGAUAAUCUCUAACUUCAAAUUCGGCCUUCCUCUUCUCCUUUCCAAGUUCUUCCGCCUUGCAGGCUCGUUCGACUAGUGUUACGAAUUCUUUUAUUUCCAAAAUACCCAUUAGUAGCUUUAAAUCUUCAUUCAAUCCUUCCUCGAAUCUUUUGCACAUAGCAACCUCAUCAGCUACACACUCCCGGGCAUACCUACUGAGUCUUACGAAUUCAUGUUCGUAUUCAGAUACAGUCAUACGGCCUUGCUUGAGUUCCAAGAACUCCUUACGCUUCUGAUCAAUGAACCGUUGGCUAAUAAAUUUCUUUCGGAAUUCCGUUUGAAAGAAGUCCCAAGUUACUCGCUCGUUCGGGACUAUGGAAAUCAAGGUCCUCCACCAAUAGUAGGCUGAGUCUCGCAACAAAGAUACAGCACAUUUUAGACAUUCGUCGGGUGUGCAUGACAAUUCAUCGAACACCCGAAUGGUGUUAUCAAGCCAGAACUCGGCCCUUUCGGCAUCAUCAGUUACUAUGGCCUUGAACUCCUCGGCCCCACGCUUCCUAAUCAAGUCUACAGGUGGCUUACUCAGCCUCACAGGAUCAGCGACUGAUGGCAUUACAGGCUCUUGGGGUGGAUUAUUCAAAUUUGGGAAUUGUUGGACAGCCGGGUUGGUUCGGGCAUAUUGCGCGACCCACUCAUUCAUCAUGGUAAAGAAGGCUUGUUUAGCCCCCUCACCUUGAUUAUUCGCAGAUGACUGAGGUUCAACAGGCGGCGUCCCUUGUGCAGGAGCAGCCGCUACGCUCUUAACGUCAUCCGCUAGGGUUCUUUCUUCACCGGGGUCCAUUUACUAAUCAAAACAAAAACAUUUCAACCGUCAGAAGUCAUCACACAUUUAAACAUUAACAUUCGGCAUGUAUAGCUAGACUCAUACGCGCUAUGGUAGUCCUAGAACCGACUAAACCAUAGCUCUGAUACCAAUCAAAUGUAACACCCCGAACCCGAAACCGACACCGGAGUCGAACACGAGGUGUUAACUGACUUUAACCCCUUAUAAAGUUUAUUUUCCAGACACUGCCCAAUCUGUGUACUAGUCGUUCUAAAAAUCAUAUCUUGAGUUUCGUAACUCGAAAAUCAGUUUCGUGAUUUUUCCCAGAAACUAGACUCAUGUGACCAUCUAUGUAUUUUUUUCUAGAAUUUUUGGUUGGGCCAAUUAGUACAGUUUAUUAGUCAAAGUCUCCCAUGUUGCAGGGGUCGACUACACUGACCUUUGCCCAUUACGACUUGGAUAUCUCAUUGCACACGGCUCCAAUACUGAUGUCGUUUGUUUCUAUGAAAACUAGACUCGGAGAGGAAUCUGUACAUAUAUGGUACAACCCCUAAUUAUCUCUGGUUAAUUUAUAAUGAAUUUCCAAAGUCGGAGCAGGGAAUCCAGAAACCGUUCUGGCCCUGUCCCACAAAAAUCUGAUUAUCUCUUAAUAUACUGCCCAUAUGAUCUUUUCGUUACUUCCUCAUGAAAACAGACUCAUCGAGCUUCGAUUACAUAAUUUAUUCGUCAAUUAAUUCCACUCCUACUAUUUUUAGUGAUUUUUCAAUCUCAUGACACUGCUGCUGCCAGCAUCUGUUACGAAAGUAACUAGGCCCAUUUCAUGCCUACCCUUGAUCCAACUCAAUCGAACAUUCGUGCCAUUUUCGCAUGGCUUAAAGUUUACAUGCCAAAGUUCAAACACAACAUAAUAGCUUAUACAUGCCAAAAUGUUCUUCUAAUCCAACUAAGAAGAAAGUACCAAAACUUGCUAUCCGGUGUGAUGACUUCGAUGACGGCCCGACCCCGCAAAAAUAGAUGAGUCCAAACAACCUAUAAUGGGUGACAAGGAAACACCGAGUGAGUUUAUAACUCAGUAAGUCAUAAGCAAUGCACUACCAUCCAUCAAUAACAUUAUCACAAGAGGAAACAAAAUGGAACAAGACAAUUUACUCCAUCCAUACCGAACCAUACCAUAGUUCCUCCAACCUAUCGAUUCAGUUUCAUGUCACUUCAUGCAUUCACAUUCCAUAUACUCAUCAAUAGGACAUUGAGGCAUUUUCAUAAUUCAAUUUAUUUUCGUUACAAUCAAACGACUAAACGGCCUUUCACCCAUCCUACUAUAAAUUUUAUGUACGUGACUUCAAGUAUAUUUGUCACAUAGGUUCAAACUUACCGAGCUCAACACCAAGUAUAAGCAUAGCACCCAUUAGCCAUGUACUCAAGACACUUACCCGAUCCGCUGUCCGCGAUCGACUCGAUAGUGUCGCACACAUAGUGUCCAUAAUGAUUCACGAAUGUAUAUUGAGUCCGCUCACUCAAUGCUAUAUAAUCAACUCGCACACUUAGUGCUACGUAAUCAAAUCGCACACUUAGUGCUACAUAGUCAAACUCGCACACUUAGUGCCGCAUGGUCAAUUCGCACACUUAGUGCAUCAUAUUCAUUUCGCACACUUAGUGCAACAUAGUCAAAUCGCACACUUAGUGCUACAUAGUCAAAUCGCACACUUAGUGCUGUACAAUUUACUCCCGCGCACUUAGCGCCAAUCUCAUGGUCAUAAAUGGUUAUACCCGCACGUUUAGUGCCGAGAUCAACAACUCAGUACAUCUUACCUCUUUUCUUUUCAUUCAACAAUUUCAUCAUCACAUACGUACAUGCAUAUAUAUAUGUAUAUUUAUUCAUUCCAUUCAGCAUCAAUACAUAACAUUAUGACCAUUUAAAACAAUACCAACUACAUGCUUAAUGACUUACUUUAUGUUGGGUAAAAUAAUUCCGAGUCGGCUACUCGAUGACCUUCGAUUUCCCCUUGUUGGAUGCCUCUCCUUUAGGUUCUUGAGCUUAAAUAAUACAAGUAAGAGUAUUCAAUAUUUAACCCAAUAACAUGAAUUUAUUUAUCACAUUCGGCAAUCACAUAUCAUUAAUUUUUCAAACCAAAAUGUCAUUAUAUGACCACACAUACACAUAUCUAUAUACUUAAGCUCAAUAAUUAUAAUGUAAUAUCAUGUGCCCACUUUAAGUAUAUUGCCGAAUAUACUUAAUCAUACAUACACCUAACCAAAACAAUUUCCUAAAAUCUUUAUAUCAUUUAUACACUAAGCCGAAUACUCUCACCAAGUUCACCUAUAUUCUUCAACAAUUCCUUCAUUGAUCAUACACAUAUUUGGCUAAAGAAAUUGAAAUUUUAGCAACCUUCGAUUUAGUACUUAACUUUUACCACAUAUCAAAUAACUCAUUUCCUUACUCAUGUGACCACAUAUAUUCGGUCAUGCAUACACACAUAAAAUCAAUUUGGAGACUCUAUCAAUCCAACAUACAUUCGGCACCUUCAUCCACCAUUCUACCAAGCAUGUAAUAUUCAAACACAACCAAACUCACAUUCGGCCCUAGCUCAUAACAAGGUAGCCGAUUCUUUUUAUUGUUCAAUCACUCCUCUAUCAUCAUUCACCUAACUUUAACAUGAAACAACAAAACUCACCAUUCCUCAUCCAAAUAACAUGAACAACAACCAUUUCUUGAACACUUUCUCAUGACCGAUUGCUCAUGUUACCAACAAGAUUUGAACAUGGGCUAUUUAGAACUCAAGUCAAUUACUAAAACAUGCAUGCAUCUCAAGGACAACAUCAAACAUACCUUAGUCUAGCAAAUCACCAUAGCCGAUUUUCUCAAGCUUUUCCCCUUCCUUUCUUUCCUCUAUUCGGCCAAGGAUGAACCAAAGGAUGAAAAUUUUUUUUUCUUUGUUUUUCUUUCUAAUUUAGGCUAAAUGAAGGUGAGAAAGGAUGAACACAAAAUUUUCUCCUUUCUUCUCUUUAGCUCACGGCAAUGGGGGGGGCAACAACACAUUUUUUUUUUCUUUUGUUUUCCAUUUCUUUAUUACCCAUACUCCUUAUUUUAUUCUUCCAUUAACAAAACAUGUUUCAUGACAUGUUUUGCCCAUUUUUCCUUGUCAUGGCCGGCCACUACUCAUUAGGGAGGGGGAAUUUGACAUGGAAGUCCCCUUUUUCUUCCACAUGCACUAAUAGGUCCUCAUGCAUUGACCUAUCACAUUUUAAAAUUUUCUCAUAUAAGUCCUAUUGACUAAAUUCACAUGCAAUCAACUAAAUCGAAGCUUGAAAUUUUCACACAUUCAUGGUUACAUAUUCUAGACAAUAAACAUCACAUUCAAACCUUUCGGUGACUCGGUUUAGCGGUCCCGAAACCACUUCCCGACUAGGGUCAAUUUUGGGCUGUCACACUCUGUUAUACUAUUCUGUAUCUGAUUCUAUAUCUGAGUGGGCUAUGGUCCACACUGAUUUUGUAAAGGGCUCAGACUUGAUCUAUGUAUAAAUACAAGAUUGAUUUUCGAUAUGUGUUGUGUGUAUACUUUCUGUGGAUUUACACACUGAGUUUGCGAAAACUCACUCCUUUCUGUUUAAUCUAUUCAGGUAAUCGCCAGCAUUAGGCGGAUCAGUGCAGCGAAGUUCUCGGCAGUGACCACCAUGAUUUCAUACUAUAUUAAUGCAGUUUUUCUUAGUUAUUUGUUUGCUCUUUUAAUUUAGGUUUUAUUUUAUAAUUUCUGGGACUUUGGACUAUCUGGUUUUAACUCAAUUUUAUACUGUUGAUGUUUUAUUUUUGAUAAGCAUGAUCAAAACUCUACUUUCACUGAAAAAAUGAUUUUUCUUAUAAACUAAGGUUUUUAAAAAUUGAUUAUGGGUUUCCCUAAAAUAGUAUGAUCUCAAAGCUUCCGCGAAAAAUAGAUACGUUUUGAUCAUAAAAAAUAUUAAGUAACUGGAGCUAUUUUUACUCGUCAAGUACGAUUUCAAAAGCACUAUCAUGUGACAACGCCAGAUUCGGCCAUAACAUCUAGGCCAGGUUUAGAGAGUUACAUAUAGUGGUAUCAGAGCUGGGUUCUAAAACUCGACUGUGGAUUUGGAUUUUAAACUUAGUUUUAAAGAAAUGAAUUGUAAAUGAUUUGAAGUAUUUUUUGGAAUAAGUAAGUGGUACACCGAGUCUCUGGCGUCGAUCCUAUAAGUUUUUUGAAACUCUGUUUAGAAUUGUCUGAUAGUAUGAUUAAGAAUAUACUGAAACUAUUUUAGGUAGUAUAUUACACUAAAAACACUCUAGGUAGUGUAAACUGAAAACUGUAGUGAGACUACUACUUGCGAUAACCGACUCUGAACAUUCUGAUAAUGUACUACAUAAAAUAUCUGUUAAUAAAAAUAGGAAUUGUAACUAAUGCAUAAAAAUAUUAAUACAGAUAAAUUUUAAAAUUUAAGAUGAGCAUACGUGGUACUCGUGGACGGGGUACUAGAGGUCGUGGUAGAGGCCGCAGAGGGGCUAAAGCAAGGUCCUUAUCAUCUAGGAAUCUACCUAACUUGGAUACUAGUGAGACACCGGUAUCACCUGUGACAAUGACUAGGUCACGAGAUCGUGCAGCUGGGGAUGACGCACUAUCCCAAGCUAUGCUAUGGAUUUUAAAGAGGGUCGUUGGGCCCAACACUAGAACUGGGGGCCGAGGGUAAUUUACGGAACAACUCUGAUCCAAUGGGGCUAAAUUAUUCAAGGGUGUCACUGGAGUCACCCCUAAAGUGGCCGAGUAUUGAAUGGAGGCCACGGAAAGAAUUAUGGACGACCUGAAUUUUACUGCUGAGCAGAAGCUUAAGGGAGCUAUAUCUCUACUUUGUGAUGAGGCAUACCAGUGGUGGUUAACGGUUAAGUAGGGCUCCCAGCCCGACCGACUGACAUGGGAUCUCUUUAAGAUGGUCUUCCAGGGAAAAUACGUGAUGGCCAGUUAUAUCAAUGCUAAGAGGCGGGAGUUCCUUAAUCUCACCCAGGGUGAUCGAUCAGUAGCCGAGUAUGAGGCCAAAUUUCUUAGACUGAGCCGUUAUGCGUGAGGCAUUGUGGCGACUAAUUAUGAGAGGUGUGUCUGUUUUGAGGACAACCUUAGGGACAACUUGAGAGUGCUGAUAGCUCCGCAGAGGGAGCGUGAAUUUGCUGUUCUAGUCAAGAAAGCUAAGAUUGUUGAGGAUGCUAAGUGCGCAGAGCAUCAAAACAGGGAACACGAGGGAGGAAAGAGUAAGAGGGUUUCGGAGUCCUCAAAUUUUAGGAUGAGGCCUAAGAAAAAGGCUAGAUCUGAUGGGCUAGUGAGAGUUGGGCCUCCUGUGGCACCUACUGGGGUGGCACUUUGUGGACAUUGUGGUAGACGCCAUCCAAACGAGUGUUGGAGGACUACUGGGGCAUGUCUGAGAUGUGGAUCUACUAAGCACAGUGUUCAGGAUUGUCCAUUGAGAAUUAAUCAGAUGCAAUCUCUGGUUACUGGGACUGCAUAGCCGCUGAGGGUAGUUUAGCAUCCACCUAGGGGCUGGGGUCAGGCCAGUGGUGGUAAUUGUAAUGCCCCAAAUUUGGGCCUAGAAGUAUUGGGUCUUGUGCAUGGGAGUAGGUAGGAGGCAGAAAAUAAAUAGUUAGUUGUACAAGAAAGUGACGCAAAAUCAUGCUUGUCUCAAUGGUUAAGUGUUCUGGGAAGAGUUUGAGAAGUCUUGGGUUCAAGCUUGAGCAAGAGCAAAAAGUUUUGAUUUUAAAGGAAUAAGCAUUGUUUCUAGGCAGUAGGCUUUUAUUUAAAUGUGGGUAAACAUGUCAUAAAAAGCCUGCUAGCCUAGUGGUAAGUGGUGUGUGGAGUGUGCUAGUGAUCUGAGGUUCGAAUCCCUGCUUGUACAAAUGGAGAUUAUUUUUACUGUUGGCUAUGGAAAGUAGUAAAGUUUGGCUAAAACACUACAGAGUGGAGUGGAGUUUCGAUUGGUCAUUGAGGGAUUGUAGGAGGGAGUUGAGAAGAGAUAUGAGGAGAGAUUUUAGGAGAAAAUUGUGGGGAACUGAAGGGAAGAGAAUGAUAUACCGAAUCGGGACUAUAGGCACUCUUUGUUUUUAGUUUUGGUAGGUUUUGUCACUUUAUUUGGUUGCUUUUAUUUGGAAAACUGAUUGGUGUCUAGGGAGUGGUUUCUAUGCUUUCUUUUUGAGUGCUUUCGAGUUUGCAUUUUGGAGUCUUCUCUAUUGUUGAUUUCUCUCCUCUUUCCUUUCAAGGCAUUGGAUUUUUGCCCCUAGGUUUAAUCAAUUCUCCUCCCUCCUCUACUUCUCUAAACCUUAGUCUUAUAACCCUUUCUCUUCUCAUCUCCACUCCUUCAACUUUUACCAAGCAUUUCCUCUCUAUUUGUUUAAACCGAACAGUUCUACCCCCCUCACUUCUACUUUUUGUUGCUCUCUACUUCCAAGAUUUUUUGUUAGCCGAAUAUUUUCGUUGCUCUCUCCUCCCCUUUUAUGCUUCUAUUUUAUUUCAGUUAGUAAGGGUUCUCUAACGAAUCGGUAAGUGAUCUUGUUUCCUCUUAUUUCUUCUCUGCCUAUGUGAUCUCUCUUCUAACAACUUAUGAUCUGCCAAAUCAUUCAAGGAAGUGUGGAUUUUAUUAUGGAGGCUUAGGACGAUUACUCUUCUCUUUGCAAGUGGUCUAUCCACUUUUGGGGUAAGUGCUUUAAGUGCGAUGUAUUUCAUAUUGGAUUUUAAAUACUUAUCAAUCGAUUGAACGUUUCUUAUGAAGGUCAGAGUUUUGGAGUAGUAUAUGGGUGUUAUGUCAGUGGGGUUCUGCGAUUGUCGGAUUGGUAAGUGUCAGUGAAUCGAUCGAAUCCUUUUCGAUAUUGUGGUUUGGAAUAAUGAUGAAAAUAGGCUAAUGAGGGGAUGUGGUUGACCAUAGGUUCUCAAUCUCAGAAGUGGUUUGACUACGACAUCACAACAGGUGCGUAACCACACCACCUCUAAUCGUAAAUCGACAAAAGCCGACAUAGGUGACCGUCAACAGUACACGAGCCGCGCUUACUCGUUUUGGUACUCCGAAUGCCCAAACAUAGGCAUAAGAUCGUUGAGGCCAGCCAUGAGCGAUUUCAUGGGCUAAGACCGAUUUGGGCCAUGUUGGGCCGAAAUGGGUCGUGUGGGCCCCACGGGUUUAUGGGCCCCACAUGGGUAAACCACACAAAAGUGUGGAGAAUAUUGGGCCAGGCUGUGUAGUACAAACGGACAAGGCCAUUUUUGGGAUUCGUGGGUCACAUGGGCGUGUGGGCCCACACGGGCUCGCAUUAUGGGCCUUAGGCCAUUUUCACUGUUUAAUUGUUAAAGUUGCACAGUCGCUCGAGACGACUGUGACCUUCUGUUAGGUCGGUAAGCAUACCUGAACCCUUGUGUGAUAAAAUGAUGAUUUUGCCCUUAUGUGAUAAAAUAACCGAAAUACCCUCAUAGGGUAAAAUGACCGAAAUACCCCUAUAGGGUAGAAUAAUCGAAAUACCCCUGUAGGGUAGAAUGAUCGAAACACCCCUGUAGGGUAAAAUGACUGUAAUACCCCGGUAAGGUAAAAUGACAGAUUUGUUCUACGAUGUGUAUGGCUAUAUUUGAGCAUGCCAUGUUAUAUGUAUGUUGCAUCCAUGUAUAAUAUUAUGUUGCAUUGCAUGGGGUGGGAUAUAUGAUUUUGAAGGAAGUGUACUGUACUGAUAUGGUCACACGGGUCGCGCAAAACAACUGUGGACCUACUGAUGGCUUUAAGCCUACUAUACUGGAAGCUUUGCUGCAAUACUGUUUUAGUGCCGCAACCGGUGCUACUUGGUGUGUAGGGCUGGGUGGGUCUAUUUUAUCCCUACAUGGUGUGUAGGGUUGGUAUGAAGAUAGUGUGUAGAGGCUGGAUUGGGUAGGAUUUCUUCCUUGCAUACUGCACUAAUUACUGUUACUGCAUUGAUCAUGGUUACUGCAGUAAUUACUGUUACUGAAAUGGGCUAAGGCCCAGACUGCUACUGUUACUGAUAUAGGCUUAGGCCUAGAAUGUAUUCGCUCUCUGCAUGUAUAUCUUUGUGUUAUUAUGGGAUUAUACACUGAGUUUUCAUAAACCCAGCCAACUGUAUUAACUGUAUAGGUAAUCCUUAGGCGGAUCGAUGCUGCGAGGGACUCGGAGGUGAACACACAACAGCUUGCGCUUCCGAAUUUAUCUUUUAAUUUAUAAGUAGUUUUAUUUGGGUAUUUUUAUGUAAAAAGACUCUUUAAGUUUUAUUAUUUAAUUUGGGAUUUUAUUAUUUUAUUAUGAUUUAUACCUGCUAGUGGUAGGAUGUGGGUUUUCAAAAGAUAUGCAUGAUUUACCAAAAUACCACGAAUACGCAAAAUCGUUUCAGAAGCUUCCGCGAUAAACGAGAUUUUGGAAUUAAUAACAUUUUAAAGUAAAUACUUUUUGAUAUUGGUGAAAUUUUUAAAAUUAUUUUCUAGAUUACACAAAGAGGCUAAAUAAACAUUGGGCUUUUCAAACGUUAUCACGUUUUACGAAAAACACUUCAAUGUGACAUAGCAAGAUUCAGACAUAACGUCUAGGCCGAGUUUGGAGUGUUAUAGUAAUGGCAUGGGCUGAGGGCAGACAGCACUAAGCAGAGGUGUGGGACAGACUGAGGCAAGGUAGCCUGCUUUGGUCUAUACUUCUCGUCGUCGUGAGGACAGAGAUGCUCCGAACGUCAUUACGAGUACAUUUUUAAUUUAUAAUGUACCUUACUUUGCACUGAUAGACAUAGGCUCUACCCACUCAUAUGUAGCUAGUACUGUGUCUGAAACUUUGGGGAUUCCAGUCGAGAGUACUGAUAGUGAGGUAAAGGUGUUAAGUAUUUUGGGGCAAUCCAUCCGGGUUAGUAGAUUGUUUAGAUAUGUUCCGUUAAAGGUCCAAGGGAUAGUAUUUCUGGUUGAUCUAAUGGAGCUACUGUUUGGGGAGUUCGAUUUGAUUCUGGGAAUAAACUGGCUGGUUAAACACCGGGUGAGUUUAGAUUGUGCAAUGAAAAGGGUUGUCUUGAGGACCGAAGAGAACAGUGAGGUACUGGUGACUAGGAAGCAACAAGACUACCUGACUAAUGUGAUCUUAGCUUUGGUAGCGGAAAAAUUGGUUCAGAAAGGAUGUGAGGCAUUCUUGGUCUACAUCAGUAUUUCUGGUUCUAGGGACUCUUCGGUUAAGGACAUCAAAAUCAUAAGGGACUUUCCAGAUGUUUUUCCUAAGGAACUUGUAACACUCCUUACCCGUAUUCGACGCCGGAAUAGGGUACGAGGCAUUACCGGAACACAUACGCUUGUAAACAUAUUAAACCACGUCAUAGAAUUUCAUUCAAUUUAAAAUCAUUCAUACACAUGCAUAUCAUCCCUUAUAUGGGCCUACGAGGCCCAAUACAUACUUUGGAAGUGGUUCGGGACUAAACCGUAAACUUUGGAAAACAUUAGAAAAUUUCUUGAAAAUAGGGGUAUACACCUGUGUCCAAGGCCGUGUUCUUCACACAACCAUUCACAUGCUUCACUUUCCAUAAUUAAUCAUCACACACUCAUUCAACCAAGUCAUGCAAGCUUGCACAUCCACAAAAUACAACAUCAUAAACAUAUAACUUAACUAAUAUUAGCCAUCCUCAAUGCCCUUAUACAAAAUGAACUAUCAAAUAUUUUAGGCCAACUCAUAAUAACGUAUACACAUAAUCAAGUCCUUAUACAUGCCAUAGACUUAAAAAUACUUGAAGAUCGUUAAUACUAUACCAAUCAAUAACUUGUUAGUGUGAUAGAAUCUCCGACGACCUGUAAUUUGAGCUACCAUCUGUGACGCUAUAGGAAAAAGGAAAGGAAGGGGGUAAGCAUUACCACUUAGUAAGUAGGUAUGUAAAUGAUAAGUAAUCUAUUAACAUGCUUUUAUAAAUCUUCACAAUAUGUUCUCAAGAUAAUACAAUCAUAAUUGCACAUAGUUCCAUUAUUUAUUCAUGUUCAUCUCAAGCUGUCUACUCGAGUCAGAGUCACUAAAUUAUUUAAAUCUUGAGCUAAAGUACUCCAAAUUAAGAUAUGAUAAUUUUCCCUGAAGCUAGGCUUAUAUAUAUUCUUACCAUAAAAUUUAAAAAUUUUUUGGUUUAGCCAAUAAGUAUAGUUUAUUCUUUAAAUUCACCCUUGUUUUGCUAUCCGACAGUUCCCAACCCCUCUUCACUAAAAAUUAAUUAUCUCUUCGUACAAUAUUUGGAUAAUGUUUUUUUCUUUCAAAAAUAUACUCAUUAAGGAUUUUAAUAAUAUAAAUUGUAACCUAUAAUUAUUUUUGUACAGUUUUUAAUGAUUUUCCCAAAUCAAAAUAGGGGAUUUGAAAUCAUUCUAACUCUGUUUCAAAAAAAUUCAAAUAUCUCAUAAUAUGAAAUUCUUUUACUUACAUCAUUUCCUUUAUAUGAAAUUAGACUCAAUAAGCUUUCAUUUCAUAUCUUAUUCAACUUCUAAUUUGAUUUCCAUCAUUUUGGUGAUUUUUCAAAGUCACACAACUACUACUGUCCAAAACUGUUUAAUUACUAAGUUUCACUCUUUCAUGUUUUCUUUGUAGUAACUUUCAUCGUAACACUUACUCCAUAUCAAUCUUACCAAAGUUCGAUCACAUAUCGAGCAUGUUGCUCAUAAUUUUACACACACGAACCUUCACUUAUUCAUCACAUAGUCAUAUUCAAUUACACCUAGUCAUUUCCUAUUGAACCCAUUGGAAUAAUAACAGAUGCCCGUUGGCCUACACAUAGUACCACCCUUGUAGUCAAAGCUACCUUCUUCACAAAGUGGCCUUCAUAUAGUACCACACUUAUGAUCAAAGCCAUCUCUUACACAUAGUGGCCUGCACUUAGCACUACACAUGUGAUCGAAGCUAUCAAGUACGCAUAGUAGCCUGCACUUAAUACUACACACGUGACCUAAAACCAUUUUAAACACAUAGUAGCCUGCACAUAGUACUACACAUGUGUUCUUACGAUGGAUUAUUCGUAUCUUUUCUAUUCCGAAGGUCCAACCGGGAAAUUCCUCACUUUUCAACAUUUUAACAAUUCAUCCAUAAUCAAUUUCAAUUCAUAAUUUACAUCAAGUGAUCAUUCAAUAUGCAACCACCUCUCAUAUAAUAACAAAAUAUUAUAACAUAAGUAAAAAUGAUAUAUUAUUUACAUACAAACUUACCCCGGUAGCAGAAUCGGUGAAAAGGACUUAUUCGUCAUAUUCUUUAUUUUCCUCCUAUUCUAAGUCUGAAUCUCAUUUUCCUUUAUAUAUAACAACACAUUUAACUCAUUUAUUCAUCCUGCUACUCAAAUUAGCCUAAAUUCACAUUUUGGCAAAAUUUACAUUUUUCCCCUAAACUUUGUCAUAUUUACACUAUUUCCCCAGGCUCGUAAAAUGAUUUUUAUUCAAUUUCCUUGUAUUAUAAGCCUAGAUAAACCAUUUUCAUAACUAUAGUAUCCACAAUUUCCAUUUAUUGACACACUUACAUGCAUUUUACAACUUUUUACAAACUAGUCCUUUUUGACAAUUUCACCGAAAAUCACUUAGUAAACGUCGUUUAUUACACACCGAGCAUUCAUAUUCUACCAUUAAACAUUAAAAAACAUGCAUGUAAUCCAUGGUUAAAUUUUUAAACACAAACCUUAGCUCAACAUAAUGGUGGAAAUAGCUAAACCGAGCACGAGGAUCUCAAAAAUGUAAAGAACAUUAAAAACGGGGCAAGAACAGACUUACAAUCGAGCUUGGAAGCUUAAAAAACCCUAGCCAUGGUUUCCCCUUGUGAAAUUCGGCCAUAGCUUGAAGAUGGACACAAUUUUGCUUUGAUUUUGGCUUUUUAAUUCUUUUAAUUACUAAACGACCAAAAUGCCCCUAACAUAAAAAUAUUAUAUUUCACCUACUUCAUGUCUAGUUUUGUCCAAAAAAUUAUCCAAUGGUCUAAUCACCAUUUAAGGACCUCAAAUAUAAAAUUUCAUAACAAUUGGACACCUCUAGCAUGUAGAACUCAACUUUUGCACUUUUUACAAUUUAGUCCUUUUGACUAAAUUGAGUGGCCAAACGUUAAAAUUUUGAAACGAAAUUUUCAUGAAAUCAUUUCAUAAAAUUGUAGACCAUAAAAAUAUAAUAAAAAUAAAUUUUCUUACGUCAAAUUUGUGGUCCCGAAACCACUGUUCCAACUAGGCCUAAAAUUGGGCUGUUACAGAACUACUGGGGUUGCCUUCGAGCCAUGAGGCAGAGUUAGGAUUAAGUUGAUUCUGGGUACAACUCCGGUGGCUAUCGCCUAUUACCGAAUGGCACCGAAGGAGCUUACAGAACUUAAGGCUCAUAUUCAAGAAUUGUUAGACCGUGGGUUCAUUCGUCCAAGUGUGUCUCCGUAGGGAGCACCUAUUCUUUUUGUGAAAAAGAAAGUUGGGACAAUGAGGAUGUGUAUCGACUACCGUCAGUUGAACAAAUCAACGAUCAAGAAUAAGUACCCACUUUCAAGGAUAGAUGACUUAUUCGAUCAGUUCAGAGGGGCCUGUGUUUUCUAAGAUCGAUUUGCAUUCAGGCUAUCAUCAGUUGAGAGUUAAGGAGGCUGAUAUGCAUAAGAUGGCAUUUAGGACUCGAUAUGGACAUUACGAGUUCCUAGUUAUUCCCUUUGGUUUGACUAAUGCACCAGCGACAUUUAUGGAUUUGAUAAACCGAGUGUUCUAGCCCUAUUUGGUAUAUUCUAAGAUAGAGGAUGAGCAUGAUGAGCAUCUCAGAGUGCUUCUAAAGAUUCUUCGUGAGAAACAGUUGUAUGCCAAGAUGUGAGUUCAGCAAGUGUGAGUUUUGGCUUCAAAAAGUGACAUUUCUAGGACAUGUAGUUUCUGUUUAGGGGAUACGAGUUGAUCCUCGUAAGGUUGAGGCGGUGUUGGAUUGGAAACGGUCGAGGAAUAUGUUUGAGAUCCAUAGCUUUCUAGGGCUGGCAGGAUAUUAUCGAUGUUUCGUAGAAAGGUUCUCCUUGAUCGCAGCUCCGUUGACUAAGCUUUUGCGUAAGGGAGUUCCUUUCGCUUGGACUGAUGCCCAAUAAGAGAGCUUUGAUAAGCUCAAGACCGUUUUAACUCAGGCUCCCGUUUUGAUUCAACCUGAGCCCGGUAAAGACUUCAUGGUAUACAGUAAUGCGUCACAUGUGGGUUUGGGUUGCGUACUAAUGCAAGAGGGAAAGGUGGUUACUUAUGCAUCUCAUCAGCUCAAGACUCGUGAGGCUAAUUAUCUGACGCAUGAUCUGGAGUUGGAAGUGGUAGUCUUCGCAUCAAAAAUCUGAAGGCACUACCUGUAUGGUGAGAAGUGUACUAUCUACACUAAUCACAAGAGCCUCAAAUAUCUCCUGACCUAGAAGGAGUUGAAUCUUAGGCAGCAUAGAUGGGUUGAGUUGCUUAAGGAUUAUGACUGCACCAUCGAGUACCAUCCUAGUAAAGCCAAUGUGGUGGCCGAUGCGUUAAGCCGUAGGGCUAUGACCGAUCUGAGAGCGAUGUUCGCUCGACUUAGUUUAUUCGAUGAUGGGAGUUUAUUAGCAGAACUUCAGGUAAAACUGACAUGGAUUGAUAAGAUUAGAGGUAAAUAUAUAGGGGAUAAGUCUCUUGAGUUGCGCUUCCGUCAGGUUGAAAGUGGUGUUACUACUGAUUUUGGGAUUAAUAAGAAUGGGGUAUUGUGUUUCCGCGAUCAAAUUUGUGUACCAAAUGAUGAUGAUUUGAGACUGUCGAUUCUGAUGGAGGCGCAUAGUAGCCCUUAUGCUAUGCAUCCCAGUGGGAAUAAAAUGUACCAAGAUCUGAGAGAGUUGUACUGGUGGCCAGGGUUGAAGCGUCAAGUUACCGACUUCAUUGCUCGCUAUUUGACUUGUCAACAGGUUAAGGCUGAGCAUUAGUUACCAUCGGGUUUGUUGCAGUCAGUUAAGAUAUUGAUGUGAAAAUGGGAGCGAGUAACGAUGGACUUUGUCAUGGGUUGCCUCUAACACCCACUAAGAAGGAUUUUGUCUGGGUCAUUGUGGAUCGAUUGACCAAGUCUGCUCACUUCAUCCCGGUUCGGAUGGACUUCUCUCUACAGAAAUUGGCUAAACUCUACGUCUCUGAAAUAGUGAGGUUACAUGGAGUACCUGUCUAGAUCAUCUUUGACAGGGAUCCUCACUUCAUGUCUCGAUUCUGGAAGAAGUUUCAUGAGGCUCUAGGUUCAAGAUUAAACUUCAAUACUACUUUCCAUCCUCAGAAAGAUGGUCAGGCGGAGAGGGCGAUUCAGAUAUUGGAGGACAUGUUAAGGAGCUGUGUUAUUGAUUUUUGAGGCAGUUGGGAGGAGUACUUCCCAUUAGCAGAGUUCACUUACAAUAACAUCUUCCAGUCUAGUAUACAGAUGGAACCUUACGAGGCAUUGUAUUAGUGUAAGUGUCGCACUCCCUUAUACUGGACUGAGUUGGGUAAGCGACUUAUUCUGGGUCCGAAAAUGGUUUUAAAAACUGAGGACAAGGUCUGUUUGAUUCGAGAUCGACUGAAAGCGACUUCUGAUAGGCAGAAGUCCUAUGCAGAUCUGAAGCGUCGAGAAAUAGAGUAUUCUGUGAGAGACCUCAUUUUCUUUAAGUCUCUCCAUGGAAGAAGAUUCUGAGGUUCGGUCGCAAGGGCAAGCUGAGCCCUCGGUUUAUUGGGUCGUAUCAAAUUUUGAGACGAGUGGGACCAAUAGCAUAUCAGUUGGAUCACAUUCAUGAUAUUUUCCAUGUCUUGAUGUUGAGACACUACCGCUCUGAUCCCUCGCACAUUGUUCCUGUAGAGGAGAUUGAGGUUAGGCCAGAUCUAAUGUUUGAGGAGGAGCUGAUACAGAUUCUAGAUCAUGAUGUUAAGGUUCUGCGAAGAAAGUCUAUCCCCUUAGUGAAGGUGCUGUGGUAGAAUCAUAACACUAAGGAGGCCACUUGGGAGUCGGAGGACUCGGUGCGUUAGUAGUAUCCUCACCUUUUCUGAUCAGGUAAAAUUUUGAGGUCAAAAUUUUCUUUUAAGGGGUAGAGUUGUAACGCCCUAAAAGUUGAUAAAUUGUUUCUGUAAAUAAUUCACACAAAUAUAUAUCUACUUCAGUGGUUAAGUGUUCUGGGUCUGUGUGAGAGGUCCCAAGUUCAAGCUAUAACUUGGGUAAAUUUUUGGUAUUUUUAUGAAUAAAGCCUCACUGUUGUUUAAUAGGCUUAUAUUUGAUUGUAUGUAAAAUUCUGGCAGAAUGGGCCUGCUGGUCUAGUGGUUAAGUGGAGUGUUAAUAUAUUGGAGGUCUUGUGUUCGAAUCAAGGUGUAAGCAAGGGUUUUAUUUUCGCUACAAAUUUCAGCUAGAGUUUGAGUUUUACUGAAAAUCUGAGUAGUGUGUUAGUGGUGAGAGUUUUGAAGAGAGUUUAGGGGAAGUGAUUAGAAUUUUUUCCAAAACCGAUUUCUUUCUCAAGCUUUACUGCCAUUUUUACUCUCCCUAAACCCCCCUUGCUACCGAAUUUGUUCUUCCUUUUCCUACGUAAAAUCGUCCCCUUCUUACUACUAAGGUUUCGAUAUCCAUUACCUCUGUUUUCUCUUUGCGUUGGGUAAGUGCAAUUAACGUUUUAUUGCUAACUUUUGGUUAAUGAAUCAUUGUUAACCGGGUCGACUGGUCUUUAGGAGAUAAUCAAAGAGCUGGAGAUCUUUGAUUGAUGUGCGAAGUGGGUGAAACCCCGAUUGUGCGACUGAAGGUAACAUUUUGUGAGUUAGCAUUUGGUCUUUCUCGUGCGUUUUCAUUUGAGCAUAUCUUUAAGUGACUAAUUUGGCAUUAUAUUGGUUUAAUGAAGGUUCUGGAGUGCUAGUGGUCGUUUUAGUUUCGAAUCAAUACCAGGCGUGUACCCGAGAACACAGAAAACGAGAAUCUGACGAACGCCGAAAAAUAAAUCUGUGAACGUCACACAAGCGUGUGGUCACCGGUUUGGUAGGCCAUGUGACUGAACACGGAUAUGUGAAUGAUGAGCUAGGCCAUGCGCGCGUGACACAGCUGUGUGAUGGCCGGUAAGGUUGUGUGCGAGACACGGGCUCGGCCAAUUAAGCCGUGUGGGCCACACAAGUGUGUGGGGUUUUUGGGCCAAGCCGUGUGAUCUACACGGCCAAGGCCAAUUUGGGUCAUGUGGGCCCACACGGGCAGGCCACAUAGGAGUGUGACCUCAUUUUUUUGAAAUAAUUUGUAAGGUUGCACGAGUCACCCAAGUUGACUGUGGACCUACUGUAGGGUCGGUAAGCAUUACUUAGACCCCUAAACGAGAAUCCUGACUAUCUGAUUUCUGUACUGAGCAUGAACUAUGAUAUGAAUUAAUUGUAUGAUCUGAUAAAAUGCAUAUUAGCAUGUCAUAUUUGUAUGUUGCAUUGCAUCGGGGUUGGGUUGAUGUUUUGGAGGAAGUAUUCUAAAAGGCUCUUAAGCCUGAUAUCUGGUAGCUCAGCUGCAAUUAUCUAAUAAUGUGCCGUAUUUCGAUAUAGCAUGGUGUGUAGGGAUGGGUGGGUUGAAUUUAUCCCCACAUGGUGUGUAGGGUUGGACGGAGAUGGUGUGUAGAGGCUGGUGGGUAAGACUCUAUUAUACUAUUCUGUAUCUAAUUUUAUACCUGAGUGGGCUAAGGUCCACACUGAUUCUGUAAAGGGCUAAGGCCCGAUCUAUAUAUAAAUACAAGAUUGAUUUCGGAUAUGCACUGUGUGUAUAUUUUCUGUGGGGUUUACACACUGAGUUUGUGGAAACUCACUCCUUCCUGUUUAAUUUGUUCAAGUAAUCCCCAGCAUUAGGUGGAUCGGUGCAGCGGAGGUCUCGGCAGUCACCACCACGAUUUCGUACUAUAUUAAUGCAGUUUUUCUUAAUUAUUUGUUUCCUCUUUUAAUUUGGGUUUUACUUUGUAAUUUUUGGGACUUUGGACUAUCUGGUUUUAACUCGGUUUUAUACUGUUGAUGUUUUAUUUUUGACAAGCAUGAUCAAAACUCUACUUUCACUAAAAACAAAUGGUUUUUCUUAUAAACUAAGGCUUUCAAAAAUUAAUUACAGGUUUCCCUAAAAUUGUAUGUUUUCAAAGCUUCCGCGAAAAAGAGAUACGUUUUAAUCAUAACAAAGAUUAAGUAAUUGAAGCGAUUUUUACUCGUCAAGUACAAUAUCAAAAGCACUAUCAUGUAACAACACCAGAUUUGGCCGUAACGUCUAGGCUGGGUUUGAGGUGUUACAAUCAUACUUUGAAACUUAAAUGACAAUGUACCAAGGUCAAAUCAACAUACUUUAUAUGAAUUUCAUAUCCAUCAUUUGCCCAUAUAGAUAUCAUAAUUCCAUCUUUCUUAUCUUUUAUUGUUCUUGAUGAAACAUCGUAAAACAACUAAAUACACAGGUGCAAAUCAGAUCUAAUUCUCGUUCGAGCUAAUUAUAUACAUCAGUGUUAGAUUACCCAUCCGGACUAAACCUUUAUCGACACAAUAAAUAGCCUUGGUAGCCUUGGUAGGGCUGUAUAUAAAUGUAAGGUUACCCGUCUAGGUAAACUAGUAAAACGACAUCAAGUUACUCAUAUGAGCUAAACUUGUAUCUGAUGUAUCUUCGAGUUCACCACAAAUGCUGGAGCUCGGGAUCAUAAAAAAUCAACCUCUAACUAUGUACUAAUUCAUAAACAAUCCAAACUUUCAAUAGAACAUAUAUAUGCAUUUAGACACAACUUAACAACAACUUAAACUUGUUUAUAUUGUAUGAACUUACUUGGAAAAACAGCAAUAGUUUAGCCGUUAGGGAUUAUUUAGUAAUUUUCUCUUUUCCUCGUAUAUCCACUAGUUAUUGUAAAUCUCGAUCUAAAUCAUAUGACAUUUCAAUUUAAUCUAUCGAAUAAUACUUCAAGUUUUACAUUUUAUUCAAUUUAGUCCAUAAAACAAAAAUGUUAUAACUUUCUAAUUUGAGAUCUGAUUUCGAAAUUGAUCUCAAUUCCAUCCUCCUAUAGCCCAUUAAAACCUAUAUUUAUAAAAAUUUCAUGAAAAUUCAAAAUUAUUACACUUUAGUCCCUAAGUUCAAAACUAGUAACUUUUAUUUUACAAACUAAGUCUUUUUCUUCAUAUCUAAACUUCAAAUCUAACCAAAUAACCAAAAAAAAAAGCUUCAAUAAUACAUUAAUGGUAAAUUUUAUAAAAUUUUUUUUUUUUUCAAAAUAGUCUCUAGGCUAGCUAAACCAAGCUCUCAGGAUCUCAAAAACAUAAAAAUUAUAAGAAACGAGCUUGAAAUCACUUACCAAUUGAAAGAACAAAACUUGAAAAAUGUUAGAACCCUAAUUUCAUUUUCCUUAUCGUGAUAAAGAUGAAGAUGAUUAAAAAUGGUCUCAUCUUUUCCUUUUUAAUUCCUUAUAUACUUUGAUUAAGAUUAUUAAACCUUAAAAAAAUAUUUCGAAACAUUUGGUUCUUGUUUUCCGGUGUGUGGAGUCCAUCUUUAUUCUUUUGUUUAGGAUAAUUGGAUGGUUGUUUUGUAGUGUUAGUGGUGGGUGGGUCCUACAAAUGGUGUGAUCUCAUUUUAGGUACAGUGGCGGGCCGCUCGAGGAAGUAUGAUUGUUGUGUACGUGAAUGACUAUGAAUCGACUAAGUUGCAUCUAGGUCCUGGUUGAUAGAGUUUCUUGAUAAGUUUUAUUGUUCUCUAAGUAAUUUUUUUAUGUUCUUUUAAAAAUUAUGUGGUUCUUGUAUGGUUCUUUACAUUAACCUUACGUGGUUCUUUGUCAUCUUCUACAUGGAUGCCAUUAAUAAAUCCUUUGACUUUUUUACAAUAAAUAUUAAAUAAUUGUACUUUUUCCUAGUGUAAUUCUAUCUUCUUUGGCUUUAUGUUUAUAUUAGGAUUCUUAGCUUUUCUUGUGGCUUUCAGCGUUGUUAGGUCUUGGCCCUGUUUCUGUGCCUUUGUGCCUCUGUUGACUUUUGUCAGGCUAUGGAACGAAACAUUGUGUUCUCUCUUGUUUCUAUGAAUGAAAGAGAUUGUUGGAGUAUUCAUCAUGUUUCUUGAAUCUCGAGUGGUGGUUUUUUAAUUUCCUGAGUCAGGUUGUGCUUUUUCAUCCUUUCUUGGGGUCUCCUUUGGGUGCCAGUAUAGAAUAGGAUUUUAACAGACUAUUAAAAAAAUUAAAUUCCUUGAAGGAAGAAAGAAUAAAGAUCUUUUACACAAAUUUAGGCUCCAACAUUUCCCAGGGUUUCGAGGCUUAUGCUAUAGGAAAAAUAUUGUCCAUUGAAAAGGUUAAUCAUGAAGCUAUGUAUCGAGUAUUCAAGUCAAUCUGGUACACAAAAGAGGAGGUUAACUUUGUGGUGACAAAAGAAGGAGUUAUUUUGGUUAAGUUUUGGAAUGUGGAAGAUGAUACCGUCGGUAACGUUACUGGAAGAACAAGAAAUGAAGAAGAAAGAACUAAGAGAGGAAGAGAUGAAAGCAGUUGAGAUAAGAGAACCAAAAAGGGAGAAUAAUUCAAUUUUUCAUAAUACCCCUCAUGUCUGUGAUACGGGGUUAAAAGAGUGCAGCACAAACACACAGAUAGUGUCAAUACAAACAGGACAAAACUCACCAUUUAAAGAAAACAAAACAGACAAACGCAGCGUUUGACGCAUGAUAAUUAGAAAUUAAAAAUAGUGUGAAAUAAACAGAGUUGAAACCAUGGCCUUCCAUUUUGGUCUGUAUCUGUUACUCCCUUCUCGAACAGGAUCCGUGUCCUUAAGGAUGAAAAUUAGGAUAUCGCUUCUGUAAUGCUUGUAGAUCCUCUCAUGUUGAGUCUUCAAGGUAGGUGUUGAACCAUUCAACCGCACCUUUAUUGUCGCACGAUUGCCCUUCUUAACCAUUAUUCUCUCCAAUAUUCUUGAUGGUUCUUUGUCGAGGGUACCAUCAGUCCCUACUACAGGCAGCAUAGGCGAAUGUGGUGUCUUAUCGAUGUACCUUUUGAGCUGGGAGACCUGGAACGUAGGGUGAAUUCUUAAUCCCGGUGGCAAAGUUAGUUUGUAAGCAACUGAACCCACUUUGGCUUCCACAAGGAAGGGUCCAAAGUAUUUAGGUGACAAUUUGUGAUUCUUUAGCUUCCGGAGUGAGUGUUGUCGGUAUGGCUGCAACCUAAGGUAUACCCAAUCUCUAAUUUCAAAACUCCUAUCUGACCUCUUCUUGUUGGCAAGCUGUAUCAUUCUCUCUUGAGCUCUCUUCAAAUGAAAGUGAAGAAGCCUCCUCAUAGCUUCUCUGUUUUUCUAGCUUCGAUCUACUGUAGCUACAUUAGAAGAACUAGCUAGAUACGGUAAUUUUUGGAGUGGGACUUGGCCAUAAAAGGCCUCAUAUGGAGUGGUUUGAAUCGCUGAAUGGUGUGUGGUGUUGUACCACCAUUCAGCUAAGGGUAACCAUUGCACCUACUCCUUAGGACAUUCACCAGCCAUGCAUCUUAGAUAGCCUUCUAGGCAUCGGUUCAGAACCACAGUCUAUCCAUUCGUUUGGGGAUGAUAUGCUGUCGAUAAACACAGUUUAGACCCCAACCUUCUAAAGAGUUCUUGCCAGAAAUUGCUCACAAAUAUUUUGUCCUGAUCUGACACGAUUGUCUCAGGAAUACCAUGUAGCUUAUAAACAUGUGUCAAGUAUUCUUGGGCGACAGUGAUGGCUAUGAAAGGGUGUGAGAGGGGUAUGAAAUGCCCAUACUUUGUGAGUCUAUUGACUAUCACUAAUUUGGUGUUCUUGUUGCGGGAAGUAGGUAACCCUUCUAUGAAAUCCAUGCUGAUAGCUUGCCAUACACGAGAGGAAUGGGUAGAGGCUGUAAAAGACCAGGAGAGGCUACCAAAUCUGCCUUGCACCGUUGACAAACAGGGCAUUUCCUAACCCAUUUCCUUAUAUCCUUAGCUAGAGCCUUUCAAUAUAUCUGUCUGGACAUUCUAACCUUGGUAGUGUGUGCUCUUGAGUGACCUCCCAAUGAGCUACUAUGAAAACUUUCGAAUAGCUCCCUCCUAAGGCUUUCAUCAUUCCCUACGACUGCCUUCCCUUUUCUUCUUAAUAUCUGACAAUCCCAUGAGUAAUUCGGGUGCCUCUGAGGGUUGUCUUGGAGCUCGAUGCAUAGUUGUUGUAGCUUGGAAUCAACUAAGACAGAUUUAACUCUUUUUCCCAUAAUUCUGACCAUGAAAUGCUUCAUAUACAUUGUAACGAUUGUCCCACUGAUUCUUGAGAUUUUCUGGAUAGGGCAUCAACUACCAAAUUUUGUGCACCCCUCCUGUACGUGAUGUAGUAGUCAUAUCCCAGCAUUUUGACUACCCAUUUUUGCUGGAAUGGGGUAAUAGCUUGUCUAUCUGCUAAAAACUUUAGGCUUUGGUGAUCAGUCCUAAUUUGAAACCUCUUCCCAACCAAGUACGUGUGCCAUUUCUUAACUGCCAUGAGAACUACAAGCAUUUCCAUAUCAUAGAUGGAAAGCACUUGAUGCUUCACCCCUAGUCCCUUACUGAAGAAUGCCACGGGUCUCCCUUUUUGGUGUAACACAGCCCCAACCCCUUGACCACAUGCGUCAGUAUCGAUGCAGAACUCUUCAUUAAAAUUAAGAAGAGACAACACUGGUGCUUGGCAUACAACUUGCUUUAACGAUCCAAAGGCUGCUUGCUCACUUUUGGUCCAGUUCCAUGCAGCAUCUUUCUUGAGCAAGUUGGUUAAAGGUCAUGCCAUGACCCCAUAGUUUCUUAUAAAUCUUCUGUAGUAGCCUGAAAGGCCUAGGAAGCCCCUUAAUUCUUUGAUCGAUUUGGGGGUAGGCCAAUUUGAAACUCCCUCAACUUUUGUAGCAUCCAUUAUUACCUUUCCUGCAGAUAUAACAUGCCCCAGAUAUUCUAUUUGAUGAGUGCCAAAGGUACAUUUACUUUUCUUGACAAAUAGGUGGUUGUUCCUCAAAAGUUGCAGCACCUCUCGUAAAUGCUUCAUAUGCUCGGUCCAGCUGUUGGAAUAAACUAGUAUGUCAGCAAAAAUACUAGGACCGAUCUUCUUAAUAAGUCUUUGAAGAUGGUAUUCAUCACUGCCUGGAAGGUUGAAGGGGCAUUAGUUAAGCCAAAAGGCAUAACCAAGAAUUCAUAAUGCCCUUCAUGUGUCUUGAAGGCUAUUUUGAAAAUAUCCCCCUCAUGCAUUCUAAUUUGGUGAUAGCCCGAUCUAACUUGGAGAAAAAGAGGGUCUGUCCUAGUUCAUCCAAUAAUUCUUCGAUGAUGGGUAUAGGAAACCUAUCCUUAAUGGUAAGUUGGUUCAAGUGGCAGUAAUCUACGCACAAACGCCAGCUCCCAUCCUUUUUCUUGACCAUUAUGACAGGUGAAGAAAAUGGGCUAUUACUAUCCCGUAUGAUUCCAGCUUGCAGUAUCUCUUUAAUGAGUCUCUCAAUUUCUAUCUUCUAUAAUGUAGGGUGUUUGUAGGGCCUCACAUUAAUCACCCUUGUUUCAUUGUGCAAUGGGAUUCUAUGAUCUUGUGUUUUUGCUAGAGGGAGUGUAUUUGGUGUCUUGAACACAUCAUCGUAUUCCCUUAAUAGUAGUUGCAAGUCUGCCUGGGUAAGAGCAAGUGACAUUUUCAGCAUGGUAUGCUGAUUUGUAGCCAGCAUCAUAGGACAAGGACUGAGUGGUGUCAUAUGUAAAUAUUUGGACAUUUGGUGACCCUGAAGUAUCUGUAAGCUUCCUGGUUGAAUACCUUGCAGCAUGCAACUUUGCCCCCCAUGCUCGAACCUCAUAGUGAGAGACUAAAAAUUCCAAACAAUAGCUCCUAAAGAAAGUAACCACUGUAUCCCUAGCACUAAGUCGCACCCCUUCACCGGAAGAACCAUGAAAUCGGUUACAAACUUGUAGCCUUGUGUCUACCAUUCAAUAGCUCUACAUAGCCCUCUUGUGCACAAACUUCCCCCAUUAGCGACCAUAAUCUUCAUUUGUUUAGCUGGUUCAAUAGGUAAGUUACCCCUCUUGGCGAUUUUGGAGUCCACAAAAUUGUGAGUGCUCCCAGAGUCGACCAAUAUUAUCAUAUCAAAUUGCCCAAUUUUGGCUGCUAUUCUCAUGGUGUUGUGUCCUUGGGAUCCUUGUAAGGCGUGUAAUGAGAGAACGAGGGGGUUGGGUUCAGCUUCUGGUUCUGUAUUUUCAAGUUGCUCGGGGCAGUCCUGAAACUCCUCUGUUGGUGAGUUGAUGGCUUCCACUCCCAAUUCAUUAUGAGAUCCUACCACCAACUGGUAUAGUUGGGACUUCACGCAUUUGUGUCCCGGAGUAUACUUGGCAGCGCAUCAAAAACAUAGACCAUUUUUUCUCCUAUCCUCCAUUUCAGCUUGAGACAAGGCUUUGGUAGGGGUUUGAUGGUUGCUUAAAGGGCUUUUCUGAGGGCCAAGAUUUGACGAGGGACCUCCAAGAGUUGGCACAUGACUGAUAGGUUCGGGGUUAGAAAAUAGGGGUUUAGAGUACCCUCCACUCCCUUCAACCAACGGAGGCCUUUUAAUAGUAUGCGUCGAUACAAUACCUUCUACCUGUUUGGCUAACAUAUACGCCUUUACCAAUGUCUGGGUUUGAAUAGUCUGAGGUACUGACCAACUUCUACCUUGAGGUUACUUAUGAAUAUGCUUAAUGCGUAGGGUUCAGGCAAGUGUAACUGGUUGAGGAUACUUACAAACUGAUCGUGGAAUAGGUCCACCGUUCCCUGUUGCUUCAAGGUUACCAGCUUAGUCAUCGGGUCAGUGAAGUUGGAAGGGACGAAUCUCUCUUGCAACCCUCGAGCAUAGGUUUCCCAAGACAACAUUUGAAGUCCACCUUGUCUUUGGCUAAAAAAGUGGUGCCAAUCCAGGGAUUUUCCCUCCAAAUGGAGCAUAACAGUUCGCACCUUGUCCUGUUCCAACACCUUCAUCUUCGAAGAAUUGCUCUAACUUCGACCACCAUCCCUGGAAGUCUUCACCAUCAAACCUCGGGCAGUCAAACUUGAAGUUUCUACCCAUGGAGUAUAAGGUACUAGCCCUUGAAUGUAUGCCUAUAUGACUAGACUCAACCAUAGGUGAUAGCAAAAGUGACUCCUUUGGUGGGAACCCAGGAGGUGUGCCCCCAAGUACCUCUUUUCCCUUGUUCGAUGUCUGUCCCUGAGCAGGUGGUGUCGCACGCCCUAUCUGCUAUUCAAAAAAAUUUUAAAGCUCGGUGCGAAUGCCAAAGUUUACAUUUUUGUGGAACUCUUUGAAUCGGGACUCCAUUCGAGCGUCUAUUUUUGGGCUAAAUUGGUUUGUAGUUGAGUGAGUUCCUGUUGCAUCAGCCCCAUGUCUUUCUGCAUGUUUCCCAUGUCCUUUUGUAACCUCGUGGUGACUCCCUCACCGGCCAUCGAGAGAGGCUCUAAUACCUUUGAUACCGUCGGUAACGUUACUAGAAGAACAAUAAAUGAAGAAGAAAGAAGUAGGAGAGGAAGAGAUGAAAGCAGAUGAGAUAAGAGAAUCAAGAAGGGAGAAUAAUUCAGUUUUUCAUAAUACCCCUCAUGUCUGUCAAUAGAAAUAGGACAAAACUCACGUUUAAAGAAAACAAAACAGACAAACGCAAUGUUUGAUGCAUGAUAGUUAGAAAUUAAAAAUAGUGUGAAAUAAACAGAGUUGAAACCGUGGCCUUCCAUUUUGGUUUGUAUCAGAAGAUAGGAAGAAAAUUCUGAACUUAUCUCCCUGGUUAUUUGACCAUUGUCUUUUUGCAAUGUUGCUCAUUGUCAAAGAUAAAGAGAUGGAAUCUUACGCCUUCAACUUAGCUACUUUUUGGGUAAGAAUCUUUAAUAUACCCUUUGAAUGUAUGGACAGACGAGUAGCUAUGGAUGUGGGCAGUGCUAUAGGGGAAGUUAUUGCCAUCGACUGGCGUGAUAGAGAUGGUUGAUGGACAGAAUAUAUCCAAAUUAGUGUUAUAAUUGAUACUUCCAAACCUCUGCGUAGAGUGGUCCAGUUUGUGAAUAGGGAGGGUUUCAUUUCUGUUUGCACCAUAAAAUAUGAGAGAUUGCCUACUUUCUACUACAAUUGUGGCCUUAUAAGCCAUUCAACACAAAAAUGAGAUAAGAUGGUUAUCCAAAGCAAAUCCAAUGAUACUAGCUAUCAAUAUGGAAAUUGGUUAAAAGCUUAUAUAGGUAUAACUAAUCAGGAUCGAAGAAAUUGGAGAAAUAGGAUUGAAGUUAUUGAAGCUAAAAGAGUAGUGGAAAGUGAGUUGAAUAGAACGACACAAGGAAAUACUGAGCUAAAUGUAUCUGGUGAAAUAAAGGAAAAAGAGAAAAUUAAACUGACUAAAGAAGAGUUGAGAUCGAGUUCACAAAUAGAGAAGUGACCUUUCAAGUUGUCCUGUAUAGUAUAUAGGAAAAUGAGAAAAAAAAAGAAAAGAGGCAACAGGUAGCUGUGGAGAGUUAACCGAAGACAACCCCAGUAGAUCAGGUCGUAGAAAGCUCAUGGAUAGUUUAUCACUUUUAAAGGCAGUGGUUGACGAUCAGCCCAACCAAGAUCAAUGACGUUCCUAUGUUGGAACUAUCGUGGGUUAGGGAACCACGCGACAGUUCGGGAGCUUUAGCAACUCUUAGUUGCAAAUAACCCUGACAUUAUUUUCCUUAGCGAAACUAAAAUGAAAGUUAAUGAUUUUCAACGUGUUCAGAAUAAGUGCAGAAUGCAAAAUGGUUUGGCUGUGAGUUUUGAAGGAAGAACUGGAGAUCUCGCGUUGAUGUGUAGGGAAGGCGUUGAUGUUACCAUUCAAAACUACUCUAAGUUCCAUAUUGACUCCCUGCUUAGGUAUGAAAAUAACAAAAAUGUUCGUUUCACUGGUUUUUAUGGCAACGCGAAUCCGAGUCUUAGAAAUAGUUCGUAGGAUAUGCUAAGAAGAAUCGGUGGGACGGUUGGGGAGGACUGGGUGGUAGGGGGAUUUUAUGCAAUUUUGAAGAAAAACAAUAUUGAAAAACUUAAAGAUUCGAAUGGCAAUUGGGUGACGGGUAUAGAGAUCUUUGCAAUAUUGCUAAAUACUAUUUUUGUAAUUUGUUUCGAUCUAAUAACUAUGUUGAUGAUAUCCAUGUUUUGAACUAUAUCAGUGAGUGUGUUACCAGAGAACCCAAUGAUUGGCUUGAAGAAGAUUACAUAGAGAGUGAGAUCAUCCAACCCAUUAAGCAGAUGGAUCCUAUGAAGGCCCUUGGAGUGGACGGUCUGUUGGGAGUUUUUCCAAGCAUAACUGGGAGAUUGUUGGGAGGGACACUAUUCGGUUUUGCCUUGAUAUUCUUAACGGGAAUAAAUAUGUUUCAUAUUUAAAUGAAACUAUGAUAAUCUUAAUCCCUAAAUUUCGUGAUCCUAAUGACAUCACUAAUUACCGCCCGAUUAGCUUAUGCAAGUUCAUUUAUAAGGUCAUCUCCAAAGUGCUUUCCAACCAUAUCAAAGUUUUCCUCUCUAAUUGAAUAAGUCCAAAUCAGAGCGCGUUUGUCCCUAGAAGAAUGAUACAUGACAACAUUGUGAUUGCUCACGAACUACUCCACUAUCUUCAAAGCUCUAAAAAUGGUCCCAAUAAAGGACUCGUUGUUAAGCUCAAUAUGAGCAAAGCAUAUGACCAAGUGGAGUAGGAAUUCUUAGAGGCGGUAAUAUUGAAGAUGGGUUUCGGUAAUAGUUGAGUUAAAAAAGUCACGAAUUGUGUUUGGACCAUUCGCUAUAUAAUUAAGUGCAACAGAACUUUGUUAGAUAUUAUUUCUCUCGAUAGGGGAUUCGUCAAGGAGAUCCCCUCUCCCCUUAUUUGUUCUUAUUUUGUAUGGAAUCACUCUCAAGAAUGCUUCUUCAUGCUCAAGGUAAUAAUAUUUUACGUGGUAUCGGGGCUAGCAUCAAUGGCCUUAGGAUUAACCACCUCUUUUUUUUGUGGACAAUGCCCUUAUUUUUGUUAAAAAUAAAAAAUUUUAUGUUGUUGCUUUACUUAAUAUUUUAAAGGACUUUACUAAUGUUUCAGGACAAGAGAUAAAUUUUAGUAAGUCUGUGGUUAUUUUUAGCCACAAUACUUCUAAUCCGCAAAGGCAUAGACUUGGCGACUUACUAAGGAUGAAAGUCAUGGAGAAAUUGGAUAACUAUAUAGGCCUCCCCCUACCUAUUGGUAAGAAAAGAUCAUUGGCUUUUCAAGAAAUUAACAGUCGAUUGUCUUGCAGAAUAAAUAGCUAGACAAAGAGGCUCUUAUCGAUCGGAGGCAAAGAGAUUUUCAUCAAGGCAAUUCUCCAGUCUAUACCAACAUAUGCAAUGUCGAUUUUCUUUGCUCCCAAAUGUGUUGCCGAAGAUAUGCAAACUAAGAUCAGCAGAGUUUGUAGAUUUUGGACAACGCUCUCAUGGAAAAAGUUGUGUCACCCUAAGGGUAUGAGAGGGCUCGGCUUUAGGGAUAUCCACCUUUUUAAUUUGCCGCUUCUCGGUCGGCAGGUGUGGAGGCUUAUCAACAGUAAAGAAACUUUUUGCUAUAAAGUUCUUAGCUCUAAGCAUUUUCCUGAUGGGAGUAUUUUCAAUCCUAAAAAGACUGAUACAGCCUCGUUUACGUGGAGGAGCAUUGCUGCUGCAACAGUCACUUUCAAGGAUGGUUUCGGGUGGCAAGUUGGGUGCGAGGACCGUAUUAAUAUUCGCACUAAUGAUUUGGGGCCGGAAGGCUUAAAUAGGGAAGCUAUUAAGUCAAACAUGUUGGACCAUAGUGAAUACAGUGUUAGAGAGCUUUGACAUAUUGAAAGUAGAAGCUGGAAUACCUGUAGGGUCCGGGAGCUUUAUGGUUAAGACUUAGGGCAGAAAAUUUGUAACUUACCAAUCGGGGACAAGAAUCACAACGAUAGAAUGGUGUGGUUUUGCAAUUUUUUAGGAGAUUAUACCUCGAAGUCUACUUACUUUUAGCUUCUCUUGAAGCAAAUUUGGUUUGGUCUCCGUAGGUUUUUUGGAGAGCGAUCUGGAAACUCGAUUCUCUCCCUAAAAUCCAUGUAUUCACCUGGCAUGUGGGUAAUGAGAUCCUCUCAACUAAUGUCAAGAUUGCCACUGUUCUUCAUGGUUUUGGUCAAGCUUGCCCCAGGUGUGGUACCAACUAUGAGCUCUCAUGCAUGCCCCUAAAACUACCCAAUUUCGAAGGCCACUCUUAUGUUUGGCAGUCUAGACAGUAGCAUUGUUUCUAAGGAGUACGAUAUAUGUAUCGAUUGGCUGAAAGAUAUGUUGAGAAUUCUUGACAAAAAAAGAAAUAGUGAAAUUUAUGACUAUCAUGUGGAAUUGCUGGAAUAACAAAAACAACCGUUUAUUUAGAGGUAAGGAAGAAGAUGCAAAGGCUAUAUGGGAAAGGGCCAGCAUGCUUAGUAAAGAGCUCUGUAUCCCUAAUUUGUUAAAUGUGUCGAUGAUGUCUGCCCAGCUCAAUGGAAAAAAUGGGUUAAACAUUCGAAAAACUGCAUUAAAAUUAAUUUUGAUGCUUCUACUGGUAAUAACAGAACCGGAUAUGGGGUUAUUGUAAGGGAUGACGAUGGCUUUGUCUUGGGUGGAGGUGGGAUUUUAAAGAUGUGCAGCUGUCGGUUGAGGAGGCUAAGUGGUAUGCUUUUGACGAGAGCAUUAAGAUAGCAUGUCGUCUCUAUAUUAAAGGAGAUGUGUUUUUUAAGUCUGAUAGUGCAGGGCUAGUCAACAAAAUAAAUUGCCAAAAAAAGGACCUGACAAUUAUUGGUGUGCGGAUAAAGAAUAGUCUUAAGGCUUUAGAUAAAUUUCGGUCUAUCACUUGUGUUUGGACUAGUCGGCAAUGUAAUUCUGUGGUAGAUUUUAUUUGUAAGAAAAUGUGUGCAGAUGCAUAUAAUUGGUGUUUUGAGUUGGAUUAUCCUCCAUAUAUCUAUAAUGCUAUAAUUUGUGAUGCUAUCGAAUGAAUUUUUGUUUUGACCCUUGUGGUCGUUUUUUAUUAAAAAAAGAUUAUUAAACCUUAAUUAACUUUAAUUUAAUAUUAAUUAUAAUAAUCUAACAUCAUUAAGCUAAUCUAAGUGGAUGAUGGCUUCACCAUCCACCAUUAACAACUAAAAAUGGGUCUAAUUAACCGAUUGGUCCUUAUAUUAAAUAAAAAAUCAUAGUGAUAGAACUUUUACCUCUUUUACGAUUUAGUCCUAGUAUCUUAAUUAAUCAUUCAAUCAACAAAAAUUCUAGACCAAAAUUCAAUAUAACUUUAAUAUAGACUCGUAAAUAUUAAAUAAUAAUAUUUACUGACUUGAUCAUUGGAAUACAGGGUUUAAAACUUUCAUUUUUUUCCACUGAAAAUGGGUUGUUAGAAAAUACGUCUUCUGGUUUUUCUAGAAUCACUUUGGCAGUUUUACAGCUCUCCAAUUGCUUAUAAAGGGUGUUGGUCACACCCUCUAGCAUAUAGCAAUGGGUUAUCUCAUUAGACUCCACUCAUCAUUUUCUAGCCUAAACUUGAAUGGUUGUAGGACAUUUAUUAUCAAGGGCUGUCUUUAGUUUCUCACAACUUAAGAAAACCAUCAAGUUCCUUUUCCAUUCCUUAUAGUUAUUUUUCAUUCAGUUUGUUCUCAGUGAGUAUAUUUAAUAAGGGAUUAGGUAUCAUUUUUUAAUUGAAAAUACAACAUUCAUUCAUUAAUAUCUUUGUAUUAAGAAAACAUUUGAAAACAUUUUGAACUUUACGAUAUGCAUUAAGAUGAUGCAUGCGUCUUACAUUAAACCUCGAAAACAUUUGUAAGUCAUUGCACUGAUAAUUCUUACACCUAUUGAAUCAAGUCACCGUGGGGUAAUUUUGAUCAACUAGUAAAAACAUGGAUUUCCAUCCAAUUAGUACAUGAACCUAAUUCUUUAGGCAUUCACACUUACUAAUAAUCGUUUAAUGAUUGGUCAUCAUUCUAACUUAAGCAAAGCUUUGUGGAAAGUUACUUAACUAAAAGAUCUUGAAUGUAUAACCAUCAACUCAACACCUAUCACAUCAUGUACCACAACAAAGUCAUCGUGGGGCAAUCUUACCGAGUAACAUGCUAUGUCUAGUUGUCUUCUUUGAAGAAAUAACUUCUUGUUAUAUCGCAUGAUAAUACCUACAUUAGGGUCGGCCUGUUGGAUCUGGUGCCCUGAGUGUAGUAUAUUCAUUUGUAAACUUGUAAUCUUUUUCAACAGAUUAGUUAAUAAAAAAAUUCAUUGAUUACACUAAUAUACUUUGUAUAAUUAUUCUCAUAUGGUUUUUGCAUACAAAGCUAAAUGAAAGUAAAUGUUUCUCAUUGGUUGCCUAAUGUUUAAACUAAUACUAAGCGAUAUUACGUGGUUGGAUCAUAAUACAGAAAGACAACUUGUAUUAGUAGACGAACCUAAACAUGUCCUUAGUCUAAUCGGAAUUGAGCAAACCAAUUGAAAGACUAAUAUGUAGUCUACAAAGUCCAAUUGGAGAGAUGUUUUGUCUUAGGUAUCGGAGUGGAUGACUGAUAGAAAAUAGAGACAUAGAUGUGACUGACUAGACUAACAAUACAUCAGACAAGACCCAAGAAUAAUAGAUUUCGAAUCUGUUUAUGACUGUAAUCACUUGUGACGUUCAUAAUAUGGCAUGCCUAAAUCUUGAGUAUAUGACGGACUAUGUAUGCGUGACUUGUACACUUUGAUAUAAAUAAAAGCUUGAGUUCAAAUAGAUAAGGAACCGAAAGCUGGUGCAUUGGGUGUACGAAUUCUGAAGUAUGCAACGCCAUUGACAAAAGUGGAAUUCAUUGCCCGAGACAUGGGUAAAUGAUAUUGUCCCAUUUGCAUUGCAUGGUUGAUGAAAAGUAAAUAUGGCCACGGGUCGUUUAGCUUUGUGAUGGAAUCUGAUCACCACUUAAGAGUGAUUGAAUUUUCAUGAAGGAAGAUGUAAUGGUUACUAUAAGAUAAAUUUGGAUCAUAUUGGGAGAACAUAUAUGAUCCCAAAGAGAUUAAGGAUAUCCUAUAAGGGUAACACAUUUAUGACAAGGUCAUUGGACAAGCACUAAUUGAGUUGCUUUCAUAAUGGUAUGUCAUUGGGGGGAGCUCAGUCACGAUACUAUAAUGGAAUGACUUUAUGACUAAAUGAGUUUAUUAUUAAUAGGCGAAAAGCUAGAACAUAAUUAUAAAUCAUUUGAGCCUCAAUUACAUAUGUCAAAGCGGACCUUUCACUAGCUCGUUGAAACUAGAAAUGAAUUUAAUGUUGAAUCAAGUGAGUAGAAAUGAAUAGAAAUGGUGAAAUGGAGAACUAGGAAACCGUUGGAAAUGAUUAAGGUUUUAUCCAAAAUGAAAAUGAAAAUGAUAAAUGAAUUCAUUUAGAAAUGGUCAAGGAAUUUUUAAAAUGAUCGUAAGAUAAAUUUUAUGUUUUUGAGCUAUUUUAAAGCUCGAAAAUGAAAAUAAACCAUAUGAUCAUAGUGAACAAGUUGAAUGGUAAAAUAUUAAAUAUAUUUUCUUGGAAAUUUUAUUAGGGGUAAAAUUGUCAUAAUUUUACCUAUGGUAAAAUUGGGAUGAGUAAAUUAUUUAAUUAAAUAUAAAUAUUAAAGUUUAUUUUGGGAAAUAGAAAAAUAGAAUUGGGUUGGAUUAUAUUACAAAGUAUUGGGUCAAAAAGCCCGUGAAGUACUCGUAUUUGGAUCUUGUAAUGCCAUCAACCUUAUCCAAUUAAUCGAACCUGAAUCUUGGGCAUUACCACACCAUUUAUAGACAUAGGCUCAACUUACUUUUAACAUUUACAGAUAAUGACAACUUACUUAACCAAAUUACAAACUAAAAUACAUGAGUAAAUACAAUGAGUAAAAUUCAUAUAUAACACGAGGUAAUUAAACUGUAAUGAUAUCCAAAUUGAAACUCUAAUUACUACAGGUACCUCAAUUGAAUUUCUAAGGAGUAUUAUAGUCUUUGAACACGCCGCCAACUUAAUUUGUAUGCAUAAUAGCCUAAAAUGCCACUCCUUAGGCGUAGCUCUAACAUUGUCCCUCAUGACGCAGACUCAUAUCAAUUUGCCUGUAACAAAACACACAGCCAUAUAAGUUCUUAAGAACUUAGUGAGGAAAACAUCAUUUUCCUGUGUCAUUUCUCCACAUCUCAACUGGUAACUUAUUUAGAUGACCAUAUCAUUUUGAACUUUCAACUUAGUCACUUGCAAAUACUCCAUCAAUUUCUAUUCUCAUUUACAUGUCGGAUACCGUAACUUGCUCAGAGCUGAUUCCUUACCCAUCAACAUCUUCGACACGCCACUUGCCUCUUUCAAUCUUGCCUUUCAUAAGUCUUUACACGUUUCCUUUACAGAGGUCCAUACAGCCGAAUCACCCUUACUCUUGUAUAUGUAACUUUAAGUCGUCGUUCCACAAUCCAUGUUUGAUCACCUAUAUAGAACAGGUACAUUCUUUCUGAUAUAUUGCUAGAAAAAUCCUUAUUCGAAAUUUGUUUUUUUCACGUUUACCGAUCACUUCUUCUAUAUCUCAUCACUUCAUUAUUCACAGUAGAAUCAUGGUCUUGUAUAACACUUUAUCGUAGCCCAAGAGACACUGUGCCUAAUCUUUUUAAUAACACUUACAAGCCAUGUUGAACGCGUCAAAGAAAUUUAAUACAAAAUCUGUCGAGAAUCAUUCUUUUAGGUUAUCCCAUUGUGAGCCUUAGUAGGAUAUGCCACAAGGGCACUGCUUUCAGAUUUCUCUAUAUACUUUGUUCUUUCAGGUUUUUUCCAUAAAGCCUAUCACAUUAGAAUUUGCCACACAGGGCAGUUCUUAAGAGUACGCCAUGAAGAUGUUCCUUACAAAAUCCAAUUUUGGCAAGUUCUGAAAUUGGUGGGUAAUCGAGUAGUAGUCAGAGUGGCAUAACAUUAUCCACCCAACCGAUGCUCUUGGCAUUUAAAAGUGGGUAUAAAAUAUGUAUUUGAUUAUUGCAAAGGAUUUUCUUAAAAAGGAUGAAUUGUUAAGAUAAGGUGCUUAGUAAUGAAUUAAGGAAUUUCGAGUAAUUGGGCUAUCGCCGUCAAGUAUUGUAUGCCAAGUUUUGUUAGUCACAACACUGGUUAUGUUCUAAUCUGGUGGCUUGAAAUGAAUGAUGAAAUUACUAUAUACAUGCGUGUGUGUGUGUGUUGGGUUUUUGUACACGUUUCUCUACAGUUGUAAACCACCUAUGGCAAAUUGAAUAGGAUUAUGAUACGUGUCAAAUUUCUAUUGCGACAAAGGUUGUAUAUAUCUAGAUAAUUAGGUUAGAAAAAAAAGUGGAGUUUUUCUCUUCCUUCUUCAAGAAGUAUUUUUGUCUAGAUCUAAAGGAACAUAGGGUAAUCCUUUCUUUCACUUAAGUAUCUUCGGAUCUCUACUAGAUAAUGCUUCACGUUAAGGUAAGGUUUAUAACCCUACAUGAUAUGAUUGAGAAAAAAUGAAUCCAUUUAAUUUGGUAAAAUAGAUGAUAUAAUAUAUUAUUCAGGGGUUUUUUUAGUGUUAAAGAUGAUGGAAAAAGAGCUACAUGAAUAGAUCUUGAUGAAUUUCCAUGUUUUGUAGAAGUAGUUGCUGCUGAUUGUUUGAUGGAAGUUUGAAUUUAGAGUUUGGUGCUGCAGGAGAUGAAAUUCAAGUGAGUCCCUAAAGCUGAUUCUUGUGUGUAUGCAAUAUAUUCUAGAUGCUUUUGGGUAGUAUCGUAUAGACUAAGAAGCUGACCCUAGAAAAUACAAGCAUAAUUAAAAUAUAUGAAGAGAGUUAUGUGUAUGUUUGUCUAAUGUAAGUGAACUAAUCAAAAGGCCAAGUAUUAAUGUGGUACCAAUCCAUGAAAGUCUAUCAAGUGAGUUUGUGUCUGUCUUUGCAGAGUUGUCUAAAGGAGUCUGUCAGGACUUUAAACAUGAUUCUUUGAAAGGAAAAGUCCUGGGCACCAUAUCGUGUAAGACUAUAGUUGGUGGGUUGUGGCAACAUAUGGAAAGAACCAAAGGAAGGUUAUUACCUAAUGGGGUUUUCUACAUGACCUAAAACGAUGAAGAGAAAACCUCACGAAACAUGAGUCUAGAAAAAUCCCUAUCACAAACACACAAGGAAGUGGAAGCCUUUGUGGCAUAUCCAAGAAAAUGGAAGUCUAUGUGGCGAUCUAUGAAAAUCAAAGCUUUCAUGGAAAAUCCUCUAAAGCAUGGCCCUUAUGGUAAUCUUUUGAAGUAAACGCCUCUGUGGGGACCUCGAGAGAAAGAGAUGAUUUCCAUGACGUAUUCUAAAGGAAUGGAAUUUUUGAUGAAAUAGAAAGGAAUGAUAUGAAAGAUAGAUUUUGAAUUUAGAGCCUUUGGGGCAAAGAAUAAAGGAUACAUCCUUAUGGCAGGUUUUGAAGGAACAUCCUCCUUGGUGAAUCCUAUAGAGUGAGUUUUCAUGGCACACACACACAAUGGGCUACAGCUAUGGCGUGUUCUAGGAAGGCUCUCAAGAAUGAUCCAUGAAGGACUCCCUUUGUGGCGGAUCCUGCGCUAAGUGAAAGGCAUAUUCCUUAUUACUCUUGAAUGCAAAUAGUAAGCACCGUAAGUACAAACGUAUCUAUGGGUAUUAUGGUAAGGUACUCAAUAUGAUUAAGAUUUGUGUAGAUAAGGAAAUUCUAAGAGGUGUAGCAAGGUAAUGAGAAUGCAUUCUGAAAAGGAAUGUAAACAUGACAUGCUCGAAAAGAAGUAUCGAUCACUAUGUAUGGGUCUCGUUCUGAAUUUGAGGAAGUUAUGGCAUGGUAAAUGAAGAAUGUAGGUGAAGUCUCAAAGGCACUAAAGAGAUGGAAUGGACUCAGAGUAAUGUAUGGUAACGAACAUGAAUAAAGAAAUAGAAAUGGAUACAGCUUUUUCUAGAGACUCAAUAAAGAAUAAAGGCAACCAGAUGGUUCUUGAAACAUUAAACGCAGCGUGCAAUUAUGACCCAGGUAAAGGGUGGUUUUCUCACUAAGUUCCAUUGAACUUAUUUCUAUGUCUUAUGUUUCAGGCGAACUCGUAAAGGUUUGUGCCUGAAGGGACAACACCAGGGCUAUGCCAAAGGAGUGGCAAGGUGGGCUAUUAUGCAUACAGAGCAAAUUGUUGGCCUGUCCGAGUUCAAGUUGUUUUACAAAAGUCUUUUACACGGAAUAACUAUGAUGGACCAAAGUACCAAAACAAUCAUAGUUGUAAAUAAACUCUCUGUGUGUACUAAUUAAAUUGUCACAUGCCUCACUCUUACGUAUUUAAUAGAAAAGUUGCAAUGAAACAACUGCUGUUUGAAUGUAAUUUGAAAUUAAUAGAAUUGAAUUUCUUAUGUGCUUUAGUAGUAACACCUUAGAUUCAGAUCAUCGAAUUGGGUUUGGGGCUUUACAAAGGCAUUCCUUUCAUAUUCCGCCACAAAGGCUUUCUUUCAUGUUAUGCCACAAAGGCUUUUCUUUCAUAUUAUGCCACAAAUGCUUUCUUUCAAGUAUACCACAAAGGCUUUCUUUAUUUGUCAUGAUUUUGUGAUAUGAAUUUUCCUAAACUCACUUCUGUGAGGUUUUCCCAUCAUUACAUGGGAAACAUUGAAAAACCUUCCUUUAAGUUCCUUUAGAGAGUGUCAUGGCUAUAGGCUUUUCCUUUCAGAGAUCGUGCUUAAAGUUCCAACGGACACCUUUAGACUCCACCGCAAUGAUCAUACACAAACUUACUUGAAAAACUCUUCAUGUACUGACAUCACUUAGGACUCAACCUUUUAAGACACUAAUCAUAGACUUCAUCACAUACAGUUCAAAUAUGACAUACAACCAUACUCAAACUUCACAUAUUGAACUUUUCUGAUUCAUAUGAACUAUAUAUGCAAACCUAACAAACAUUCAUACAAUAGUAUAACCUUAAUAUUAUACUUUUUUAUGUUGGUUUCAUAGUUCAUUCGAUUUCCACAAAAAUAUCUAGCAUAAAUAGUAUACAUGCAGAAGUCAAAUUAGGGACUCACCUGACAACCAUGAACAGCAACUUGAACUCCAGACCCAACAAGGAAUUGUAGCAACCAUUAUAAAUCAAAAGAACGCCAUUAAAACUCAUUUGUAGCCUUUACCAUCAUCAUAAACCCAAAUAACCCUUAUACUAAGCCUUAAUUAUUCAUCUUACUACUCAUGCACUCUUACAGACCUACUCUUUCAUAGCAUAACAUGCAGCAUCAUAAAGCUUACCUUAACAUGGAUCAAUCACUAAUAAAAUUUGAGAUCUCAACUUCAGCUUAGAGAAAUGCCUUUAGUUCUUCAAGCCUCAGAUAACCUUGUCUUAGAAGUAAGAAAAAAAGAACUUCCCUUUCCCAAAAUUGAAUAUCUAUUAUUAUAGUCUAAGUUCUUAUUGGAACAUGACAAAUGUCACAUCAUUAUUUAAAUUAUUUUAUCGAAAGUCUACAACUUCUGAGAAACCUAAUUGAGUAUUCCCUUAUCUUUUAACUAUUCUGGUUCACAAACAGUUGGUUCCUAACCAGCUUACCUUGCAACUUAACUUACACAAUACCACAGUUAAUGAGUGCACUAUCCCUGAUGUGACCUUACGUAACACCCCUUAACUCGUAUCUACCACUAAAACAGGGUUACGGAGUAUUACCAAAACUUUCAAAACAUUUACAACUAAUUCACGUAAAUUACUAUUCAUUAAUCAAGAGUUUUUUCAAAAUGUCCCUUAAAUGGACCCUUGAGACUCAAUACAAGCAUUAGAAUCAAGUUGGAGCUUAAUCGAAAACUCUAAGAAUUUUUCGCGGAAUUACAAAAAUUUUCCAAGGUGCAAGAUUCACACGCCUGUAUGGUCAAAGGGACAUGCUCGUGUGACUCUGGGAGACGCCCUUGCUACAGGUCGUGUUUGACCCCGUGUAACUCUCUAACUUGUGCACACGGCCAUGCCACAUGCCCGUGUGCUAGGCCAUAUGGUUAAUUAAUUCAACUCGAAAUUAGGUGCAUGUUUCACAUGGCCACGACACAAACCCGUAUUCUAGGUCGUGUAGCACACACGGUUGAGACACACACUCGUGUCUCUGCCCGUGUGCUCAAUUCUGAGCAUUCUGUUUCUUAAAAUUAAGGUGCAGGGGACACACGACCUAACCAUACGCCUAUGUACCAGGCCAUGUGUCACACAUGAUCUAGACACACGCUCGUGUGUUUGCCCGUGUAGACAAAAUAAAGCCAUUUCCUAGCCUCAUUUGUCACCCAAAUUUACCAUUUUUUUGCACUAAAACAUACCAAGUACAAUCCAGCCAUUCUAAGCAUUCAAUUUAAGCAAAUUCCAUCAUUCAACAUGGCAUAUCAUUACAUGAAUAUGUGAUUACAAUCUUACCUUAGUUCAGUCCACAUGUUAGACAUAAUUUGAUCAACUACUUAACAUAUAUGUAGCUACCAUAAUAGGACAUUACAAGUAUACCGAAACAACUAUUUCUAGCCAUUCCAAUGGCUAGAUUACAAGCAUCAUUAUUAAGCCACUAAUGGUCAAGUUGUCCUAUACAUGCCAUUAUACCAAAAUGAUUUUACUAUGAAUACCCAAAAUAAGUUAGUUGAUAGUGUGACGAUGCUCCACUAAUCUCCAACCUUCGCGAGCUUUUGAGCACUAUAAAUAGGGAAAAUAAAACAGAGCAAGCAUUACAUGCUUAGUAAGUUCAUAUAACGGAAACUAAACUUACCAAUCUCGUUUAUUAAAUCUAAGCAUACAAUAUCAUGUUUUCCAUCCAUUAGCAAAAUUGCCUAAACACAUGCAUUCAAUCAAACAUGUUAGUCACCAAAAUCUUCGUAUCAAUCAAGUAACAUAGAUGAGCUCAUCAUGCAAUAUUCUUUCAAGUCAUUAUCAUUUCAUCUCAAAAUUCUCAAACCAUGUCAAGAGUUGUGUCCGUUGAAUCAUUAAAAUUCUGAUGGAUGCUCAAGUAGUAUACUCGAGGUGUACGAUUCAAUAAUCUGUCAAUUCUUAUUCAAGGGUACCCAUUAGGGCACUUAACCAAGGAACACACUCUCAAGCAACAUAUCGUAUAACAGGAUUACCAAUUCAGGAUCAAUCUUUUAUAUAUAACCUAUACUUAGAGGAGCUCAAUUAGGAUUACCAGUCUAGGCUAAACCCUCAUCAUAACAUAUACUCAAAAGGUAUUAUAUCAGGAUUACCCAUCCAGGUUAAAUCCUUUUUAUAAUAAGGUCAAUAAGAUUACUCGUCCGAGCUAAUUCAGUCAACAACAAAUGCAAGACCUCAUCCAUUUCGGGAAAGCACAUAUAUUCCUCGAAAUUCAAUAUUCAAUUAGGACUUAACCCUUUUUCACCACUCAAUCAUGAAUUACAUUUUUCAUUAAAGCAUUCAAAUAAUAUAAAUCAAUAUAAGUCACCUUCCACACAAACACAAUGUAACAGCCUGUUUUCAGGUCAAAUCAGAAUAGUGGUUUUGAUACCACAAAUCUGAAGUCAAAAUAGUUAUCUUAUUAUUUUAAUAAGGUUUAUAGCAUGAUAGAUUAAUUAUGUGAAAGUUUCAUAAAGAAAUUUUACUGUUUAAAUGCUUAAUUCGGUAAAAAGGACUAAAUUGUGUAACGCGUAAAAGUUGAGUUCUAUUAGUUAAAUGAACCAAAUAGCUAUAAAAAGGAAAUGUAGAGCACUUGCAUGGUAAAUUUACCAUUUUUUAAAUGAGUGGACUAUUAUGGCCAUUAAUUUGAUGAUUAUCAAAGUUUAUGAACAAGGUUAAUUUUGUAAUUUAGUUAAUAAAACAAAAUUAAAUGUGAUAAAAUUCAUAUCAUCUUUUUUAUUCCUUCUUCAUCAACCAAAAAUUAGGGUGAAAUAACACCAUUUUUUCUUUCUUCAUUCAGCCAUGCUAUAGUGAACAAUUAAAGUACGAUUUUUGAUCCGUUUUUAAUGAUUUUUACGUUUUUGAGCUCUUUGCGGCUUAAUCUAGCUAACCUGUAUCUUAAUUUUUGAAUUUGUUCAUGAUUUUGAAAUAUGCCAUUGUUGAAUACUUGAGUUCUUUGAUGUUUAAUGAUAGAUUAUGGAAGCUUGAUGAUAGUUGAACUAGUUUUGUAAAGUGAUUUUUGACAAAAAUGCAAAAUAGGGAUUAAAUUGUGAAAUUGUAAAAUUAUGUGGUUAAAAGUGUGAAAUAAUGAAAGCUAUCGGCUGCUUAAGUGCAUAAUAAAUUCGGCUAGACAUGGGUUGGUAUUAAAUUGCAUGAAUUUGCAAUUUUAUGUGUUAAGGACUAAAUUGUAAAAAUUAAAAAGUAUAGGGGUAAAUGUGUAAAUUUACCAAAAUAUGAAUUUUGGACUAAAUUGAAUGCUGAAUGUAUUAAAUUUGAUAAUAUCUAGAUCAAGAUAAGCCGAGAUCAAGUUUAGAUCGGGGAAAAGGAAAGAUCGACGAAUAGCCGAUAGUUUUUAUCCGAGCAAUACGAGGUAAGUUCGUAUAAUUAGAAUCAAAUUUUUCUAUACUUAUAAUUAGUGAAAUGAAUAUGUAUAAUUGAAAUACUUGAAGUAUGAUUGUUUUAUUGAUAUAAUGUAUUUGUUAUAGAGCGCUAUUUGAACUAUAAGAAUUCAUUGGAUACGAGUGACAUUAUACUGGGAUUACCGUUUUGGUUGAGCUCCUGCAUUUGUUGCAGACUCACCACAGCUCGUAUGUGCUUACCGAUAUAUCAGCUCGAAAAAGCUUACUGUUUUUAGCUCAUUGGAGCUUACCGUUUCAACUCGUAUGAGCUUGUUGUUCAGCUCGAUAGAGCUUAUUGUUCAUCAGCUCAGGAGGAGCUUACCGAUCAUGGCUCGAAAGAGCAGACAUGAUAAUGAAUUGAUGGAUUACUAACAUUGUUCACUCAAGUAUCCUUUGAAGUUCUAAUAGGUUUAACGGGCCUAAAUAAUGUUAUACGAAUGAGUUACGGUUUAUAAAUGUUAAAUUUUAUACAUGAUAUAUGAAUUUAGAAUGAUGAUAAGUAUUGUAUUAAUGGAUGAUUUCAUGUAUGUUUACAAUGACUAACAUUUGAUGAAUACUUGUAAUUAGGUGUUGGUUAAUUGAAUUGGUUACAAAUUUGUAUUGCUUUGAUUAUGUAUAAAUGGUAAGUUUAAUUCUGAAUUAUACGGGCUUACUAAGCUUAUUAGCUUACUCUGUUUCUUUUUCCAUGUUUUAUAGAGGUUCAUUAGCUCACUCGUUUCGGACAAGUUGGAGUUGCACAUCACACUAUCCAAAUUCCGAUUGGUACUUUUGAACUUGUGAAUUUGUAAAUAUGGCAUGUAUAGGCUAGUUUGAAAAAUGUUAGUUAUGCUACUUGAUAAUAGGACUUUGGCAUAUUUUUGUGUAUAAGUUAAGCCAUGUGAUUUGGCUUAUUUUGAUGUUAAGUUUUGGUUGAAUUGAAGUGUUCAAUUAUGGUAUGUUUUAACAAGUAAUGAUGGAAUGAAAUGAUGCUCUUGAUAUAUGGUUGUUAAAUGAAUGGAUUAUGCAUGAUGAUGGAUAGGUAUUUGGGUUUGAAUUUGUUAUGCUUUGAUAUGGCAAAUAUUAUGUAUUGAAAUGGUUAUUUUGGUUGCUAAUUGGGUUGCUUAAAUCUGGUCAAUUAUGUUUGUAAAGUCUUGUGUUUAUAGGGUGGCAAAAAUGGCUUUGCAAAUGGCUUACUUUUGUCUAUGUUGACGUGUUUCUCAGCCGUGUGCAACACACGGUUAUGUCACACGACCGUGCGUCACCUAGGGUACCCUACGAAUUAAGUCAGUAUACCCUACAGGUUUGACAUGGCUUAGUCACAAGGGCAUGUCUAUUGGCCAUGUGUGUCACACGAACUCACACAUGGGCGUGUGAUUCGCCAUGUGACAUAAGUCAAUAUACCCCCUAAAUGGCACACGGCCUAGCACACGGGCGUGUGUGGCCAUUUUGAUGGGCACACGGGCUAGACAAAUAGGCGUGUGGUUGGCCGUGUGUCCCAAGUCAAUAUCCCCUCCAGUUUUCCCACGGCCUGGCGCACGGGCGUGUCCUCGGCCAUGUAACAUAAGUCAGUAUGUAUGCCCUGUUUUCACACGGUCUAAGACACGAGCGUGUCUACUAGCCAUGUGAGGCACACGGCCGGUUCACACGAGCGUGUGACACAUGAAAUGUUGAAAUUUUUUUAAGUUCUUGAAAUUUUUAAUAUGUUAUGAUUUAGUCUCGAAUGCAUGAUUAAAGCUUGAUACGUUUUUUUUAAGUAUAUAGUGAAUGUGAAUGAAUGAUAUUGACUAAGAAUAGACAUUAUCAGAUAUAUAAUUGUUCUAAAUUGAGUUACAAGUCCGGUAAUGCCUCUUAACCUAUUCCAACGACGACUACAGGUUAGGGAUGUUACAUUUGUUAGUAUCAGAGCUACGAUUUAGUCCUAAAAUGUAGCGUAUGUGAGUCUAGCUAUACAUGCCAUAUAUAUAAAACUGUGAUAGUGUGAUAAAUCUUGACAUUUUUAAAUUUGGUUUUAUAUAAUAAUGGAUCCCAAACGAGCUGUAGUUAACGACGUAGAAAGUAAUGCGCCUGUAACACCCCAAACCCGACCCAGACGUUACGGCCGAAUUCAGCGUGUCACAUGGAGAAUGUUACUAAAAAAUUUAUGUUUUAUCCAAAAAUCUUUCUUAGGGUUUGAAAAAUGUUUUGUUUUAAGUUAAAGUGAAUGGAAGCUGUGCACCAGGUAGGAAGCCAGAAAAGAGGAGGUGAGUCUGUUGGACUGCUUAAGUACCAAGCUCUUCACGGAUCCAAUCCUAGACAUGCACACAUCCAUUGCCAUACUUUAAGCCUGUUACUAGUCCACGAAUAAUUAAUUAAGUUUCAGUCUAUUUAAAAUAUCCAUUUCCUUUAAAAACGUUUACAUUAUGAAAGCUUUGCUCAGUUAUCAUGUUAUUUUGAAAAUAUGUAACUUUUAUAAACCGUGCCCUAGAGCUAACCAAUUUAAUAACCCAAAAUAAAAAAAUAAUAAGAAGAAGAGCGGCCUUAUUUCAACUUAAACCAGAAUAAAAAUAGUCAAAAUAAUAAAUGUGAAACUUAAAAAAAAACAGCAAUUAAUCUUCGUGGCCACUCUGAAUCCCGCCCAGCUCCAAGUCCACCAAAUAGGGCUCACCUGCAAGGAUGGAAGGGAAAGGAGUGAGUUUGGAAAACUCAGUGUGUAAGGAAAACCCAUCCAAAGCCCAAGUCAACUCAAACCCAUUGGGCCUAAGCCCAUUCAGAUAACAGGGGUAUUGGGCCGAAGCCCUUUUCAGAAUACAAUAAAUUGGACCUUAGCCCCAUUUUCAGAUAACAGUAUGGCCCAGAGGCCCAUUCCAGAACAGAUCAGACAUAUUCGUGUAUGCAAGCCCAACCUAGCCUAUAACCAACCGCUAAACUCCACCCGUACCAGCCCUACACUCCAUGUAGGGAAUAGCUCAACCCACCCAGCCCUACACUCCACAGUUGCAGCAUUGCUGCUCAGUUAUCAGUAAGUUGAGGCAAAGCCUCCAAUACGUGGACAAGCCACUUUUAGUACUUCCUCCAUCAGUAUCCCAGUCCCAUGCAUCAGAUAGUAAUAACAUGGCAUGCAGUAAAUAAUAACAGUCAAACAUGCAUUUAGGUCAACCUUAACCCUAGGGGUAUAUCAGUAAUUUUACUCCUAGGGGUAAAUUUGUAAAUUGUCCACCUAUGAAGGUAUUUCAGUAAUUUUAUCAGUUUUAAGGGUUUUCAUGCAUAUUCCUACCUUUCACGUACAACAGAAACACUUACUGAGGGUCCUUACCGAAUUGGGCCCGUUGGCCCACUAUCCCAAUUUUGCCCCAUAAAGCCCAAAAAUAUCGAAGGCACAGAAAUCAUGCACUCUGCAGUCUAAACAUUUUAGUUUACCAAAAACGUUAAUCGAUUUACCUCACGAGCAUUCGCACACUCGCAAGUCCAUAAAAUAUCGAUUUUUUGGCAUUUCGGCUUUUAGCUUUUGCCGAUCUAGACUAUGAAAGGGUGUCAGUUACACACCUGUUUGGAUGAUAUGCUGACGAGAUCCACACACGAAAUGCCUACAAUUGGAUUACUAACACGUUAAUCUAACUAUUAAAAUGAACUACAUAUUAACCCCCUUACUAUAUUCGGCCAAAAACAUCUUAGGUACUAGCGAUCCUACCUUUGCCGAAAUUAGCGACUACGUUUAGAUCCAGUCGUUCCACUUGUCCAAGCCUUUGAUAAGUAGCCUCUAGAUCACACUAUUACCAAAAUAAAACAAUUAUAACAACCCUUAGAGCUACAAGCCCAAAUCGACAGCCUCCCUAACCUUUAGGGGGUUUCGGCUUUUUCUAAAACCUGAAAUAAAGAUUAGGUUCGAAAACUUACCAUCGGUUCCUUCAGUCAAUGAUUCCAAUUAACUCCUACUCGAUUCUAAUGCAGAUCUAAACCCUCAAAUGAUAACAAAAGUCGAGCCCUUAGAGAUCUCAGAAUUCGGCAUGUCCCUAAGGCUAUGCAUUUUCGGCUUUUUGCAACAGUGAAGAAAAAGUGAGGGUUUUGUAGUGGCUUUGUCGACAGAGGUUUGGGGUUCAGAAAAAGAAAGAAUUUAUCAAAAUAUGUUAGCCUUACCUGGGUGGUACUCAAUCAAACAAUCGUAAUCCUUAAGCAACUCUACCCAUCUUCGUUGCCUAAGGUUUAACUCCUUCUGAGUCAACAGAUACUUUAGGCUCUUAUGGUCUGUGUAUAUGAUACACUUUUCUCCAUAUAAGUAAUGUCUCUAGAUUUUCAACACGAAGAUCACUGCUGCUAGCUCUAAAUCGUGUGUAGGGUAGUUUUCUUUAUGAGGCUUAAGCUAUCACGAAGCAUAAGCGACCACCUUACCCUCUUGCAUCAGUACACAUCCUAACCCCACAUGCGACGCAUUGCUGUACACAGUGAAGUCCUUCCCGGACUCCGGUUGAAUCAACACUGGCGCUUCAGUCAAUACCUUUUUCAAAUGGUCAAAAGCUUUUUGCUGUCUCUCAGUCCAGACAAAUUCUACCCCUUUUCUUAACAAUUUCGUCAAUGGUGCAGCAAUCAGAGAAAAUCCCUCUACGAACCUUCGGUAAUAGCUUGAGAAACCUAGAAAACGCUGAAUUUUCGAUACUGACUUCGGUGGUUUCCAUCCUAAAACUGCCUCAAUUUCUUGAGGAUCCACUCUAAUUCAUUCAGCAGAAACCACAUAACCUAGAAAAGCCACUUCUCGCAACCAGAAUUCACACCUACUAAACUUCGCAUAUAGUUGCUUCUCUCUCAGCACUUGCAGCACAAUACGUAGAUGCUCCUCAUGUUUCUCCUCAGUUUCCGAAUAUACCAAAAUAUCAUUGAUGAAAACUACCACGAAUCGGUCCAAGUAAGGUUGGAAUACUCGAUUCAUCAAAUCCAUGAAAGCGGCAAGUGCGUUCGUCAACCCAAACAGCAUAACCAGGAACUCGUAAUGACCAUAUAAAGUUCUGAAUGUUGUCUUAUGAAUAUCCACUUCCUUUACCCUUAGCUGAUGGUAUCUAGAUCGAAGGUCAAUCUUGGAAAAUACCAAAGCUACUCUAAGUUGGUCAAAUAAAUCAUCAAUUCUUGGUAGUGGGUAUUUGUUCUUUAUCGUCAGUUUGUUCAACUGGCGAUAAUUGAUGCACAUGCGCAUUGUCCUGUACUUUUUCUUCACAAACAGGACAGGUGCUUCCCAUGGAGACACACUAGGUCUAAUGAAGCCUCUAUCCAACAACUCUUGGAUUUGAGCUUUCAGUUCCACUAACUCCUUCGGUGCCAUCCUAUAAGGUGCAAUGGAUACUGGAGCUGUUCCAGACAGCAAAUCGAUUCCAAAUUCAACUUCCCGAUUUGGAGGUAAUCCAUUAAGCUCUUCUGGGAAAACAUCCCAGAAUUCCCUAACAGUUCUGACGGUCUCCACAGUCAGAUCCUCAGUUUCAACUUGGCAUACACAAGCCAAAUAUGACUCGCAUCCUUUACGCAUCAGUUUCUCAGCCCUCAAAGCCGAUACCACAUUGGACAAGUAAUCUCUUCGUUCUCCAAUAAUCAUUACCUCUUCAUCCUCAACAGUCCUUAACACCAUCCUCUUAGCUGCACAAUCCAGCGUUGCCUUAUGCUUGGUCAACCAAUCCAUCCCUAGGAUCAAAUCAAAUUCUUCAAACUGUAACUCUAUCAAGUCUCCACAGAAAAUCCUACCUUGAGUCUCUAAAGGCACCUCCCUAAAGAGUUUCUCUACUUUAACCGAGUGACCUAAAGGACUUAUCACAGUUACCCCACACACAGUCUCCUCAAAGUGAACACCCAAUGCCUCAGAAAUGUCACAUGCAACAUACGAAUGAGUUGACCCCACAACUAUCAGAGCAGUAUAAGGUACGCCAGAGAUCAAAAACGUACCCGUGAUGACAUCAGGUGCGUUACCCUCCUCGUGGCGACAAGCAGCAUAUACCAAACCUAGCUGACAAGCCUCAGCAUUAACAGUACCCCUGCCAGAUGCCCCACGUCCACGGCCAUUGCCACCGCGACCUUGGCCACGACCUCUCGGCGGCGGCAGUCCACCUUGCGCUAGUUGGACAGGUUGCACAGCCCCUUGUUCAGCCACUUGAGUCUGAGCUGGCCUCCUAGGACAAUCCCUGAUCCUAUGUUCCUUUGAUCCACAAUGAAGACAAGUCCUAGAAUGCUUCCAGCAUUCCCCCAGAUGCAUUCUACCAUAAUCUCCACAAGCUUGUGGUCUAACUGUGUUCACCGAAACUACUCGAACUGGUUCCUCCAUCCUAGCUCUCUUAACAUUUCGGUUUGUAGUACCAGCUGGUCUAGCAUCCCUCCUAAAUCAGUUUCGAUCCCUGUCGUGGUUCUUUCAUUCGGCUUGCUUCACCUCUUCGGCUAUCUCAGCCUUCUCUACUAGUGCAGCAAAAUCGCGCUCUCUUUGUGGAGCUAUGAGCACUCUUCGCUCAUCCCUGAGGCCAUCUUCAAAACGAACACUGCACUCAUAUUCGGUGGAGACACUGCCACUAGCGUACUGGCUCAAUCGCAAAAACUCUGCCUUAUAUUCAGCUACGGUCUUACUACCCUGGGUCAGGUUCAGGAAUUCCUUUCUUCGUGUAUCCACAUAGCUAGCUCCGACAUAUUUCGCCUUGAAGGACUGCUUGAACAACUCCCAAGUUACCCACUCAGCUGGGGUACCCUCUCUCACAAUGAUCCACCACUGAUACGCCUCGUCCUGCAGUAAUGACACCGCCCCUUUUAACUUCUGUUCCACUUAGCAGUCCAGGUCAUCCAUAAUCUGCUCCAUGGCUUUCAGCCAGUACUCAGCCACAUUUGGGGCUAUUCCAGAUAUACCCCUAAAAACCUCCGCUCUGUUGGCCCGGAGUUGCUUAGAAAUGGACCCCCUACUCAUGGGCCCGACAUUAGCUCCGGCCACCCUUUCCAAAACUCUUAACAUGGCCUAGGAUAGAGCGUCGUCCCCCACGGCUCGAUUAUACGGCCCAUUUUCAUCCACCAAUGGUGGUCAUGCCACUCCAGCUGGUAUAUGUUUAGAAGACGAAGAUCCAGCUUGAGUACUACCUCGGCCUCGACCAAGGCCUCUUCCCCGAGUAGCUCUCGUACUCAUAUCGAUUUAUCUGAUUAUGAAUUUUAUGCCGUUAGUUUACUGUUUCCACUGUUUAGUACAGAAUAUCUUAUGAACAGAUAAAGUUUCAGAGUUGUUCUUGCUCGACCGCAGUUUAGCUACUGUCUCAGUUCCCUAGGGCUUAGUUUACCCUACAGUCUUAGUUUUGUAGCAUUAAUGCUACAUUAUCUAUAGUACUAUCUCUAAGGCUCAGUACUAUUUAUAGUACAGUUCAGUAUAUAAAAUAGAAAGAUACUUACAGACUUGGUGCCGGAGAUUCAGUGUGCCACCUCAUCAAUUUUUAGACAAAAUCAAAAGAUUUAGGCCUUUUUGAAAUCCAUUUCUCACACCUUUGGUUUAAAGAAAACAGGUUUGGAAAUUAUCUCCUUUCAACAAAAAAAUUUGAUUUCAAAAAUUAGAUUUUUCAAAAAUACCCUCUUUGAGCUCAGAGUCUUGGAAACUUUUUUGGACCCGAUCCAUAGCAGAGUUAUUGCAACUGGGCUCUGAUACCAUUAAAUGUAACACCCCAAACCCAGUCCAGAUGUUACGGCCGAAUUCAGCGUGUCACAUGAAGAAUGUUACUAAAGAAGUUAUGUUUUAUCCGAAAAUCUUUCUUAGGGUUUGAAGAAUGUUUUGUUUUAAGUUAAAGUGAAUGGAAGCUGUGCACCAGGUAGGAAGCCAGAAAAGAGGAGGUGAGUCUGUUGGACUGCUUAAGUACCAAGCUCUUCACGGAUCCAAUCCUAGACAUGCACACAUCCAUUUCCACACUUUAAGUCUGUUACUAGUCCACGAAUAAUUAAUUAAGUUUAAGUCUAUUUAAAAUAUUCAUUUCCUUUGAAAACGUUUACAUUGCGGAAGCUUUGCUCGGUUAUCGUGUUAUUUUGAAAAUAAGUAACUUUUAUAAACCGCGCCCUAGAGCUAACCAAUUUAAUAACCCAAAAUAAAAAAAUAAUAAGAAGAAGAGCGGUCUUAUUACAACUUAAACCAAAAUAAAAAUAGUCAAAAUAAUAAAUGCAAAACUUAAAAAAAAACAGAAAUUAAUCUUCGUGGCCACUCUGAAUCCUGCCCAGCUCCAAGUCCACCAACUAGGGCUCACCUGCAAGGAUGGAAGAUAAAGGAGUGAGUUUGGAAAACACAGUGUGUAAGGAAAACCCAUCCAAAGCCCAAGUCAAAUCAAGCCCAUUAGGCCUAAGCCCAUUCAGAUAACAGUGGUAUUAGGCCGAAGCCCUUUUCAGAAUACAAUAAACUGGACCUUAGCCCUAUUUUCAGAUAACAGUAUGGCCUAGAGGCCCAUUCCAGAACAAAUCAGACAUAUUCGUGUAUGCAAGCCCAACCCAGCCUAUAACCAAUUGCUAAACUCCACCCGUACCAGCCCUACACUCUAUGUGGGGAAUAGCUCAACCCACCCAGCCCUACACUCCACAGUUGUAGCAUUGUUGCUCAGUUAUCAGUAAGUUGAGACAAAGCCUCCAGUACAUGGACAAACCACUUUUAGUACUUCCUCCAUCAGUAUCCCAGUCCUAUGCAUCAGAUAAUCAUAACAUGACAUGCAGUAAAUAAUAACAAUCAAACAUGCAUUUAGGUCAACCUUAACCCUAGGGCUAUAUCAGUAAUUUUGCUCCUAGGGGUAAAUCUGUAAAUUGUCGACCUAUAAAGUUAUUUCAGUAAUUUUAUCAGUUUUAAGGGUUUUCAUGCAUAUUCCCACCUUUUAGGUACAACGAAAACACUUACCGAGGUUCCUUACCGAAUUGGGCCGUUGGCCCAAUAUCCCAAUUUUGGCCCAUAAAGCCCAAAAAUAUCGAAGGCACAAAAAUCAUGCACUCUGCAGUCUAAACAUUGUAGUUUACCAAAAAUGUUAAUCGAUUUACCUCACGAGCAUUCGCACACUCGCAAGUCCACAAAAUACCAGUUUUUUGGCAUUUCGACUUUUCAGCUUUUGCCGAUCUAGACUAUGAAAGGGUGUCAGUUACACACCUGUUUGGACGAUAUGCUGACGAGAUCCACACACAAAAUGCCUAUAAUUGGAUUACUAACACGUUAAUCUAACUAUUAAAAUGAACUACAUAUUAACCCCCUUACCAUAUUCGGCAAAAAACAUCUUAGGUACUAGCGAUCCUACCUUUGCCGAAAUUUGCGACUAGGUUUAGAUCCAGUCGUUCCACUUGUCCAAGCCUUCGAUCAGCAGCCUCUAGAUCAUACUAUUACCAAAAUAAAACAAUUAUAACAACCCUUAGAGCUACAAGCCCAAAUCGACAGCCUCCCUAACCUUUAGGAGGUUUCGACUUUUUUUAAAACCUGAAAUAAAGAUUAGGUUCGAAAAAUUACCAUCGGUUCUUUCGGUCAAUGAUUCCAAAUAAAUCCUACUCGAUUCUGAUGCAGAUCUAACCCCUCAAAUGAUAACAAAAGUUGAGCCCUUAGAGAUCUCAGAAUUCGACUAUGUCCCUAAGGCUAUGCGUUUUCGGCUUUUUGCAACAAUGAAAAAAAAGUGAGGGUUUUGUAGUGGCUUUGUAGAAAGAGGUUUAGGGUUCAGAAAAAGAAAGAAUUGAUCAAAAAGGAUGAAGAAAGAUUAGUAGGUUUUUCUAGGAGAAUUUGGCACAGACAAUAUGAACUUUCAGAAUUUCAGCUUUUGUGAUAUUCGGCUAUAAGGCUUAAAAAUAAUAGUAAGGAAGUGGUGUAAGGAAGAGUGGUAGAAGGAUUCGGCUAUGGAGAAAAGAAGAGGAGAAGAUAGAUGGAGAGAAAAAGAAAAGAAAUGAGGAGGAGGAAAGAUAGUUAGAAAAAAAUGGCACACUUACCCCUAAAUGCCGAAUUUAUACUUGGCAUCUAAUCUAGCUGAAAUUUGCCCCCUAAGCAAACCCUUGGCUGGCCAACUCUUGCUCCCCAAGAGUCCACCAUUCGGCCAAUACUUCUCUCCCUAAUCAGCUCCUAAAUCCUCUCCCUUAUCCCCUCCUUACUCAAUCCCUUGAGCAAUUUAAACUCCUCCUAACAGUCUUUCACUUGAGUUCCAUUACUUACCCUUUCCAACCAUAAAAAUAAUUCCCUUAAUAUGCUUUCAUUGUGACUUGAACCUUGGUUCUUUUUAGCAUCCACACGCCACCUUUAUAGCCUCCCCAAUGGCGUUACAUGCCACUUUACCACCUGCUUCCUUGUGUUUAAUUUUUAUCCAAUUAAUACUUAAAAGCCCAAUUAACCGGAACCCCUUCUUCCUCUGGAAUUAAAACUAAUUAAAAUUACUGGGUUUUAACUUAAGCUUGGUCCUUCUAGGGGAUCACUAACCUGAUUAAAUCUACGCCAAGCAGACAGAACACCAAAAAUUUAAAAUUUGCCAACAUCCACAGAAUUCUGGAAAAUUAGGACGUUACAGCGCCAGCUCCUGCUAAGGGGCAGUGCCUUCUGACUCUAGACCUAUGAUGAGUAGUCACGGGGGUGAGGCUAAAGAAGCCUUCUUUCAGAUAUUAAAUGAGUGGUUCACACAGUAUAUUCGUACAAACUCGCUGUUCCGCAACCUCCACCCUCACCUGUUCCCCAAUGAUCCCUCUAGUUCCUCAAGGUAUUGAUCCUCUAUGAUGAAAUAAACCACCUGUUGACAAGAUAAGAAAGUACGGAGUCGAGGAAUUUAGAGCUACUAUUAAUGAUGACCCUAAGAGAGUCGAGUUUUGGCUUGAGAACAUGAUUCGGGUAUUCGACGAAUUAUCUUGCACACCUAAAAAAUGUUUAAAGUAUGUUGUAUCAUUGCUAAGUGACACCGCGUAUCAAUGGAGGAAUACAUUGAUAUCAGUAGUUCUGCCAGAAAAAGUCAUUUGGGAUUUCUUUCAAGUUGAAUUUAGAAAGAAAUAUAUCAGUCAAAGGUUCAUCGAUUAGAAAAGAAAAGAAUUCAUUGAAUUGAAAUAGGGUCGUAUAUCGGUCACAAAACAUGAGAGAGAGCCUGUACGACUUAGCAAAUAUGCUCGUGAAUGUGUUUCUUCUAAGCAUAUAAUGUGUAAAAGAUUCGAGGAUGGAUUGAAUGAAGAAAUCAGAAUGUUAGUUGGAAUUCUGAAGCUGAAAGAGUUUGUUAUUUUGUUUGAUCGAGCUUGUAAAGCCAAAGAGCUUUGUAAAAAGGAAAGAAAAGCUGAUUCUGAGGCUAGAGGGUCUAGAAAAAGUUUUACGGGCAAAUCAUACCAGUCUGCAUCAAAGAAAUUUAAAUAAUAUCAUUCUCGUUCUACAGCCUCUGCGAGAAUUUCUAUUAGAGAUAGAAACGCAAGACAAUCAAGUUCAAAACCUUAGGCGAAACCUGUGGCCAGUGUGGGAAGUGUUAGAAAUGUUGGAUCUGAAUGUAAACAUUGCAAUAAGCGACAUUACGGUGAAUGCAGAUUAGUGAACAGAGCUUGCUUUAAAUGUAGAUCUUUUUAUCAUUUUCUCCAUGACUGUCCGAAAAAGUUUACAGCUGAAAAAGAUCAACCCACGAAAGUAAGUAACACAAUUACUAGAGGGAAACCGCCCCAAAACACUAGAAAUGUGAGUGGUAAUUGAGGUGCUACAAGAGAUUCGACCGUGAGAUCUAAGGCAUGAGCACCUGUCAGAGCUUAUGCUAUUCGUGUACGAGAAGAGGUAUCAUCGCCAGAUGUUCUUACCGGUACUUUUUCUCUUUUUGAUACUAAUAUAGUUGCGUUGAUAGAUCCUGGAUCAACUCAUUCAUAUAUCUGUAUGAAUUUAGUAUUCAAAAAGAGUUUGCAUGUAGAAUCCACAGAGUUUGUAAUUAAAGUAUCAAACACUUUAGGCAAAUCUGUUUUAAUUGAUAAAAUUUGUAAGAAUUAUCCUCGGAUGAUCAGGGGUUACUGUUUUUGGGCUGACUAGAUGCUUCUACCUUUUGAUGAGUUUGAUGUGAUUCUGGGUAUGAAUUGCCUGACUAUGCACGAUGCAGUUGUGAAUUGUAGACAGAAGACUAUCGAAUUGAAAUGUCAAAAUGGUUGAGAUUCUUUGGAUUGAGUCUAAUGAUUCGAGUGAAUUACCAGUUGUGAUAUCAUCUAUUUUAGCUCAGAAAUACUUGAAAAAGGGUUAUAUGCAUAUCUUGCAUACGUACAGGAUACAAAGGUGUCUGAAUCAAAGAUUGAAUAUGUACCUGUUGUUUGUGAAUUUUUAGAUGUAUUUCCAGAGGAAUUACUGGGUUUACCUCCGAUCAGAGAAGUUGAAUUUGGAAUUGAAUUAGUGCUAGGAACAAAACCGAUAUCGAUAGCUUUGUACAGAAUGGCUCCAACAGAAUUAAAAGAGUUGAAAUCUCAGUUGCAAGAAUUGACAGAUAAAGGUUUUGUACAACUGGGUUAUUCUACCUGGGGUGCAGCAGUAUUGUUCGUGAAAAAGAAAGAUAGCACGAUGAGAAUGUGUAUCGAUUAUAGACAAUUGAAUAAAGUGACUAUAAAGAACAAAUACCCUCUACCAUUGAUCAAUGACUUAUUUGAUUAGUUGAAAGGGGCUACAGUAUUUUUAAAGAUUGAUUUGAGAUCAGGUUACUACCAGUUGCGAGUCAAAGAGUUAGAUGUGCCAAAAAUCGCGUUCAGAACAAGGUAUGGACAUUAUGAAUUCCUUGUCAAGCCUUUCGGUUUAACUAAUGCUCCUACCAUUUUUAUGGACUUGAUGAAUCGAAUAUUUAGACUGUAUUUAGACAAUUUUUUUGUUGUAGUCAUUAACAAUAUUCUGAUCUAUUCACGAGAUGAAUCUGAGCAUACCGAACACUUGAGAAUUGUGUUACAAACUCUACGUAAUAAACAGUUUUUUGCAAAGUUCAGUAAAUGUGAGUUCUGGCUCAAAAAAGUUGGAUUUUUGGGGCAUAUGUUUCAGCCGACGGUAUUAGAGCUGAUCUGAGUAAGAUUUCUGCUAUUGUUAAUUGGAGACCUCUGAGAAAUGUAUCUGAAGUUUGUAGUUUUCUGGGCUUAGUGGGUUAUUACUGAAGAUUCGUGAAAGGAUUCUCAAUGAUCGCGACAUCGAUGACACGACUGUUACAAAAAGAUAGAAAGUUCGAAUGGUCAGAAAGAUGUCAGCAGAGUUUCGAACAGUUGAAAGCACUGUUAAUAGAGGCACCAGUUUUGGUUCAACCUGAAUCGGGUAAAGAGUUCAUGAUCUAUAGUAAUAUAUCGUUAAACGGAUUGGGCUGUGUUUUAAUGUAUGAAGGAAAGGUUAUAGCUUAUGCUUCUCGACAGUUGAAACCGCAGCAAAAGAACUAUCCGAUACAUGAUUUAGAGUUGGCUGCAAUUGUGUUCGCAUUGAAGAUUUGGCGAUACUAACACGGUGAAAAAUGUCAUAUUUAUACAGAUCAUAAAAGCUUGAAAUAUUUGAUGUCACAGAAGGAUUUGAAUUUGCGACAACGAAGAUAGGUUGAGUUAUUGGAAGAUUAUGACUUUGUGAUUGAUUAUCACCGGGAAAAGCUAAUGUAGUUGCUGGUGCCUUGAGUCAAAAAUCAUUGUUUGCGCUACGAGCAAUGAACACCCAGUUGAUGAUAUUUGAUGAUGGGUCUAUUUUAGCUGAAUUAAGAGCUAAAUCAGUAUUUUUUUCAACAAGUUUGUGAAGCUCAGAAAGAUGAUCGUGAACUACAAGCUGAACGAAUUCAAUGUGAGUCUAUUUCUGAUUCAAAAUUUCAUAUUGGAACUGAUAACUAUUUAAUGUUUUGAAAUAGAAUUUGUGUACCGAAAAAUACAGAGCUUAUUCAGAAAAUUCUGCAUGAAGCACACAGUAGUUGUUUUUCUAUUCAUUCUGGUGGUCGGGUAUGAAACGGGAUAUAUCAAAGUUUGUAUUGAAAUGUCUAAUUUUUUAACUAGUUAAAGCUGAACAUCAAGUAUCAUCGGGCUUAUUACAACCUGUAAUGAUCCUUGAGUGGAAAUGGGAUAGAGUUACUAUGGAUUUUGUAUCGGGAUUUCCCCUAACUGCGAAAAAGAAAGAUGCUAUCUGGGUUUUCGUUGAUCGAUUAACGAAAUCUGCUCAUUUCAUACUGGUACAUACAGAUUACUCACUUGAUAGAUUAGCUGAAUUGUACAUUUUUUAGAUUGUUUGAUUACAUGGUGUGCAACUAUCUAUUAUCUCUAAUAGAGAUCUGAGAUUUACGUCGCGAUUCUAGAAGAAAUUGCAAGAAGCUCUGGGAAAAAAGUUGAAUUUCGAUACAUCUGAAGAGUAUUUGAAGUGUGCUAUUUUGUUGUUGAGGGAUGAUGCCUACCAUUGGUGGAAGACUUUGAAUUCAGUUCUGCCUAAGGAAGCAGUUACUUGGGACUUCUUUCUGGAGGAAUUCUGAAAGAAAUAUAUUAGCGAGAGGUUUAUCGACCAAAAACAUAAGGAAUUUCCUGAACUUAAGCAAGGUCACAUGUCGAUUACCGAAUAUGAGUGAGAGUUCAUUCGGCUUAGUAAGUAUGCCCGAGAGUGUGUGCCCACUGAGGCUAAGAUGUGCAGAAGGUUUGAAGACAGACUUAAUGAGGAUAUCAGGGUGUUAGUAGGCAUCCUUGAACUAAAGGAAUUUGUUGUGCUCAUUGAACGGGCAUGUAAGGCUGAAGAAUUGACAAUAGAGAAGAAGAAAGCUGAGUCGGAAACUAGAGAUAUGCGAAAGAGAAUGAUGAGUAGAUCACCCCAACUCAGUCUAAGAAAUCUAAAUAUGUAUAUUCUCAUUCUUAUGCAUAGGCAAGACGCUCCCACGGAAAUUGUAAGAAGUAAAUUUUGGGUUUCCGGACUCAGGCUACAUCUGUAGCUAGUGUAGGAGACGCUAAACCACGUCAACCUGAGUGUGAAUACUGCGAAAGACGUCAUCUGGGCUGAUGCAGGAGGAAUGAUGGGAUGUGUUAUAGAUGUGGUUCUUAAGACCACUUUAUUAAGGAUUGUCCCGAGACGAACGAGAGAUUUCAGAAUGCAAGACAGAGUGGUUCAGCUUCAAAGGCGAAACCCUCAAAAAUUGCUGGUACUGGAGCUGGCAGCAAAAAUACAACAAGAGAGACCACAGUACGAUCUGAGGCUAGGGCUCCGGUUAGAGCCUAUGCCCUUCGAGCACUUGAAGAAGCAUCGUCGCCUGACGUGAUCCCUGGUACAUUUUUUCUUUAUGACACUGUUGUUAUUGCUUUGAUAGACCCAAGCUCUACACAUUCUUAUAUAUGCAUGAAAUUGGCAUCUAGCAUGAAUUUACCUAUAGAGUCUACAGAAUUUGCGACUAGAGUGUCCAACCCGUUAGGCAAGCAUGUUUUAGUAUGAUAAUUGGAAGUCUUUAUUUUCCAUCUGACUUGAUGUUGUUAUCGUUUGAUGAAUUCGAUGUUAUUUUGGGUAUGGAUUGGUUGACACCUCAUGGUGCUAUAGUAGAUUAUAAAAAAAAGUUAUGGAAUUGAGACAUGAGAAUGGUGAAGUCCUUCGAGUCGAAUCAGAUGAACUUAGUGGCUUUUCAAUCGUAAUUUCUUUGAUGAUAGCUCAGAAAUGUAUGAGAAAAGGAUAUGAAGCAUAUCUGGCUUAUGUGUUGAAUACAAAGGAAUUUGAGUUGAAAGUCGAAUCAGUGCCUGUUGUAUGUGAGUUUGCGAAUGUAUUCCCGGAAGAAUUGCCAGGUUUUCACUACUUAGGAAACUUGAAUUUGGUAUUGAGUGAAUGCCAGGGAUUGCACCUAUCUCUAUCGCUCCGUAUAGGAUGGCUGCAACAGAGUUAAGGGAAUUAAAGUCAUAGUUUCAAGAAUUGGUUGACAAAGGCUUUGCGAGACCUAGUUUUUCACCUUAGGGUGCUCCCGUGUUAUUCGUAAAGAAGAAGGAUGGUUCCAUGAGAUUAUGUAUUGAUUACUGGUAACUUAAUAAGGUAACAAUUAAGAACAAAUAUCCAUUGCCAAGAAUUGAUGAUUUGUUUGAUCAGCUAAAAGGAGAAACAUGGUUUUCCAAGAUAGACUUGAGGACCGGUUAUUACCAGCUGCGGGUUAAGGAGACAGACGUACCUAAGACUUCUUUUAGAAUAAGGUAUGGUCACUAGGAAUUCCUUGUUAUGCCUUUUGGAUUGAAAAAUGCUCCGGAUGUGUUUAUGGAUUUGAUGAAUAGAAUAUUUCGUCCAUACUUGGAUAAGUUUGUUGUAGUGUUCAUAGAUGAUAACUUAAUUUACUCUAGAGAUGAGACAGAACAUGCCGAACAUCUGAGGAUCGUUUUGCAGACUUUGAGGGAUAAGCAAUUAUAUGACAAGUUCAGUAAAAGUGAGUUUUGGCUUCAGGAAGUUGGAUUCUUAGGCCACAUUGUUUCCAGUGAUGGUAUUCGGGUUGAUCCUAGUAAAAUUUAUGCCAUUGUUGAAUGGAAGCCUUCAAGGAAUGUAACCGAAGUUAGGAGCUUUUUGGGCUUAGCCGGUUAUUACCGAAGGUUUGUAAAAGAAUUUUCUAUGAUAGCCUUCUAGGAUGUUAAGUUUGAGUGGACAGAAAAGUGCCAACAAAGCUUUGAAAAGUUGAAAAUGCUAUUGACUGAGGCGCCAGUGCUAGUACAAUUGGAACCAGGGAAAGAGUUUGUAAUCUACAAUGAUGCAUCCUUGAAUGGACUACGAUGUGUGCUUAUGCAAGAAGGAAAAUUUGUAGCUUAUGCUUCAAGACAACUAAAACCUCAUGAGAAGAAUUAUCCAACUCAUGAUUUGGAAUUGGCCACCAUAGUGUUUUCUUUGAAGAUUUGGCGUCAUUAUUUGUUUGUGGAAAAAUUUCAUGUCUAUACCGAUCAUAAGAGCCUCAAGUAUUUGAUUACUCAAAAAGAUUUGAAUUUAAGACAACAGAGAUGGUUGGAAAUGUUGAAAGAUUAUGAGCUUAUGAUUUAUUAUCAUCCGAGAAAGGCGAACAUGGUCGCUGACGCUUUGAGCAUGAAGUCUCUAUUCACUUUGAGGGCAAUGAAUACAUAGAUGACCUUAUAUGACGAUGGUUCCAUUUUACCUGAAUUGAGAGCUAGGCCGACUCUUCCCCGUCAGAUUUGUAAAGCUCAAAAAUCCGAUCAGGAAUUACAAGCUAAGAAAGUACAAUGUGAAGCAACUAGUGAACCCGACUUUCAGAUUGACUCCGAUGGAUGCUUGAGAUUUUGGGGAAGAAUCUGUGUUUCAAAGAAUGCUGAGUUGAUCUAGACUAUUUUACACGAGGCACAUAAUAGUCGUAUGUCAGUUCAUCCGGGAAGUACGAAGAUGUACAACGACUUGAAGAAAGUUUAUUGGUGGAAUGGCAUAAAAAAGGAUAUCUCAGAAUUUGUGACAAGAUGUUUGAUUUGUCAACAAGUUAAAGUUGAACAUCAAGUACCCUUCGGUUUACUCCAGCCUAUUGUGGUCCGUGUGUGGAAAUGGGAUCAGAUCACUAUGGAUUUUUUGAUCGGGUUGCCAGUGACUCCAAGAAAGAGAUAUGCUAUUUAGGUGAUAGUCGAUAAAUUGACUAAAUCGGCCCAUUUUAUACCUGUACGCAUAGAUUAUUCUCUAGAUAAGUUAGCCAAUUUUUACAUUUUAGAGGUUGUUAGACUUCAUGGUGUGCCAUUGUCGAUUAUUUCGGAUAGAGAUCCGAGAUUUACGUUAUAAUUUUGGAAAAAGUUACAAGCGACUUUGGGAACGAAACUAAAUUUUAGUACUACUUUCCACCCACAAACUGAUGGACAAUCCGAGAGAAUAAUUCAGACACUUGAAGACAUGCUUAGAUGUUGUGUUCUUGAAUUUCAAGGUAGUUGGGAAAAUUAUCUACCUUUGGUUGAAUUUGCUUACAAUAACAGUUAUCAAUCUAGUUUAAGGAUGGCACCUUAUGAGGCAUUAUACGGCCGAAAGUGUCAAACUCAUUUGUAUUGGAUAGAGCUUAAGGAAAGUAAAAUUUUUGGAGUUGAUUUGAUCAAAGAAACUAAGGAUAAAGUUAAGGUGAUUCAAGAUUGUUUGAAAGUAGCGUCGGAUAGACAGAAAUCGUAUACGAAUUUGAAAAGAAAAGAAAUUGAGUAUCAAGUGGGUGACAAAUUAUUCUUAAAGGUAUCACCCUAGAGAAAGGUUUUAAGAUUCGGUAGAAAAGGCAAAUUAAGCCCUCGUUUUAUUGGGCCUUAUGAGAUUACCGAGAGAAUAGGACCAGUUGCCUAUCGCUUAGCUCUACCAUCAGAGUUGGAAAAGAUCCAUGACGUGUUUCAUGUAUCCAUGUUACGUCGAUAUAGAUCAGACCCCUUGCAUGUGAUUACCCUGACAGAGGUUGAAAUUGAACCGGACAUGACUUACGAUGAGGAACCAGUUAAGAUUUUGGCCAGGGAAGUUAAGCAACUGAGAAACAAAAGUAUUGCCCUUGUGAAGGUAUUAUGGCAUAGACAUGGGGUUGAAAAAGCCACUUAGGAACCAGAGGAGACUAUUAGAAGUCAAUAUCUGAACCGGUUUACUGGUAAGACUUUCGAGGACGAAAGUCCCUAAGGGGGAGAAAUAUAACAUCCCAAAAUAGGACCUAAUCAGAAUAGUGGUUUCAGGACCACAAAUCCGAUGUUAAAAUAUUUUUUUAUGAUUUUUAUGAGGUUUAGAAUAUGAAAAUAUGCAUGUGUUAAAGUUUCAUGAAGAAAUUCUAAGUAUAAGGUGUUCAAUUGGAAAUUAGGGACCAAAUUGAAUAAGUUGCAAAAUUUGUGUUCUAGAAGAAAUUUGUAUGAAAUUUCUUUGGAUUAUUAAUUAUGAGCUCUUAAAGAGCAAUUUUCCCAAUUUAUAUGUUUUUUUGACAAAAAUGGGCUUGUAUGAAAAAAUUUGAAGGCAUUAGGGGCAUUUUGGGCAUUUGGUAUAUUAAUGAAAUAAAAAGGGAAAAUAAGCCACAAAAUCAGUUCAUUCUCUCCAUGUUGCUCCCGAAAUUUUAGGGUUCUUCAUAGCUAGGGUAUUCAAGCUUUCCAAACUCUAUAGUAAGUGCUCCCAAGCCCCGUUUUUAAUGUUCUUCGUAUUUUUGAAAUCCUAGUAACUUGCUCUCUUUUUCUACCCAUCUUUCAUGCUAAGGUUCAUGUUUAUAAAUUUACCCAUGCAUGAGAAGCUUAUGUUUUGAUGAUUUAUGGAAUGAUAUGAGAGUUUAAGGGAUGGUAAACAACAUUUACUAAGUAGAUUUUCAUGAAAAAGGGCUUUAAGGACUAUUUUGUAAAAGUUGUAAAAAAGGGUAGAAAAAUGUGAAAGGAAGGAAAAUGUCGGCUGUUAUGAACAUGAAAAAUGUUCAGCUAGGCUUGGAUAACUAAGAAAUCCCAUACAUUGUAUUAUUCGAGCCUAAGGACUAAAUUGUAAAUAUAUGAAAGUAUAGGGGUAAAAUAAUAAUUUUACACAAAUAUGAGUUUUGGAUCGUUUUGAUUAAUUUAUGUAUCAAAACAAGCUAAAUUUGGUAUUAUAGAUCGAAAGAAUCGAGAUACGGGCCUUGAUCAGGGAAAGAACAAGGUUUACGAGGUUUAGGCUCGAUUUCUAAUAUUUUGUACCUAGGUAAGUACAUAUACAAAUAAAUACAUUAAUUAUUGUUAUUAAAUUAUUUAUUGAUAUAUGUAUGCUUAAUAUGCUUAUUUGGCUAUGUUGAUAAUAUAACAUGUUUUGAUGCUUUACUAUAUGAUUAUGAGAUGUAGGCCAUGUGAAAGAAACUAUUAUGCGAGUACGUUCGGUAAAGGUCUGGAAGUCUAAAAUCCUGUUUGAACCUUAGGAAUAGUUGAGGAUACAAGUGACAUGUCAUUAGGAUAGUCAUGUCUGUUAUGAGCUCAUUUAAUAUGUGAUGCAUGCUAGGGUCCGAGUGUUGGGUAUCCUGAGUUAUGUUCGGAUACUCUCUUAGCUCUUUGAGUAGCCCCGUUGAGAGCAGCAUGUGAUUCUAUGACGUGCACUUUCUGUCAGGUAGUCAAGGCUACAUUCAGGCACUUCUGUGCAUUCCUUCCGUGUGUCCAAAUCAUAUUCCAAGUGUUCAUGGGGUAACGUAAUAUGAAUUUUGAAAGUAAAAUUUAAGUAAGUCAUAUGUGUGCAAGAUGGCACAGGUAUGUACUAAAACCCUAUGAGGACUUAGUAUAUGAUGAUAUUAUGAAAGAUAUGUAUUUGGAUAAACAUGUGCAUAUGAAUAUGGAAGGUAAGUAUACAUAUGACAUAAUGAAAAGUAUCAUAAUGGAUAAGUAAUUAUGCUUAUUUUAUCAAUAGUUGCAAAAUGUAGAUUAUUUGUAUCUGUACUUACUAAGCUUUAUAGCUUACCCUACUCUCUUUUCCCUUUUCUUUAGAUACGUCAAGCUAGCUCAAAGGAUCGGGAGACGUCGGAGCUCGAAUCACACUAUCUUCAAGGAUUUUGGGUAUAAAAGGGUUCAAUUAUUUUUGUCAUGGCAUGUAUAGGAAACUUGUCUAUUUUGUGUAUAUGUGUCAUGUUGAAGUAGCCAAGUGUAAUGGCUCAUUUGGGCACUGAUUAUUUUGUAUGUGGCCAUGUGAUUUGGUCCAUAUUAAUGAUUGGGAUGUAUCCCUAAGUUUACCUUUACAUGCAUACUAAGAUGUGUAUGUGUUAGUUUGAUAGGUGACUAUUUAUUUGUUGGUAUGUGGUUGCAUGAUUUAGCACUCAUAAUGGAUUGAUAAUAAGGAAUAUGGUAAACCAUGAAAUUGGUGUGGAAUGACUAAAAAAUAAGGUAGUGUGAAUACUAAUGGUCUAGUAUGAAAAGGGGUCAUAAUGAUGCUAUAAUGUUGCAUGUUUAAGUGUCCAAAUAUAUUAUAGGAUAUGCCAUUGAACAUACGGAAGUGUAUGAUUGUUUAAGGGUGACCAAUGGCUUCGAGAGUAGCCUCCAAAUGGUCCACACAGGUAGACACACGGGCAUGUAUCUAGGUUGUGUGUGACACACGGUCAGCCCCAUGGGCGUGUCGUUCGGCCCUGUGUCCCCUAUACCUUGAAUUUUAGGUUAACAUGAUGGUAGCAAACACACGGGCAGUGACACGACCGUGUGUCUCAAUCAUGUGGAGGACACAGCCUCUGGCCACGGACGUGUGCUUGGCUGUGUGCCUCAAAUUUUAUGAUGACGUCAUAAACAGAAUGCUAGCUGAAAUCACACGUGUGUGUCCUAGGCCGUGUGAGGAACACGGGCCAAGGACACGGGCAUGUGCUCAGCCGUGUGAAAACCCCAGUAGGUUUGAAUUGGAAAAUAAAUCCAAAAAUUCCACACGGGUGUGGGACAUGGGCGUGUCCCUAAGCAUAUGGGCGUAUGAGACUUUAACCUUGAAAUUUUCUUAAAAUUUCAAUGAGUUCUCGGUUUAGUCCCAGACCGCUAAUGAUGUAUGUUUUGGGCCUUGUAGGUCCAUAAUAGGGAUAAAUUGACUUUAAUUGAUUGGUUUUAGUUUGAAUGAAAUUUUGUGGCCUGGUUCUGUAUGUUUAGUUCUACUUAAGUUCGGUAAUGCCUUGUACCCUGUCCCGAUGUCAGAUACGGGUAUGGGGUGUUACAUUUCAAUUCAGGGACCGAGUGUUUUUAAAAGUGUCACCAUGGAAAAAGGUUCUUUUAUUCGGCCGUAAAGGCAAGUUGAGUCCGUAUUUUAUCUGGCCGUAUGAGAUUACCGAGAGAAUAGGGCCUAUAGCAUAUCGACUAGCUUUACGAUCAGAACUGGAAAAGAUCCAUAAUGUUUUUCACGUUUCUAUGCUACGUCGAUAUAGAUCCGAUUCGUCACAUGUGAUCUCGUCGAUAGAUGUUGAAAUACAAGUUGAUUUGACGUAUAAUGAAGAACCAAUCAGAAUUCUGGCUCGUGAACUAAAAGAGUUGAGAAAUAAAUGUAUAGCUCUAGUGAAAGUCCUUUGGCAUAAACACGGUAUUGAGGAAGCUACAUAGGAACCCGAGGAAGCUGUGCAAAAACAGUACCCUAACCUUUUCACUGGUAAGAUUUUCGGGGACGAAAAUCUCUAAGAGGGGGAGAGUUGUAACAGCCCGUUUUUAGGUCAAAUCGGAAUAGUAGUUUCGGGACCACAAAUUCAGAGUCAAAAUAGUUAUUUUAUUAUUUUAAUAAGGUUUACAUCAUGAUAGAUUAAUUAUGUAAAAGUUUCAUAAAGAAAUUUUACUGUUUAAAUGCUUAAUUCAGUAAAAAGGACUAAAUCGUGUAACGCGUAAAAGUUGAUUUCUAUUAGUUAAAUGAACCAAAUAGCUAUAAAAAGGAAAUGUGGAGCACUUGCAUGGCAAAUUUACCAUUGUUUAUACGGGUUGACUAUUAUGGCCAUUAAUUUGAUGAUUAUAAUAGUUUAUGAACAAGGUUAAUUUUGUAAUUUAGUUAAUAAAACAAAAUUAAAUGUGAUAAAAUUCAUCUCAUCUUUUUUUUUCCUUCUUUAUCGACCGAAAAUUAGGGUGAAAUAACACCAUUUUUUCUUUCUUCAUUCGGGCAUGCUAUAGUGACCAAUUAAAGUACGGUUUCUGAUCCGUUUUUAAUAUUUUUACGUUUUUUAGCUCGUUGCGGCUUAAUCUAGCUAGCCCGUACCUUAAUUUUUGAAUUUUUUCAUGAUUUUGAAAUGUGCCAUUAUUGAAUACUUGAGUUCUUUGAUGUUUAAUGAUAUAUUAUGGAAGCUUGAUGAUAGUUGAACUAGUUUUGUAAAGUGAUUUUUGACAAAAUUGCAAAAUAGGGAUUAAAUUGUGAAAUUGUAAAGUUAUGUGGUUAAAAGUGUGAAAUAAUGAAAGCUAUGGGCUGCUAGUAGUGCAUAAUAAAUACUUGAAGUAUGAUUGUUUUAUUGAUAUAAUGUAUUUGUUACUGAGUCUUGUUUGAACUAUAAGAAUUCAUUACAUACGAGUGGCAUUAUACUGGGAUUAUGGUUUUGGUUGAGCUCCUGCAUUUGUUGCGGACUCACCACAGCUUGUAUGUGCUUACCGAUAUAUCAGCUUGAAAGAGCUUACUGUUUUCAACUCAUUGGAGCUCACUGUUUUAGCUCGUAUGAGCUUACUAUUCAGCUCGAUAGAGCUUACCGUUUCAGCUCAAUAGAGCUUACUAUUCAUCAGCUUAAGUGGAGCUUACCGAUCAUGGCUCGAAAGAGAAUACAUGAUAAUGAAUUGACGGAUUACUGAGAUUGUUCACUCAAGUAUCCUUUGAAGUUCUAAUAGGUUCAAAUGGCCUAAAUGAUGUUAUACGGAUGAGUUACGGUUUAUAAAUGUUAUUAAUGUUAUACAUGAUAUAUGAAUUUAGAAUAAUGAUAAGUAUUGUAUUAAUGGAUGAUUUCAUGUAUGUUUACAAUGACUAACAUUUGAUGAAUACUUGUAAUUAGGUGUUGGUUAAUUGAAUUGGUUGCAUAUUUGUAUUGCUUUGAUUAUGUAUAAAUGGUAAGUUUAAUUCUGAAUUAUACGGGUUUACUAAGCGUAUUAGCUUACUUUGUUUCUUUUUUCAUGUUUUAUAGAGGUUCGUUAGCUCUCUUGUUUUAGAAAAGUCAGAGUUGCACAUCGCACUAUCCAAAUUCUAAUUGGUACUUUUGAACUUGUGAAUUUGUAAAUAUGGCAUGUAUAGGCUAGUUUGAAAGAUGUUAGUUAUGCUACUUGAUAAUAGGACUUUGGCAUAUUUUUGUGUAUAAGUUAAGCCAUGUGAUUUGGCUUAUUUUGAUGUUAUGUUUUGGUUGAAUUGAAGUGUUCAAUUAUGGUAUGUUUUAACAAGUAAUAAUGGAAUGAAAUGAUGCAAGUGAAGUCUUGAUAUAUGGUUGUUAAAUGAAUGGAUUAUGCAUGAUGAUGGAUAGGUAUUUGGGUAUGAAUUUGUUAUGUUUUGAUAUGGAAAAUAUUAUGUAUUGAAAGGGUUAUUUUGGUUGCCAAUUGGGUUGCUUAAAUGUGGUCAAUUAUGCUUGUAAAGGCUUAUGUUUAUAGGGUGGCAAAACUGGCUUUGCAAAUGGCCUAUUUUUUUCCACACGGGCAGAGACACAGGCAUGUGUCUCAGCCGUGUGCAACACAAGGUUAUGUUACACGGCUGUGCGUCCCCUAGGGUACCCUACAAAUUAAAUCAGUAUAACCUAUAGGUUUGACAUGGCUUAGCCACACGGGUGUGUCUAUUGGCCAUGUGUGUCACACGGACUCACACAUGGGCGUGUGACUGACCGUGUGACAUAAGUUAGUAUACCCCCUAAAUGGCACACAACCUAGCACACGGGCGUGUGUAGCCAUUUUGAAGGGCACACAGGCUAGACACAUGGGCAUGUGGUUGGCCGUGUGACCCAAGUCAGUAUCCUCUCCAGUUUUCACACGGCCUGGCACACGGGUGUGUCCUCGGCCGUGUAAUAUAAGUCAGUAUGUAUGCCCUAUUUUCACACGAUUUAAGACACGAGCAUGUCUAUUAGCUAUGUGAAGCAGACGACCAGUUCACUCGGGCAUGUGACACAUGAAAUGUUGAAAUUUUUUUAAGUUCCUAAAAUUUUUAAUAUGUUAUGAUUUAGUCUCGAAUGCAUGAUUAAAGCUUGAUAUGUUUGUUUUAAGUAUAUAGUGAAUGUGAAUGAAUGAUAUUGACUGAGAAUAGACAUUAUCGGAUAUAUAAUUGUUCUAAACUGAGUUACAAGUCUGGUAAUGCCUCUUAACCUAUUCCAGCAAUGGUUACGGGUUAAGGGUGUUACACAUAAUAUUCAAUUAAACAUAUUUACAUGGUCGAUUAAGUUACACGAACUUACCUAGACACUUGUUCGCGUAAGUAAUCUACUAACCCGAAACCUUUUCUUUUUCUCGAUCUAACCUCGAAUUUGUAUUGUCUGGAUCUAUAUAAAUAGCUUUAAUAAUCAAUUUCUCAUAUUUCAUAGGCAUUUGGACUCAAUUUACAUUUUAGGCAAAAUUACCAUUUUACCCCUAACUCUUUCAUAAAUUCCAAUUUCGUCCCUGGGUUUAGAAAAUGAAACUUGUGCAAUUUACUCCCUAUUUCAAGCCUAACCAAAAUCCCAUUACAAAAUUUACAGCACAUGUAUUCAUAAAAAUUCAGAAUUUUUCAUCAAAUUUCACUACUUUACAUUUUAGUCCCUAAAUCAUGUUUUCAUCAUAAAUCACUUUGUAAAAGUUGUUUAUCUAUUAACAACCUUUCAUUUUCUACCAUAAAUUUCUAAUUUUUAACAUAUUCAUCCAUGAACCAAAUUUCAUACCUUGAUAACUUUUUUAAAUUAACCCCCUAAAUAGAUAGAUUAGACUAUCCAAAUUCCAAAAUUAUAAAAACUACUAAAAACGGGGCUUGAUUUCAUACCUUUUUAAGCUUGGAAAGUUUUCUUCCUCUCACCUAGGGUUUCCAUAGAAAUUUUGGGGAAGAAGACAUGAAAAUAAUAUGAUAAUUUCUUUUUAAUUAAUUAUCAUCUUUUAAUUUUUGUGAUUUCCAAUUUAGUCCCUACUCUUUUCUAAUUUUUCCAUGGAUGAGUCACCAAAAAUCUACAUACUUUACUUUAAUGGUCUAAUUACAAAUAAGGACCUCUAGUUUUGAAUUCCAUAGCUAUCUAAUCCUUAUAGCUACUAGAAUUCAACUUUCGCAUUUUAUGUGAUUUAGUCUUUAUCGUAAUUAAACACUUAAUCAAUAAAAUUUUCGUAUCAAAAUUAUCACACGACAUGUCUAUCAUAAUACGGACCAUAUAAUAAAAUAAAAUAAACUUUAUUUUUGGGUUGGAUAUGUGGUCCCGAAACCACUGUUUCGAUUUCACUAAAAAAUGGGUUGUUACACCUUAUAUUCUCAGUAACAAUUUUACCUGGUCGCUGAUCUUAUUCCAACUAAUAUAACCACCUGAAAAGGAACCUUUAUUAACUUAACCACAUAACUCUACACAAUCACUCUAUACGCCGAAAGAUGCACUUGAGUGAAGCCUACUCCACUAUUCAUACUACCUUAGGACUAUGUGUCAAACCUUGCACUUACUAGAACUGGGGUGUUACAAACCCGAUGUGAGAGAGGCCCAAAAUCCCUUCAAGGAAUAUGAAGGGGCGGCAACCCUAGUAGGAAUAUUAGGGGUGUGCCGCCUAGCUUAAUCCUACUCUUAGUAGGAAGUAUUUUUCUAUUUGGAAUAAACUUUCCUAAUUCAACAAGGGUUCUACCUUCUCUCUCUAUAAAUAUAUGGAACCUGUAGGGCUAUCGACACAACUUUCAAAUAUCAUUUUUCUUCCCAAGAAUAGAGAGACUUUUAUUCUCUAAAUAUUAAAUAUAUUUUUUAGAAUAACGACUCUGUCAGUUUUUGUAACAUCCGAAAAUAGGGCCUAGUAGGAAUAGUGGUUUCGAGACCACAAAUCUAACAUCAAAAUAUUUAUUUUAUGAUUAUUAUGAGGUAUAGAAUAUGAGAUUAUGCAUGUGUUAAAGUUUCAUGAAGGAAUUCUUUGAUUAAGGUGUCCACUUGGACAUUACGGACCAAAUUGAAUAAAUUGCAAAACUUGGGUUUUAGAAGCAAUUUGUAUGAAAUUGCUUUAUAAUAUUAAUUAGAAGGUAUUUAGGAGCAAUUUUCCCAAUUUCUAAGUUUUUGGACAAAAAUGGGCUUGUAUGGAUGAAAUUUUAAAGAAAGGGCUUAAGGGCAUUUUGGUCAUUUGGUAAUUUAAUGAAAUAAAAUGGGAAAAAGAAGGAAAAGUUCAUCCAUUCUUCUUCCUUGUCCAGCCGAAAUUCUCAAGUCACCAUAGCUAGGGUUUUCAACAUUUUCAAGCUCAAUAGUAAGUGCUCCCAAGCCCUGUUUUUAAUGUUCUUCGUAUUUUUGAAAUCCUGGCAGCUUACCUCUCUAUUUCUACCCAUAUUUCAUGCUAGGGUUCAUGUUUAGAAAUUUACCCAUGCAUGAGUUACUUGUAUUUUGAUGGUUUAUGGAGGAAUAUGGAAGUUGGCUGUGUAUUAAACAUCUUUUCCUAGGUGAUUUUCAUGAAAAACCCCUAAAAAGGACUUUUUUGCAAAAGGUGUAAAAUGUGAGGUAGAAAUGUGAAAUAAUGGAAAAUUUGGGCUGCCAUAAGAGGAAAGAACAUUUGGCUAGGCUUCGGUAAUGUAUAAAUUGCAUGCAUUGCAUUAUACGAGCCUAGGGACUAAAUCGUAAAAAUGUGAAAGGUUAAGGGCAAAAUGGUCAUUUGGACCAGGGGUGAAAUGUAGACUUAAAAAGUACAAUGUGAGGUGUUAAUGAUUUAUUUUUAUUGUUAUAGACCCCGAGGAACAAAUUUUGGAAGUCGGUCGAGGAAAAUAAAAGGUUCCGGAAUGACCGAAACACGAUACCGAGACGAGUACCAGGUAAGUUCAAAUAACUUAAAGUAAACUCAUAGUAUGCUUAAUUGCAUGAUUUAUAAAUGUAUGGUAAUUGCAUUUGAUGAUGGCAUGAAAAUCUAUGAAAUAUAUCCUUAAUAAUGGCAUGUUAAUAAAUGUCCUAGAUGAGGUUGAAAAGGAAAUCUAAUGGAUAAAUCAUGGCUUACAUGACUUGAGAUCCUGCAUGUGUUGCAGAAAGGAUUUAGCCCGGGCGUGUAAUUCGUUGAUCUCAAAUAUAAAAAGGAUCUAGCCCAGACGGUGUUCCUUGAGUGAUCGAGCCUCCCGAAGAAUAUGUGUGCAUUGUGGAUUUAACCCGGACUGGUAAUCCGAUUAGGGUCUGAAUUUAGCCUAGACUGGUAAUUCAGAUCCGAGCUCAUUAAAGGUGUUUGUCGCUAUAAGGGAUUUAGCCUGGAUUGGUAAUCCCGACUUCACCUUAUGAGUUUACAAAGUAGGGGAUUUAGCUUGGACUGGUAAUCCCGUCGUAAGAUGUGAGAUUCGCGGGAGUGCAUACUUGAAAUGAUCAUUCUUAUGACUUAACAGAUAAUGAAUAAUCCAUCGAGAUUUCCUAGAAACUCAACGGGAUUAAUAUGAUGUAUAUAAAUGAAAUGAUGAAUGAUGAGCUCAUCUAAGACAAAUUAUAUGGUGCAUUAUUAUUGUGACUAACUUGUUGAUUGAAUGCAUGUGAUAGGGAAACUAUUUCAUUUUUGUUGGUUUAUUUGCUUAAUAUGGUUUUAUUCUAAUUAAUCGGUAAGUUUACUUUCCAGUUAUUCGGGCUUACUAAGCAUGUAAAUGCUUACCUCUCUCUUUUCCCUGUCUUACAGAGCUCGAGGACUCGUAAAGAUUGGAAGACGGUUGGAGAGUCAACAUACUAUCAACUAGUCUAGCUUUGGUAUAUAGGCACUUUUAUUUUGUUCAAUAGCAUGUAUAGGGCUCUUGGUUUAUUUUGUUAGAUAUGUCAUUUGAUUAGCCAUAAUGAAGACAUGUAAAGAUAUACACAUCUAUUUGUAUAUGGCUAUGGGAAUUGGCUCAUUUUGAAGUAGGCUAUGACCUACAAAACUAUGCAUGUUUAUGUUUACGUAGGAUAGCUUGACUAUAAUUGGCAAUGAGUUACAAGAAUGAGCCAAUCUUAAAUGUGUCAAUAAGACAUGGAAACCCUUAAUACGAAAAGGGAAUUAACCUAGCAUGUAUAAAACUGAUGAUAUGAGGUUUACAUGCAAUAAGGUUUAUCAAGGUUAUAUGUAAGUAUGUAUUAAGAUAACCUAUAAGUGUGAUUGGUUGAUAGAGGGUGACCAAAGGCUUGGAAAAUAGCCCUACAAGAUCCACACGGGUAGGCACACGGACGUGUGUCUAGGCUGUGUGUGACACACGGAUCACCCCCAUGGGCGUGAGGUAUGGCCGUACGUCCCCUGCACCUAAAAUUUUAAGUCAAUUUCGAUCACGGGCUAGACACACGACCGUGUGUCUUGGCCGUGUGCCCCUAAAUGCAUGUUGACGUCAUAAACAAAAAGUUACAUGGGCUGAGGACACAGGUGUGCCCCAAGCUACAUGAGCAUGUGUGACUACACAGCCCCACCCACACGGGCGUGUGACUCAUUAAAGCAAGAGAAUUUAUUAAGUUGCCCAAAGUUUAUUGAAUGUUCUUGGUUUUGUCCCGAAUCGCCCCGAUGUAUGUUUUAGGCCUUGAAGGCCUGUAUAAGGGACGGUACGCAUGUGUUUGAAAAGUUUUAAUUUGGGGCAAAAUUUGGUGACCCGAUUUUGUAUGUUGGUGAAGGCUUAAGUCCGGUAACGCCUCGAACCCUAUCCCAGCGUUGGAUAUGGGUGAGGGGUGUUACAGUUUUUAUUUUGAAUAUAGAAUUUGCAUUUUCACCCCAAAAGAAAAGAAAACUAUUUCUAGCUUCUAUGUUUGAUUCGUUUUGUUCGAGCUCACACUUGAAGUAAUUCGUGGUAUGAGAAUAACGAAGAAGAUUGUUUGGCUGAAAGCUAGGAACAACAAGGAUUCGUUUAUUCGAAAACACAAGUACGAUUUUGUUCUAGGGUUUAUUGUUAUAAAUAUCACAAAUCGGGUCAGUAUUCAAAAUUUUUAUUUUUCACUAUGUAAGAAAAUCGUUUUCGAACCAAAUUUUUUCCAACAGGUCAAACUAUCAUACCAUUACAAGAUAGUUCUACUUACUUUUAGGAAAUCUCCUUAGUAAGCUCCACAUGGCAAUCCUACCGUGGGGUAGUUUAAUUGUGAUGUCAUCACAAGAGACCAUCGAUGGAGGCCAUAGGUCUUGUUUAGAGACCUUCUCCCACUCAAUCUUUUAAAAACAUGAAAGGAUUUUAAUGUCCGAUUUCAAUCAUGAAUGAUCAAUAUAUGCAUGGCAAGUACAUGUGGCAUUCUUUCCCUAAACUAUAUGGCAUGCUUAUCAUACAUAUGCAUGAACAUACACUCGCAGUCAAAUAAAUAUCAUCAUGCUAUCACAAUUAAAUGCAUACAAUUUAAGUGACCUUGACUAGCCAAAAUUUUUAUGAUUUCAUCACAAAAAAAAAUUUAAAAAUUUCACCCCAAAGCAUACUUUGGGUCUUCUAUUUUGCCACCAUGGACUUCCGCUGCGAUAUCAGCUCAUGUUGUCAUUUUUUUUGUCAUUUUCCAUCGUUUUCGUGUUAUCACUGCCGUCGUCGAAUUGUCUUAGGUCACCACCAAACCGUCGCCGAACACCGUUGACGUUCCUUACCGUUGAACAUCACAUUUGGACCAUCACUAGCCUCUUGUUGUUGGACCACCGUCGGUCUACUGCCGAUUUGGCUGGGUCAGGUUUGUGUCGUCUUGACCGACCUGAAUGCAUCUCAAUUCUUCGGGUUCCACCAAAAAAUAUAGGUUACAUAAAUCUUAUGUUUGUUUCUAGAUCACAUAAAUUAUUCCAAAAUAAUAAGAUUAAACCGUGCGUGGAGAUGAUAGUCCAUGAUCUAGUUUAUACAUACCCAAGAAAUUAAUAAAAUUAUAUUUAAUUUUCUAGAAAACACAACUUUGAAAAAUUUUCUUUAUCAUACAUAAUAAUAAAAUAAUAGUAUACAUUCCCCUAAACAUGCAUACAAUUACAAGAAUGUCACAUUUUAUCAAAAUUAAUAACAUAGAACAGAGAAAAAAAUUUUAUAUUGGUUUAUACUAUAAACAUAGCACAACUUCGCUUUGAUACCAAUUAUUGGAAUAAAAUUUGGUUUGAAAAUAAUUUUCUUACAUAGAGAAAAAUAAAAUUUUUGAAAAUCGAGUAGGUUUGUGAAAUUUAUAGCAAUAAACUCUUUUUCUGAAAUUGUACUUGUAACACCCCUAACCCGUAUCCGUCGUCAAUUUAGAGUUACGAAACAUUACCGUACAAUUGAAUCAUUUAAACUUAAUUACAUUUAAUGACAUAAAAAAAUCAUAAACCAAUCAUAUACAUACAUACUGUCCCUAAAUUGAGCCCUCGAGGGCCUAAAAAUACCUUAGAAACAAUUCAGGACAAAAUUGAAAUCAUUGAAAAAGUUUAAGAAAAAGUCAAAAAAAUUUGGAAACAAGGGUAACACGGUCGUGUGGCCAAGCUGUGUGUCUCACACGGAUGAGACACACGCCCAUGUCUCAACCCGUGUAACCUUCAAACUAGGGACACACGGUCAUCUCCCAGCUCGUGUCCUUACCCGUGUAACUCUCUGAGUAGGGUCACACAACCGUGUCACAUGCCCAUGUGCCAGGCCGUGGAACUCAUUGAAUUGCAUACAAAGGAACUCUCAGAUGACACGCGGUCAUGUGUCUCACAUGGCUAAGUCACACGCCCGUGUCUCAGGCCAUGUCGGCUCAAAUUUACCUAAAAUCAAGCCAUUUCCAACACCAUUUCAUGCAUAAACAUUUGGACCAUUUCUGUACACUUUCAAGGCAUCAAACCCUUCCUAAAUAUACAUAUAUAUAUGUCAAUCCAAUACCCUAACUUAAAUAACCAAUUGCCAUUCGAAGGCACCUCAAAUGCAUUCAAUGACACUUACCUAAACAUGUAAAUUAUACCACAUUUCAAUCAUCAAUUACUAGUUUAAUACUUUCCCAAACAUUCCAUAAUUUGACCUUAAUCAUACCAAUUUGAAACACACCAUAGGAGUCAAUUAAAAUAUGCAUCAUAAGAUAACCAAAAUGACACAACCUGGCAAGGUAUCAAAUGGUACCAACCAAGUUAACUUCCACAACUUAUACAUGCCAAAUCACCAACUAAACAUUCAACUAAAUACCAUUACAAUUCAUCUUAUACAUGUCAUUAUAACCUUGUCAAAACAUUCAAAAACUACUGGUAUCUAUGUUGGAUAGUGUGAUAGAUCUCCCUCGAUCUUUCAAACUAAUCGAGCUUCCGACAAUCUAUAAAAGAUAGAAAAGAAACUACGUAAGAAACUAAUGCUUAGUAAGUUAGUAUAGAUUAAAACAUAACUUACCAUUUCAGUUUGCAAAAUUUAAAGCAUAAGUACAUUAAAGUCCAAACCAUAAGCCUAUACAUCACCAUCAAUACACAAGUUAGCAUAUUUGUACAUAACUCAUUUGAACUAGCCAUAUGAUAAGUCAUUUUUCAUAUGAAAUACAUCAUUUGAUUCAUGCAUCCUUUCCAUAAGCUUAUGCAUAAUUCCAUUUGAAAACUUACAAUUUCAAUCCCUUUUCUUACUCAUUGAAACAUCAAAAAUUUCAUAGAAUACUCGAGAAAGCUCACAUGAAGUGUGUUUUUACAUAUUCGUAACCUUUCUUUUACAUCAUUGCUUACACGAGCUGUGAAAUAGGCUUGCUCACAUGAGUAUGGGUCGGAAUAUAAGCUACACGAUGCUUACACGAUGAUGCUCACAUGAGCUAUGGAGAAUUCGCAACAAAUGUAGGAUCUCAACCAUCAGUAGGACAUUCAAGACCAGUACUCGAAACAUAAAGCCCCUAAUAACAUGACAUUUGUAUCCUACGAAUUCCUAAGGUUCAACUGGGACUCGAUAACUGUCAUAACAUUGAUUUAUUUAUAUAUCUUUCAAUUAACAUUAUAAAUAACAUAACAACAUACAAUUUAAUAACAUUAAUACGAUAACCGUUCAUACGAACUUACCUUGACGAUUAUGGCGUAGAAGUUAAAUCAACCUAUUCUGAAGCUUUUGUUUUACCUCGGUCUAGGUUCAUACGUGGUUUAUUUUGAUCUAAAUAGACAAUUUCAAUUCAUUUAAUACUUAUAGUAAUCAAUUUAAUCCGCAUUUCAUAUUUAUGUAAAAUUAUCAUUUUACCCCUAAUAUUUUAACUUUUUCACAAUUUAGUCCUUAAGCUUAUAACUUAAAAUAUAACCAUUUUAAUCUCAAUCCAUGUUAAAAAACUAUGCAAGGGACCUUGAAACAACCCAUUUUUAUCAUCAUUUCAUAUUAAAACCUUAGAAUUUAUACUUUUAACAAUUUAGUCCUUAAUUUCCAAAAUUCAUCAAAAAUCACUUUACAAAACUUGUUCAUUUUUCAACCAAGAUUCAUAAUCUAUCAUUUAACAUAAAAAUCAUUCAAGAACAUUCAUGGCAUAACCCUCAACCUUUAACAGUUUUAGAAAUUGACCUCGGGCUAGCUAGAUUAAUCUACAACGAACUCAAAAAAAAUAAAAAUCAUUAAAAAACGAGGUUGAAAAUCAUACCAAUGCAAGCAAGGAAGCUUGACCGAACCCUCGAACUUCAAAAAUGGAGUUUCCUAUCCCUAAUUCCGAUGGAGAAACAAACUAAAGAAGAUGAUACUAUUUUCUUUUCUUUUGUUUUAAGCUUAAUUACCUAAUUACCAUUUUAACCUUUAAAAAAUUUAAUAAUUUCAUCAAAACCAUAUCCAUAAACAUCUACUAUCACCUCAAUUGGUAUAUUUACCAUCCAAGUCCUUUAGCUUAAGGUUUCAUAGCCAUUUGACCCUUUUAACUAAUAGUAAUAAUCUACUUUUACACCUUUUACGAUUUAGUCCAUUUUUCUUAAUUAAUCAUGCAAACAUUAAAUUUCUUAAUGAAAUUUUAAUACAACCUUACCAUAAUCCCAUAGAAAUUAAAAUAAUAAUAAGAUAAUAAUUUACUCGUCAGAUUUGUGGUCUCAAAACCACUAUUUUGAUUUCACUGAAAACAAACUACUACAACACCUGUGUUUCUAGCUAGACGGAUCCUGUUGUUCUCGAUUUUCAACUGAAUGACCUUCUCCACUAUUCUUGUACCAUGAAUUGCUUCGAGUGUGGGCUCGAAUUAAUUCAAAUCAAAUAUAGAACUAGAAAUUAUUUACUUUACUUUUAGUGAGAAAGAAAAAAUCUCUCUUUAAUAGAAACCGAUAAAAUUGUUAUUUCGAAAAAUAGAAUUUAUACUUAGAAAUAAAUUCUCACUAUUUUCAAGCAGAAUAACAAUAUCUCAAAGUUGUGCAUAACUUACUUGUGUAUUUAGCCCUACCGAUGCCAUCUAUUUAUUAGGAGAAAAAAGUAAAACCCUUGUUGAAUUGUAGAAGUAUAUUUAAAUAGAAAAACUAAAUCCUAGUCUAACUAGGAUUAUGGUAGGCAACAACCCUAGCUAAAUAAAUAGGGUUUGUCAUCCCAUGUAUCAUCAUGAGAGGCUAUUAGGCCUCUCUCAUAUUGGGUACAAUUAUAAGUAUUUCUUAAACUUUUAACCCAGUAUUUUAUAAUUCAAUCCAACCCAAUACUUUUUUUUCUAUUUUGAAAAUAAACAUCAUGAAUAAACAUAAAUAAAUUAAUUUCUAAAUUAAAUAAUUUUCUCAACUUAAUCCUAAUUCUAUUAAAAUUAUAAUGACUUUACCGUAAAAGAAUUUAUGAGAAAAUAUAUUUAAUAUUUCUACAUUCAACGAAUUCACUAUGACCACAUUUUUUUUUAUUUUUGAACUUUAAUUAAUUAAUAAUUUAAAAAAAUUAUAAAUUAUUUUCAAGUGAUUUUCAUUUAGGUAGGACCACUUUAUUCCUAUUAUAUUCCACCGUUAUUAUUUUCUACUUUUGCUCUCCAAAUACUAACUUGAGCAUUGGAGAGUGUAUUGAAACUCAAGGUCGAGUGCCUUUUAGGUGCGUUCGAGAUUGCUGUUGGGGUUGAAAUUGAGAUGAACAAGUACUUUUUCACCUAAACACAUAAGUUAGAGUUUAGGUGUUUUUGUCUUUUGACUUUGUUUUGAUGUAUAAAUUAUUAAAAAAUCUUAUGUGUAUUAACUAUUAAAAUGUAUUUAAAAAUUUGAGUUGAAUUAUAUUUUUUUAUUUUAUGUAUUAUUAUAUUACAUUAUUGAAAUAUUAUUUACAAAAUAAUGAUAUUAAAUUAUAUUUAUUAUCAUAUAUAACAUUUUAAAAUAUUUCAUGUAUAAUUAAAUAAACAAAUAAAUUAUUAAUUAUAAAAAGUAUUUAAAAUAUAUAUUAUUUAUAGUUAUAUUUAAUUAUUUAAAUAUUAUAUAAUUUAAUUUAAUUUUUAAUUUUUAACAUCAUGUCUAAAAUAAAUAUUUUAAAUUCCCACAUCGAUUCUUAACAACAAUAUCAAUCAUCCUAAAUUAAUAAAUCACACUUUCUAACAACACUUUUCAAAAAUAAUUUUAAAAAAAUAAAUCUCUUAAAAACAUUUCUGAACCGCUAUAAUAAUAGUAAUAGUAAUAAUAAUAAUAAUAAUACCAAAUUCCCCCUUAAUUUUCUUCAGCCUACAGGUUACUAGCCCUCAAACCAAUCUACUCCUCGGCCUAGCUUGCCAUAAUAAGGGAUCAAGAAAAAGUGACAUAUUCAAGCAUUUUAAUGAGUGAAAAAUGAAAAUGAUUUAUAUACCUUUAUUACGUGAAGAGAUUUGUAUGCACGACAGAAAACAUUUAGGCGGUCAUCGUUGCUCUCAAAUACGUGACGAUGUUUGAUUCGAGGUACAUAAGUCCACGUGUGCACUUGAUAGCAAGGACACACAAAACAAAAUACAUAUCUUAUUAUCUUUUGCCAUCAUAAAAUAUUAGUAUAAUUUCUAAUUAAAAACGUAAUGUUCAUAUACUAAGUAAAUUUGUAUGCAAGGAUGAAGGGAAGACUACUGAACGUGCCACGCGGACGGCGUCGGCAGCUUCGUUGGUCACUUGCCGUCGCUUUAUAAGCCGUCCCUACAAGCAACGUUUCUGUGCGGUCUUAUCCCCUAUAGACUCCAACUUUUCCUUUCUUUCAAGGGUUGGUUGGAUUAUUCUAAUAAAUUAAUGGAAAUUAUUAAUUCUAAGAUAACCUACACAACCUUUUAAUAUUCAAUUUUCAUUUAUAUAAGCUGUAAGGCAACUCAAUCAUCUCCUAUCAACCUCAUCAAAUCUAGACCGUUGGACCAGUUUUCUAUAAUCCCAUCGAAUGGCAAUACGUAUUUUGGAGCUAUAAACAUUAAAAAAAAAACUUUUUUUACUCUCUAAUUUUACAAAAAAAAAAUCAUUUUAGAUUUUUAGUUAAUUUUUCUUCUCUUUUAGCUAUUGAACUCGUAUUGUUUAUCAAAAUUACUUCAAAAUAGAUGAAAAAGUUAACGUUUGUUAACUUUGUUGACAUGACAUAUACGUGAAUUGUCACGCAUAUGUCACAUUAGCGAUUAAUUAAUUUUUUAAAAAUAAAAAAAUAUUUUUUAUAUUUUAAUACAUUUUAAUUUUUUUAAAAUAAGUUUUAAAAUUUUAAAAAAGUCAUUAAUUCUUGACGUGACAUACAUGUAGAUUGGUUAACGAACCACAACUUUUUUAUCCAUUUUUUGGUGAUUUGACAAACAACACAAGUUUAAAGAUUAAAAAAGACAAAAAAUUAAAUGAAGAACUAAAGUGACUUUUCUUAUAAAAUUGGUGGGCCAAAUAAGUCAUUAUGUCAUUUCUAAAUUCAAUUCCUUUUCUUUUUUUUACUUUCUUAUUCCUGUCCAUCCAUACUUAAACAAUGGAAUAAUCUUUGUAAUUAAUACAUUGAAUUUAACCUUCAAUGGCCUAGAACAAGAAGGUGAGCUAGGGCCACUAAAAUUCCUAUUUUAGGAUGUUUUUUGAUACUUAAAUAAAGAAAUAAUGAAUAUUAUAAAAAGAAAGGAGUUUGAACUUAGUAAAUAAAAUGGGAAAGAUGAAAAUGACGAAAGAAAAGUCCUAUUAGGGAAAAUUACCUAUGAAUAUGUUUUAGAUCCAAAGACUAUCACAUUCUUUAUUACAACUCUGCAAAACUAAACAUUCUUUAUUACAACUCUGCAAAACUAACACAAGGGUUGCUUUGUACUAUGUUGCUAUUAUCCUUGACAAUUAGCAUAUUUGGCUUUAUCCAUAUUUUGGUAUGAAAAAAGUUUGAAAAAACAAAUCAAUAAUUGUAAGAAUAGGGGAGCAAUGAUACGAGCAGUGACACAGACAGUGGGCACUAGGAGUGUAACUGUGAUAAACAAAGAUAAAUAUAAUAGAGUUGUUUGUGUAGUUUGGUUUACCUAUGUUUGUGGGGGCUUGCCUAAAGAGAUAAUUCAUUAUCUUUCAAACUUUUACAACAAGUGAUUUAGGUUCUAACAAACCCUGGUUUAGUAACCUCAGCAUUGUACCUAAAGAUUUAGAUCUCUCUCCUCUAAGUUUUCCCAUUGAAAACUUAGGUAGUAAAAUAAGUAAAACACUUGUUUAUACUCUCAAUGCACUCACAACUGCAAGUUCAUUUAUGAAUUAAUAAGUGUUAAAAUCCUAGUAGAUAGUGAUUACAACUUACUAACAUACUAGAUCAACUACAAUCAAUAUAACCUAUAAAAAUGCAGCUAAAAUAACAUAUACAUUAAAAAUAAUGAAGUCCAAGAUAAUAUGGAUAUAUUUUAGAGAUACUUUAAGUUAUCUAAAUCUCUUCUCAUUGUUUAAAGGGCUAUGAUUGUUUGAUUCGAUCUGAUCCAAUUUUCAAGAUCUAUAGCUACAAAUGGAUUACUUUCAAACACGAGUUAUCAUACGUCCAAGAUAUCAACAAGAUAUCUAGCCCAAGGAUUUUCUUCCAAAAGAUUGCCAACAUUAAAUAUGAUAAGUUAUGAGGUUCUCUACAGAAUGAUAUGCACAAUGGUCAUUGCUUGUGGCAUUACUCACAUAACUGCUUUAACAAUCUCCCUCUUUGGCAAUUUUUUGAACAAAACAAAAUAAUUUGGAAACAAAAACAACAAUACAACAAAUGCUUCCCUUUAGUACAUCCCCCUUAAUCAAACAAACUUAACUUAUAACAUAACUAAGCAAAUCAAUCAUUAAUGCCUUUUGAAAUUGUGCUUCAAUAAUCAAAAUACUAGAAUUAUAUUAAAUCAAGUUGAUUGAUAGGAGUUUAUAUAACACCUCAUACCCGACUCGAUCACCGGGUCCAAGCUAUAGUGUGCCAGAUUCAUUUUCGAAGAAAAUAUGAUAAAAAUAAAUACAAUUCAAACCAUUAAACAUACAAUUUUGAAUGUUAUAAGCAAUUAAUAUGGUAAGUAAUCAUUCUCGGGUCUUAUACAAGCUUACAAAAGCUCUAACACUAAACUGAGAUCGAUUUAAGACUGAAUUGCAAAGAAAUUCAAAUUACAGAAUUGACAUCGCAACAUGAAGGAGUUCCUCGUUGCGACGUGACAUACUAUUUGGUUUCGUUGGGAUGACGGGUUCCUCAUCUCACUGUGACAUUAUAAGUCAUUUCUCGUCUCAAAGUGGUAUGUUUGACGUUGUGACGUCACAAACUAUUUCUUAAAAAUUCUAAAUGAAAUCAACCUGCAAUUUUUUUUUUGGCAACCCAAAUACCAAACAUAUACAUUUCACAUUCAACCAAUAUAUGUCAUUCUUGGGCACUAAUUCAUGCAUUUUACUAUCUUAUACAAUUAUAUACAAAUGAUUCAUGUGCAAUAAGCUAACAUCUAAUGUAAUCCAAUCCAAACACAAGUAUUCAGACCUAUAUUACUAGGAUCAUUAAAAUUUACUUGCCAUUUCAACCAUAAUAUUAACCAUUUAUAAGAUAUUACAACAUAACUAAUCAAUAUAUACAUUAACAUUCUUAAAGCAAAAAUAGAUUUGGACUUAAUUUGGUAACAAAAUAGACACAACCUAGGUACAUGCCAAACAAUAAGUGAAAGAGGUACACAAACAUCAUUGAGUCCGGGAUCUUUGUUUGGAUGCUGAAGUCUACGCUCGAGAUCACAAAUUGAACCUAACUUGCACAUAGAAAAUAAACUGUACGCUGAACAGACACUCAGUGGUAGAUCUAUGAUUCAAGAUAAUUUAAACAAAUACAAGUUAAUGCAUACAUCUAAUUCAUAUACAAAUUUUAUGCCAAUCAUCUUUCAUUUCAAUAUAACACACUUUAUUCAUGUUAGCAUACUAAUUCAAUAUACAACAUACUAUCUUGUUAUAUAACAUUCAUUUCAUAAGCAAUUUAGUUUGUUUCUACUUACAAUAUUGAUAACUCUUGAAAAGAUUUAUAUUUCAUGCUUUUAGAUCUAGUUAAUUGCCUACUUUGGUACAUUUAUUUGUAUUUUAGGACAUUUCAUUAGUAUUUUUCUUGUUUUAGCAUUACAUUAAGAGCUUGGACUGUACUUAAACGUUAGUUAUUUUAAUUGCUUGUAGAAGGGUUGUGUGUGGUGGUGGAUUGGUAGGUACAGGUUGAGGUAGAAGAAGUAAAACAGUAAAGGUUUACCGAGGUAAAAGGGUUGGAUAGCUUUUCAACAUGAAUGCCAUGGCAAUACUAGGAAGAUGUUUAGUCAGCAUUCAAAGCGAACCGGUCUUAGGCCCAGUUGAACUUGUACCAGAUAUUUAUACCUAAAAAAGAGGGACGAAAAUCAUAGGUUGUUGGAUCUACCCUAGGGAAAAUAAUUAUAAAAGCAAAAUGAGGAAAACUUAAAGGGGGAAAACAACCAAAGGGAAGAUCCUUAGGCAGAAAAAUAAAGGGUGGCGGCUGAGUAAAAGAGGUAAACAAAGGCAGCCCCUCUCAGCCACCAUAGGACCCUGCGUCGUUGGAGUGCGGGCUAAAUAAUCGAAAGCUAUCUUCCUGAAGUUCUUUCGUCAUUUCUUUAUUACUCUUCUUGAAUUGAUUUAAAGAAAACGAUGUUGAAUGAUACUUUAGAUUUGAAUUUUAAUUGCCAACCCAUGAGCUAGAUCUCAUAGGGUUGGGUUUACUUGAUAAAACUCUUAUUUUAUUUAAUGACUGAAGCGUAGAUCUGUUUUAAUACACUAUUUCAUUCAAUAGUUUUUUUUUAUAAAAUUGUAUGUUUGCAAACUCUAGACAUAGAUAGAUGUACAACAUGUUCUUAAAUUAAUCUAAUUCUGACAAGGUUAGGUUAAUGAGAUUGAAAUUGAAUGACAUGACAAGUGUUCGGCUAAAUACUUGCAGCAGCCUCUAAACAUAGAGCAGCAUUCAUACGGAAAGGAAACAAAACAAUGCAGGGUUCCGUGCUAAAGGCCUAUAGACAUAUAUCGCUUAAGGCAAGGUAGCUUGAGGUCUUAUUCUCAAAAGAAACAGACCAUCUUAGAACUCUUCUAAGCAGUAGAUUGGGUAUGAUUUUGCCGAGGUAUUACUGUUAGUAAGGGCAAAUUCUUAAUAAUCCCAACCCUCCAAAUCAAUAUCGUAGACCUUCUAUCAUUUGCCAUAGUAUCUUCGCCAUAUCAUUUUUAGUUGUUUAUUUGUUCAUUUGCAUAUUAUUCACGUAAUUAUACUUGAAUUUGCCAUUGUAUUUUACUCUUAUCUUGUCAUAGCAUUUUCCAUUAUUUACUAGUUACACAUAUUGCACACAUCAGUAUUCCUUCAAAUUACCACUGCAUUCUUAUCAUUAUUUUUUCCAUAACAUUAAUCAUACCCUACUCUAAUAACUUGACCAAAUUAUACCGUUCUAAUCCCUGUGGAGACGAUCUCACUUAUCAUUUUAUUACUUGACUCGACAUGUAUACUUGCACAAUUCGCAUGUCAUUUCACGUGCAACAUAUAUCUAAUUAUAAUUAUCACUUUUCAUCUUUAGAAUACAUAUAUAUAUAUUCACAUACUUCUCUUCUCACACCAUAUUUUAUGCCAUUUUCGAGUCUAUUGUCUCAUUAAUACGCAAUCAGCCCCUAGGGCUCAUUUUCAAUUUAAACCACACUUUGUAUUUCUAUAGCAUAUAUCAUAUCGCAUGUUGCUUAAAUAAUUCAUUUGUUUAUAACCCUAUUAACCAACAUGGACUCAAAACAGAUACAUGGAUCUAUCACAUCGGGUUGCCUGGCAACGAUGACGCUAUAAUAAUACAUAAUACCACCCCAUAUUGCUCGACAACAAUGGUUUUCUCAACUUAAUCAAUCUGCCACACUAGGUUGCUCGACAAUGAUGACUCAAUGCAUAAUAUCUACCACCCCAGAUUGCCUGACAAUGAUGAUUUUACUCAGUACUCUAACCCUAUGGCAUGCUAACUAUAUCCGACCUGGUCCGAACAGCUAAUAGGGUAUGUCAUUUUUGAUUCAUUAUAUAUAGAUAAAUUUAUAAUUCAAUAAUAAAAAAUAAAUCAACAUAUCACAAUUCCAUGCCAUCAAGUAAAUUCUAAGUUUUGUACUGUAUUCAAUUUAGUCCCUAUCUCAAAAAUCAAUCUCAAACACAUCAAAUUAGUUCAAUUAAUCCUCAAUAACUCACCUCAGUACCAUAUAAUGCAAUAUGUCAUGGAUGUAGAAUAAAUAAAUUGGUCUCAAAUCAUAGAAAUACAAGCUAAAAAAUUCGAGCUAUUCGCCUUUCAACGAAUCCAAAUCGACGUUAGCAAUUUGUUGCCUAAAACCUUGAAGAUUCAACCAUAGAGUUCUUCCAUUUUUGUUUUGAUUCCAUGGAGAAGAUGAAAUCUUCUCCCACUUCCCACUGAAUGCUUAUAUAUAUAAUGUAAUUAGUUUAGUUAAUUAGGCAAUUAACCUUAAUUAAUAUAUAAUCCUAGUUUAAUUGAUUUAAUGAUAAUAGGCUUAUGUCAUCCACUUCGCAAUCUGGGGUGGUAGAUAUUAUGCAUUGAGUCAUCAUUGUCGGGCAACCUAGUGUGAUAGAUUGAUUGAGUUGAGAAAACCAUUGUUGUCGAGCAAUAUGGGGUGGUAUUAUGGAUUGUUAUAGCGUCAUCGUUGCCAGGCAAUCCGAGGUGACAGAUUCAUGUAUCUGUUUUGAGUCCAUGUUGGUUAAUAGGGUUAUAAACAAAUGAAUUAUUUAAGCAACAUGCGAUAUGAUAUAUUCUAUGGAAAUACAAAGUGUGGUUUAAAUUUAAAAUGAGCCUUGGGGGCUGAUUGCGUAUUAAUGAGACAAUAGACUCGAAAAUGGCAUAAAAUAUGGUGUGAGAAGAGAAGUAUGUGAAUAUAUAUAUGUAUUCUAAAGAUGAAAAGUGAUAAUUAUAAUUAGAUAUAUGUUGCACGUGAAAUGACAUGCGAAUUGUGCAAGUAUACAUGUCGAGUCAAGUAAUAAAGUGAUAAGUGAGAUUGUCUCCACAGGGAUUAGAACGGUAUAAUUUGGUCAAGUUAUUAGAGUAGGGUAUGAUUAAUGUUACGGAAAAAAAUAAUGAUAAACAUGAUAUAUUUUCUAUUUUGAAACUUGGGUUAAUUUCAAUUUAAGUCUUUUAGUUAUUUUCUAAUUAAAAAUCUAUAGUGAUUGGACUUUACAAUUUAGUCCUUAAACCUUAAUUAAUCACUAAUUCGGCAAAAUUACCCAUCCAAAAUCAAAUUCACUAAUAUAAAACUCUGUAAACAUUUUUAUGAAAUAUUUACAGACUUGAUUUACAGAAAACUCCAACACAAGCUCAUGUACAUAAAGCUUGACAAAACAUAUAGUUCCUACAAGAGCAUUUGUUUUUCAACAAGACAUCAAUACCUUGAUUUCCAAAGCUUCUUUCAUCUAUAUUUUGCUCUUCAAUAAAACAAUUUUAGAGAAAGCUAAGUACAUGUUGCUGUAACAAAAGGGUAAGAAAGGUUUGUUGUUGCAUCUUCAGAAGAACAACUUCUUCUUCCUUUACUCUGGUAACAACUUCAUCAAGAACUACAGAUACCUCAAUCUCCUUCAAUCAUUUGUUCUUUUUCUUUGAAAAGAGAGGAAUGUUAGGUUUUUUUUGUUCAAGCCAUUUCACUAAAAACUAGCUUAUUAACUAAAACAUCUUCAUCCCAACUUCUAUCAAAUUUAAUGGUAGAGGAGUUUGAAUUUGUUUUCUGAACUAUUCACAAUCUCUUAAAGGCACACAAAACAAUAGGUGAUUUUCCGUUAUCAGGCUUCUAUAUAUCUUUUCUUUUAGACCCUUUCAUAGUGGCAUGUUGCUCUUCAAUAUCCUUUAUCCCAAAAGAACAAGUUUUCCUAUGCACAACUAGAGUAGAGAGCUCAACAGUGGUCAUUCAUGUUAUCAUUAUAUCGUUCUUCAUUAGUAUUAGGUACAGUAAAUUCAACAACUUUGAUUGGCUCAGAAAUAAGGUUGUUAGUGUUAGAUAAAUUAAAAAGAGAAUAACUUACAUUAGGAUAAUCCUAAAAACUAAGGUUUGUAAGCACCAAUAAAAUUUUGCCACAUUAUCAAAAUUUAAAGGCAUGAAAUUAUUAUUAUACACUCAUCCAUAGGGAAAUUAUUUUAUGGACCUUUCCCACCACAUUAUUCAUGGUCAUUUUCCAACUAUUUAGUGGCAUUUCAACAAUUUUUUCCAUAUACUUGACAUAUAAUGUUGGUAACUUUUUACCCUGAAUCUAGAAUCUAGAAUCUAGAAUCCUGAACCUUAAACCCAAAACUCGAAUCUCAAACCUAUAACCCUAAACCUUUGGACCCUAAACAUGAUCCUUAAACCUCAAACCCUUAAACCCUAAAUUUGAAUCUUAAACCCCAAACCUAAACCCAAACCCAAUCCUUGAACCUUAAAUCUCAAAACUCAAAUCCUAAACUUAAACCCAAACCCAAACCCUGAACCUUAAAUCUCAAAACUUGAACCCUAAAUUUGCAACUAUUUCUUAUUUUGGCCAUUAUCUUAUUAUUUAUGAGAAUAAAUUUGUAUUUCAAGUCCCCUUAUUUUUGACAUUUAUGUGUUUAAAGAUGGGAAGCAUAUCUCUUAAUAUAUAUUAUAUCAUGUUUUAGUAUAUAAGUUAGUAAUUGAUUAAUUUUAAUUGAUAUUUUUUAGUCAUUUACUUGAUUUGUUUUGGGAAAAAAGAAUGAUUUUUUUUUGUUUAUUUUGAAGAUGUCUUAUCUUUUAUAAGACUUUUUACUCAUAUUUUAAUUUAUAUGAAGCAUUUUAUUUUAUGUCUAACCAUUGUCAUAUAUAUUAAAUAAGUUUUUUCUUCUUAUUUUAUUACUUUAGUAAUCACCAGUGGCAUCAUCAUAUAUAUUAUAACAAUAUAAGGUCACACUAAAAGGAAAUAGAUAGUAAUAUUCACAUUAUAGUUUUUUUUAUACAUGACACUCUCCGUAUGAACCAUUUAUUUAAAAUUUGGGUCAAGUACUCUUUUAUUUCUUGCUUUUUAACUUUUUAAAGUUAUUCCAUACCUUUUGUUUAAAUGUUUUUUUUAUAAUUUUUAUAUGUUAAAUAUAAAGUUGAUUUUAAAUAAAUUAACUCUUUGUUUUAAGAUUUACUUAAUUGAAUUAACUUUUAAUGUUAUUAUAUUAAAAUUAAUGAUUAUUAAAUUGUUAAGCUUAAAAUAUAAUUUAAAAAAACACAUAUUAAUAAUAUUUAUCAACUUAAAUUUAUAUUUUUCAAAUAUAAUAAGGACUAAUCACAUUCUUUGAUUAAAGUAAAGUAAUGAUUAAAUUUAUAUUUUUCAAAUAUAAAAUUCUCCACCUUGAACUUCUAUUCCAUGUCUCUUGAUCUUAGAUACUAUAUUUGACGAUCUAUCUCUAUUAGACAAUCGUUGGACUUGCCCAUCACGGCAUGAGAGGAGUUACCCCCUGUAAUGUUUGAUUAAUAACCGCAUCUCCUGUCUAUCAUUGAAGAAGGGAAGGAAAAGAAGAGAGAAAGACUAGGACUUUCUUUGCGAGAACAUGAACCCUGGUUCCCCUCUGUCACAUGUCAGAUCAAUGACGUAGAACAGAAAAAAUGCAUAGUUUUAUGAUAGAUCCCCAGAUCUCACCCUCACCUCUGCAAGCAAGAAAGAAUCAAGGGUAGCUUUCACGCCACUCAACUUUCAGGAUCGAGCCAGAGAAAGGAGAAAAAAAAAGAGCUUUCUUUCAAGCAGUUAGCUGGAGGUAGUGGGAAAACAAAGACCAAGGAAAAAAGUCAACGACGGGUUGAAGAACUUAGUUUCAAGACUCUAUCUGGGGCUAAUCGCGAAGAACCGUGCUAGCCGAGCUAGCCCAAAGGUGGAUUCUGCUUCUGCUUGAGCUACCUGAGUUGAAGGCAGAAGAAGCAAUCGGGAGGGAAGAGUCCAAGCUAUUCAUACUAACUUUAGCUUUGAGCAAGAGAAGAUUCCUUUCCACCCAGUCAAUCAUUGUGAUUGAAUUCUGAAAAAGAAAGAUAGAAAGAUCGGGCAAUCUCCUAUAUCAAGGCUUGGAACGAUCCCUAUAGCCACUGCUUGCCUAACAACUGUUAACCUUUAAAAUUCAAUUGUUCUGCUCUACGCUGGCACAAGGGCGUGACAAUCAAAUAUAAUAAUUUUGACCUUAAAACAAAUUAAUUUAACAAUAUAUAAAAUAAAUAAUUGUAAGAAAUUAUUAAUAAUAUUAUUUAAAUUAUAAUAUAUUAUUAUUAAUAGUAAAACUAGAAUUUUUAUUAUUAUUUAAUAUUAAAUAUUUUAAAAUUAAAUAAUAUUAAUAUAAUUGAGUUUAAAUUAGUUAAUUAUUUUUUAAAUAUUGUAUAUGUUUAAUUUUUGGAAAAGUUAAUUAAAAUUUUUAAAUAAAAAUUAAUUUUAUAAAAAUAUUGUAAAUUUAAUCAAACAACCAAAUGAGUGAUGCCUCUAAAAUAAUAAAAAUAUAUAUAAUUUUUAAUAUAUAUAUAAUACAUCAAAAAUAAUAAAAAUAUUAAAAUAAAUAUUUUCCCAACAAAUUAAAAAUAAAUUUUAAAAAUUAUGUUUACUUACAAUAACAACAAAAUAAUAGUAACAUAAUAGUAAAAUAGUAACAAAAUAGAAAAAAUAACAACAAGAAAACAAUAUUAAAACAAUAAAAAAUAACAAAUUUUUUUUGUGCUUUUGUGAAUUUGGACCGGGUGGGGUCAAGCCCGGAUCCAAAAAGUCUUACUCGUGCUUGACCCAUUUUUUGGAUAAACCUUUUUUUUAUUUAUCCAAAUUUAACUUUUGAAUCUAUAUUUUUACACAAUCUCCUCCACUUUUUGGGCAAACCUUCCUCCAUACGAGCCGGGAUUGAGCAGGUCUAGGCAUGACACAAGAAUGUAGUCGUCGUUUACUUGGCAGCUACCUUAUUUUCAUCUGAGCAUUUACUAAAAGAAGGUUUCCCUUAAGAGGCUCUAAAAUUAGAAAAUUCUCUUAUUUUUUGCUGCUAGUAUACUUCAUUCUCUCUAUUUUUUUAACCUAAAUGGAAAAAACCAGAAGAGAAAACAAACUUCUCGAAGAUCUCAAAGAAUAAGAAAAGGAGAAGCAGCAAGAAUGGUGGCAAUGCUAAUUUCAGUUGAAGAUGUUGGAUCGAUUACUGCAACAGUUAGAGUUGAUGUCAUCCUUGAUGAUUUACCAGACUCUCCAUCAGAACUAAGAAAAAGAGGUCCAAGCAUUCUUUUGACAACUUGUCACCAAGGGUUUCAAACAUGGUGCACAAACCCCACUUUGGAAGCCCUUAGAACCAUUGGAGAGAGGAACUAGAGAAGACAAUAACUAAUUUGAUUGCAGAAGAAGAUGAUUUCCAAGAUGCUCAAGAGGUUACUUCUAAAGUUUUAGAAGAUUUAAGUAUUGAUCUUAACAUUAAUAAUCAGGAUAAAGAGAUUGAGAGAGAGAUUGAUGUCUUGGUACAACAAGAAAAUCAAGGGACUGGAGAGCAUGCAGUUUCGAUUGGUUAACAAGCUAUCGAAACUCAUGUUGAAACAACUGAUGCGACAGAAAACAGAACAGAAGAUGUUUCUAAGCACAAUGAACUAAUGGUUGAUGUUAAGGCCAUUGAACUUGAAGUACCUUUGGCUUCUAAGCAUAGAGAAGCAAAAAGGAAAAGAAAAUAGGCGAUGGAAUCCACUGAACCAGUCACUGGAUCAAAAAGGAAAAAGGAGCAAGAUCAAAAUUUGAGUUUAAUGCUAUCCAGGUAAAACCAUCAAGGCCUCUCGUUUUUGGAAUAAUAUGCUACGAAAAAGAUGAAAAACUCUCUCUCAGGAAAGCUUUGUUAAAGAGAGAAACAUAGAUUAUGUAGGUUUUGGAAAGGUUAGUGUUCUAAAUCACUUGAAUGCACAAAACGUUAUGACGUCAAUCUCAUAUGCGAAAUCUUUUGUCUAGGAGAUAUACAGCAGUUCUAUACGUAACCUUUUGUCUCCUAGAUAUUUGAGUGUAACAUAUGCCAUCCUUCACAUAAUUGGACACCAUCAAGCAUCAACUCAUUCUUCAACAAUUAACAAGAAGCUUUCUAGAUAGGUACAACGAUCUCAUUUAAUCUAGGAGAAAUAAUUUGUAACCCGAUUGUUCUUGAACCUAAGAUUUAAGAUUUCCAAGAAGAUGAUACUGAGGAAGCCAAUGUUCCAACAACAUAUUUGAAUGCUUCUGUAUGGCCUUUUGCAGCAACUCAAAAGGCCAAGGUUAUUUAUUAAUUGAAGAUUGAAUUGAACAGCAUCAACACUGAUAUGCAGAAGUUAGUAGAGAAGAAGAGGAGGUUUGCAAGUCUUAUCGAGGAUCUAGGGCAUGCCACUUGGUAAAAGGGAGCUUUUGACAUCUUUAUCAAAAUGGGGAGAGAAUUGAAGGAAAUGAAAAUGUCUGGUUGUUUAAUUUUUACCUUCAAAUUCUAGCUCUGUUUUAUUUUGGAACUCAUUUGGUUUGUAAUAACUCUUUGAUGGAUUUCUAUAUACUCUCAUUUUAUGC
rnacentral:lncRNA from 1 species